rnacentral:lncRNA from 1 species
GAUGGAAAAACAAAGGCAACUUGGGACGGAUGGAACACACACCAUUGAGAAAACUAAGAAUUGAUCUUGCAAUUAUUGAAACGUUCCAAUUAACUUGAAGAGAAGCACGCCGGUUGGAAAAGAAUUGUCAUGAAAAUCUUGAUAAACAAGAAGGAUUAGCACUCGCAUAGACAUAUGAGAACACUGCUUAGGAAAAAGGUAUGGAAUCAACACUUGACAUCGAAGCAACUCGAAUACCACAACCAAAACAAAACAAAAGAUUUGGCUUGCCGAAUAAGCUGGAAACAAAUACAUAACCCCGUCAUGAAUUUGUUGGAAGGAUAAUUCUAUAACUACUUGAAUUCCCACCUAGGAACUUCCGCAAUUUUCUGGUUAUGCAAUUUGGUCCAACGUAUACAAGGAGCAAAAAUGAUCACACAACUCCUAGUAGAAUUCUAUGCUCCAAAUGUAUCACAUUCGUCAACACAUAACCAAUAAAACCUCGCAAACUCGUGUACCUCGGACCUUAUAAAAACAACAACUAUACUAGUCAUGGCAGUACUCUCGAACGCACUCUCCAGUACUGGGUUGUGUCAAGGUUAUCUCACCACUAAGAGUAUAGAAGCGUUUUCGAUGUCGGCGUCCUCUGGAAUUCUAGAACCGAAAUGAUAGAGAAUGUGACAAGAACCCCUUGGAGAUCAACUCCUCAGAAUAAGUCAAAUCAGACAGGAGGUUGACACGACUCUGUCGUAUCUACUUUUCCAAACACUCCUGCUCUUGUUUUGGACUCUAAUUUGCAUGAUUUGAAUGAAACUAAGCCGAACUGACGCUAUUUUCAGCAGAACUGCCAUGGUGUUGUUUUUGUGCAGAAAUAGAAGCUCUCGGAAUUGGACGAAACUUUUUGGAAUUUUUUAUGGAAUAAAUAAAAAAUACUGGAGAAAAGAUCCACUGGAGGGGGCCACCCAGUGCCCAUGAGGCACCUGUUGGGGAACGUAGGAUGCAAUUUCAAAAAAAUUCCUACGAUCACGCAAGAUCUAUCUAGGAGAUGCAUAACAACGAGAGGGGGAGAGUGUGCCCACGUACCCUCGUAGACCGAAAGCGGAAGCGUUAGGUUAACGCGGUUAUGUAGUCGAACGUCUUCGUGAUCCAACCGAUCAAGCACCGAACGUACGACAGCUCCGAGUUCAACACACAUUCAGCUCGAUGACGUCCCUCGAACUCUUGAUCCAGCAAAGUGUCGAGGGAGAUUUUCGUCAGCAUGACGGUGUGGUGACGGUGAUGGUAAUGUGAUGCGCGUAGGGCUUCAUCUAAGCACUACGACAAUAUGACCGCAGGAGUAAACUAUGGAGGGGGCACCGCACACAGCUAAGAGAACAAUUGAUGUGCUUUGGGGUGCCCCUCGCCCCCGUAUAUAAAGGAGGAGGGUAGGAGGCCGGCCCUAGGGGCGCGCCCAAGGGGGGGGGGGGGGGUGACCGACUAGGACUCCUAGUCCUAAUCGGCCCCCUUUCCUUUCUNNNNNNNNNNNNNNNNNNNNNNNNNNNNNNNNNNNNNNNNNNNNNNNNNNNNNNNNNNNNNNNNNNNNNNNNNNNNNNNNNNNNNNNNNNNNNNNNNNNNNNNNNNNNNNNNNNNNNNNNNNNNNNNNNNNNNNNNNNNNNNNNNNNNNNNNNNNNNNNNNNNNNNNNNNNNNNNNNNNNNNNNNNNNNNNNNNNNNNNNNNNNNNNNNNNNNNNNNNNNNNNNNNNNNNNNNNNNNNNNNNNNNNNNNNNNNNNNNNNNNNNNNNNNNNNNNNNNNNNNNNNNNNNNNNNNNNNNNNNNNNNNNNNNNNNNNNNNNNNNNNNNNNNNNNNNNNNNNNNNUUCCCAUAACCCCUCGGUACUCCGAAAAAUAUCUGAAAUGCUCCAAAACUAUUCCGGUGUCUGAAUACCAUCGUCCAAUAUAUCAAUCUUUAUCUCUCGACCAUUUCGAGACUCCUCGUCAUGUCCGUGAUCUCAUCCGGGACUCCGAACAAUCUUCGGUCACCAAAACACAUAACUCGCAAUACAAAUCAUCAUCGAACGUUAAGCGUGCAAACACUACGGGUUCGAGAACUAUGUAGACAUGACCAAGACACAUCUCCAAUCAAUAACCAACAUCGGAACCUGGAUGCUCAUAUUGGUUCCUACAUAUUCUAUGAAGAUCUUUAUCAAUCAAACCGCAAUGACAACAUACGUCAUUCCCUUUGUCAUCGGUAUGUUACUUGCCCGAGAUGCGAUCGUCGGUAUCUUCAUACCUAGUUCAAUCUCAUUACCGGCAAAUCUCUUUACUUGUUCCGUAAUGCAGCAUCCUAUAACGAACUCAUUAGUCACAUCGCUUGCAAUGCUUAUCAUGAUGUGCAUUACCGAGAGGGCCUAGAGAUACCUCUCUGAUACUCAGAGUGACAAAUCCAAAUCUUGAUCUAUGCCAACCCAACAAACACCUUCGGAGACACCUGUAGAGCAUCUUUAUAAUCACCCAGUUACAUUGUGACGUUUGAUAGCACACGAGGUGUUCCUCUGGUAUUCGGGAGUUGCAUAAUCUCAUAGUCAAAGGAAUAUGUAUAAGUCAUGAAGAAAGCAAUAGCAAUAAAACUUAACGAUCAUUAUGCUAAGCUAACGGAUGGGUCUUGUCCAUCACAUCAUUCUCCUAAUGAUGUGAUCUCGUUCAUCAAAUGACAACACAUGUCUAUGGUCAAGAAACUUUAACCAUCUUUGAUUAAUGAGCUAGUCAAGUAGAGGCAUACUAGGGACACUUUGUUUUGUCUAUCUAUUCACACAUGUAUCAAGUUUUCGGUUAAUACAAUUCUAGCAUGAAUAAUAAACAUUUAUCAUGAUAUAAGGAAAUAUAAAUAACAACUUUAUUAUUGCAUCUAGGGCAUAUUUCCUUCAGUCUCCCACUUGCACUAGAGUCAAUAAUCUAGAUUACACUGUAAUGAUUCUAACACCCAUGGAGUCUUGGUGCUGAUCAUGUUUUGCUUGUGGAAGAGGCUUAGUCAACAGGUCUGCAACAUUGAAAUCCGUAUGUAUUUUGCAAAUCUCUAUGUCUCCCUCCUUGACUUGAUCGCGGAUGGAGUUGAAGCAUCUCUUGAUGUGUUUGGUUCUCUUGUGAAAUCUGGAUUCCUUUGCUAAGGCAAUUGCUCCAGUAUUGUCACAAAAAGAUUUUCAUUGGACCCGAUGCACUAAGUAUUACACCUAGAUCGGAUAUGAACUCCUUCAUUUGCUACUUCUGAAGCAGCUAAGUACUCCGCUUCACACGUAGAUCCCGCCACUACGCUUUGGUUGGAACUGCACCAACUGACAGCUCCACCAUUCAAUAUAAAUACGUAUCCGGUUUGCGACUUAGAGUCAUCCGGAUCUGUGUCAAAGCUAGCAUCGACGUAACCAUUUACGACGAGCUCUUUUUCACCUCCAUAAAUGAGAAACAUAUCCUUAGUCCUUUUCAGGUAUUUCAGGAUGUUCUUUACCGCUGUCCAGUGAUCCACUCCUAGAUUACUUUGGUACCUCCCUGCUAAACUUAUAGCAAGGCACACAUCAGGUCUGGUACACAACAUUGCAUACAUGAUAGAACCUAUGGCUGAGGCAUAGGGAAUGACUUUCAUUUUAUCUCUAUCUUCUGAAGUGGUCGGUCAUUGAGUCUGACUCAACUUCACACCUUGUAACACAUGCAAGAACCCUUUCUUUGACUGAUCCAUCUUGAACUUCUUAAAAACUUUAUCAAGGUAUGAGCUUUGUGAAAGUCCAAUUAAGUGUCUUGAUCUAUCUCUAUAGAUCUUGAUGCCCAAUAUAUAAGCAGCUUCAGCGAGGUCUUUCAUUGAAAAAUUCUUAUUCAAGUAUCCUUUUAUGCUAUCCAGAAAUUCUAUAUCAUUUCCAAUCAACAAUAUGUCAUCCACAUAUAAUAUUAGAAAUGCUAGAGAGCUCCCACUCACUUUCUUGUAAAUACAGGCUUCUCCAAAAGUAUCUAUAAAACCAUAUGCUUUGAUCACACUCUCAAAGCAUAUAUUCCAACUCCGAGAGGCUUGCACCAGUCCAUAAAUGGAUCGCUAGAGCUUGCACACUUUGUUAGCACCUUUAGGAUCGACAAAACCUUCUGGUUGCAUCAUAUACAACUCUUCUUUAAGAAAUCCAUUAAGGAAUGCAGUUUUGACAUCCAUUUGCCAAAUUUCAUGAUCAUAAAAUGCGACAAUUGCUAACAUGAUUUGGACAGACUUAAGCAUCGCUACAGGUGAGAAGGUCUCAUCAUAGUCAACUCCUUGAACUUGUCAAAAACCUUUCGCAACAAGUCCAGAUUUUUAGACAUUAACAUUACCAUCAGCGUCAGUCUUCUUCUUGAAGAUCCAUUUAAUUUCUAUGGCUUGCCGAUCAUCGGGCAAGUCAACCAAAGUCCAUACUUUGUUCUCAUACAUGGAUCCCAUCUCAGAUUUCAUGGCCUCAAGCCAUUUCGCAGAAUCUAGGCUCAUCAUCGCUUCCUCAUAGUUCGUAGGUUCAUCAUGGUCUAGUAACAUGAAUUCCAGAACAGGAUUACCGUACCACUCUAGUGAGGAACGUACUCUGGUUGACCUACGAGGUUUGGUAGUAACUUGAUCUUAAGUUUCAUGAUCAUCAUCAUUAGCUUCCUCACUAAUUGGUGUAGGCAUCACUGGAACUGAUUUCUGUGAUGAACUACUUUCAAAUUCGAGAGAAGGUACAACUACCUCAUCCAGUUCUACUUUCCUCCCACUCACUUAUUUGAGAGAAACUCCUUCUCUAAAAAGGAUCCAUUCUUAGCAACAAAUAUCUUGCCUUUGGAUCUGUGAUAGAAGGUGUACCCAACAGUUUCUUUUGGGUAUCCUAUGAAGACGCACUUCUCCAAUUUGGGUUCGAGCUUAUUAGGCCGAAGCUUUUUCACAUAAGCAUCGCAACCCUAAACUUUAAGAAACGAUAGUUUCAGUUUCUUGCCAAACCAAAGUUCAUAUGGUGUCGUCUCAACGGAUUUAGAUGGUGCCCUUUUAAUGUGAAUGCAUCUGUCUCUAAUGCAUAACCCCAAAACGAUAGUGGUAAAUCGGUAAGAGACAUCAUAGAUCGCACCAUAUCUAAUAAAGUACGGUUACGACAUUCGGACACACCAUUACGCUGUGGUGUUCCAGGUGGCGUGAGUUGCGAAACUAUUCCACAUUGUUCUAAAUGAAGACCAAACUCGUAACUCAAAUAUUCGCCUCCGCGUUAGAUCGUAGAACAUUUAUUUUCUUGUUAUGAUGAUUUUCCACUUCACUCUAAAAUUCUUUGAACUUUUCAAAUGUUUCAGACUUAUGUUUCAUCAAUUAGAUAUACCUAUAUCUGCUCAAAUCAUCUAUGAAGGUCAGAAAAUAAUGAUACCCACCGCGAGCCUCAACACUCAUCGGAGCGCAUACAUCAGUAUGUAUUAUUUCCAAUAAGUCAGUGGCUCGCUCCAUUGUUCUGGAGGACAGAGUUUUAGUCAUCUUGCCCAUGAGGCAUGGUUCGCAAGCAUCAAGUGAUUCAUAAUCAAGUGUGUCGCGGGAUAUCCACAGCCAACUAUGGGACCGGGAGGCCCCUUGCUAGUUCGGUAGGGGGGAUGUUGCAUUGGACAAAGAGCAGACUAGCGUAUGGCAGGACGACAGAGAGAACACAAGAAAUUUACCAAGGUUCGGGCCGCCACGAGGCGUAAAAACCUACUCCUGCUUUGGUGGAUUGAUGGUGGAAUGGAGGUGGUGAAGCAUAGUACACUUGUCCGGUAGGGGUUGCCCUAGGGCAGUAGCUACUACGCGCGUACGGGGGUGUGGGUUCGUCAACUUUCCAAUCCUUUCUACGGUUGCCAUGGGCCUCCUUUUAUAGAUCAAGGGGUCACCACAAUGGCAAAGUAGUCAUUAUGCACUAAUAUGAUAGCAAACAGUGCUAUCAUACCUAACUCUGUGGGCUGACAGGGCACAUUAAAUGAGCUGCUUAGUGUCACAUCACUGGUUGCCCGGCAAGGCUUGCCGGGCUAUCUUGCCAUCUCCGUGUCUGUACUCUUGACACGUCGCAGGACAUGUGUCAUCUGUGGGUUUCUUCUGUAGGAAAUGGAUGCCAUGUGGCGAAUGGCUGCCACUUAAUCAUCGUGCGGCUUGACACUGCAUUGAUGGACGACAUGGGUCGUGCUGGAGUGGUUGGUGAGGUGGUUUUGCCUCCGUGAGCCCCGGCAGGCCCUGCCAGGGUGCCCGAGGCGCUUGCUUCCGGGGGUGGCCUUGCCCCUUGCCAGGCUCGCCUGUCCGGCAAGGGAGGCCUUGCUCUUGGCGAUAUCUUGCUUCUCUGGCUUGGCCUUAGUCUCUCUGAGCUGCAUGCUGGUUCUUUGAAUCUCUUGGUUUCUUGUAUCCUGGCUUGGGUUGGCACAUCAACCUUGCUCUUGCACCUGUGCACAGUCUGGGCAACAGACCCAGGGUUUGUUGCACCGACAGAAGCCCCCUGGCCUACCCCGAACGCGCUGCUGAGCGUCGUCGGGGUAGGGCCUAAUAGGUGCACAAGUAGAGUUGCUGAAGGGGUCGGCCCCUUGAGGUCUUCAUUGCUUCUUCAUCAGCCUUGGUUCCGGGCCACUAUCCGGUUGCCCUGCGCGUGGUGUAAAGGCAAUAGUGGUGGGGCCGCUCCAAUGAUGGCCCGUGAAUGACUUUAACACACGGGGUACAAACUGCCAAUUCACUCUUCUCACCAUGCCCUUAUCCUUAGCCACAUAUGCAACAUGCAUCGCGCGGGGUAGGUAACGGAGGCGCGUUGUGCGGGAGAGCGUCAAGGCGAGGGCCUGGUUGUCUUGAAUUGGCGGAGGAGGACGGUGGCCGCCUGUUGAUGGAGCAGCCCUCCUCCCCGUCCUGCCUAUAAAAGGGAGGGGUGGAGGAGGGUGGAGUCACCCAUCUUCACAUUCCUCCUCUUCUUAUCUUUCACUUAUGCUGGCUAUGUCAAAGAGAGGGGCCUGGGGCCAGCCCGCAGGCUCCUGCUUGGGAUCUCCCUUGGAUUUGAGAGGAAGAUUCGGGUGGCGCAGUGCCGACGCCAGGAGUGGCAACCCCAGUGUCAUGGAAUUGUCACGGCAGCUGUCCUUAGCGUCAGGACUUAGUCGCGAGGCCAACGCAUCUAUGUGGUAACUUGAGAGGGGUUGAGCGGGACGAGAGACGCGAUGUUUUACCCAGGUUCAGCCCCUCACGGUGGAGGUAAAAGCCUACAUCCUGCUUCAUUGAUAUUGAUGAUGAUGAUCACAGUUACAAGAGGGAUCUAUCUUGAGAGCUAUUGUCUAAACCUAACUUGUCCAACCUGUGGAACUUGUGAAUCUUGUCCCCCUUGGGGUGCCCUGCCCCUCCUUAUAUAUGUUGAAGGGGCGGGUUACAUGUGGAGUCCAACUCGGACUUUAACUUUAAACUAUUUUGACUUCCCUUCCUGGGCUUCUUAACGUCUGCCGGUUUAACAUUGGUCUGCCGGUUUAACAUUGUUCUGCCAGUUUAACAUUGUUCUGCCGGUUUAACAUUGUCUGCCGGUUUAACACCAGCCGGGUCAUACCGUCUGUCUUAGCCAUCUGUCUUGACUCUCUCUCUUAACUCUCCGCCGGUUUACCAUCCGCCGGUUUACCAAGUCCCAAUCGGUUUAACAUUCUAGCCGGGUCAUACCAUGGGGUAUAUCCCCGACACCCAGUGUGCUUGCCGCCGGGUCGCCCGUGGCCUUGACUUCAGUGGGAGGGGACGCGAGCGACGUCGUGUCGUGGUUUGAAGUAGGCGUGGCAUGUGGUAGUCGAUCGCUCCCCAUGCUUCUUCCCUUCACGACACUGGGGAGGAGUCAUGGGAGAGAUCCAUCGCUGAUAGGUGUGAAUCUGGCUCCUCCGGGGCGUCGUCCUUCUGUCGCGCAGGAAGGCUCCCUACUCUCACAUGCAUCUUCGGGACGUGCAGUGACUUCUCACGCCAGGGCUCCUGGGGACGACCAUGCACUACAAAAAAAUACACUUCCGUGAUGAUACGUGUUUGUCAUAGUAGGUCACGUUUUCUAUCAUGCAUGUACAUCCAUGACAAUUUUAUGACAGAAUCAAGAUAGUCAUACCUGUGCUGUCGUAGAAGUGUUCCAUGACAUUACCAAAAUUAUCAUCACAGAAGUGUCCACUUCCAUGACGAUAAAUCACGCGUCACAGAAGUGCUUUCGUCAAGGGUGACCGACACAUGGCAUCCCAUAACGGAACGCCGUUAAGCUAUCGGGUCUGGUUUUGGAUCCGAUAACCCGUUAACAGCCCCGACCAAUGGGGAUUUUCCACGUGUAAAAUCAUCAUUGGUUGGAGGGAACACGUGUCGGCUCGCCGUUGGGACAUAUGUCAUCCACUCAUUGGACCCAAAGCGCCUAUGAUACAUCGACACAUGGCACGGCCCAACAGAGGCCCAUUCCUGUGAAAAGGCUGGCCCAUUUGACUUGGUCAAAAGGUGGCGGCUCGGCCCAUGGCAAGCCUGUUAACGGCCUGUUCGCAUAUAGCCCAUUUACAGCCCGCUAACCCAGGGCUCAUUUACGGCCUAUCCGAAUUAGGCCCAAUAGCGUCAUCUGGGCCGUCCAAUAUAAUUCCAGCCCAUUUUAACUUCCAGCCCAUGUAUGGCCCAUGAUGUCUUUCGGCCCAUAUGAGGCCCUUAGUAAUCCUCGGCCCAUUAACGACCCGUGGUAAAAUUGGCCCGUAAUGAACAGUGUAUCACUUUAUACCCAUUAACGGCCCAUUAUUCCGUUGGGCCGUUUCCAACCCAUGCUAUCUUUCAGCCUUCUCAGGGCCCAUUUAUUCUUGGGCUCAUUUCCAGCAUUUGUUUACUUUCGGCCCGUUACUAUCAUUUUCUGCUUGUGGGCCAAAUUCAGCCCGUGGUUACAGUCAGCCCGUUUAUGGCCCGUUAAUACGUUGGGACGUUUUCAUAGCGUCAUCAAAUAUGGCCAAUUAACGAUGACCCGUUAUGGUCGGCCCAUGAACGGACGAUUUCAACUCUAGCCCAUUUACGGCCAUAAUGCGGUCUGUUAUUGGCCCAUGUUUGGCCAACUGAUCAUACAGCCCGUAGAAGGCCCAUUGAUGAUACGGCCUGUAGAAGGCCCAUUGUGUCAACGGCCCAUAUAAGGCCCAUGGAUUCUACGCCCCGUACAAGGCCCAUUGUUUCUACGGCCCUUAGAAGGCCCAUUGUUUCUACGGCCCGUAGGAGGCCCAUGUUAACUACAGUAAAUAUGUAGCCCAUGGUUAAUGUGGCCUAGUUUAAAAAAAUAGGUUAUUGCGGCCACUAGCAAACCGCGGAAAAAGAACUGCACUGACUACAAGAAAACAAAUAAAUAAGACAAUAAGGAAAUAAAUAGGCAAGCAACUUACGCUAGGCUAUCACGGCUAUUACACAUAUUACAUCCACUGGGCAUCAAAGUUUGCCACCAGUGCAAAUAUAGGGAACAAAGCAGCAUAUAAACGCCGCAGCAAAACAAGUCCAGAACUGAAAUCACUUUAGAAGAGCUCAAGAAACAAUAUCCUGGGUACCCAUAAUCCUGGCAAGAUGCUUAACAAGCUUAUUAACUUUCUCUUGUUUGGCGCUUAAUUCCUCCAGCACUUGCUGUUGCACCAGAAAGUAUGCAUCUGAAUUCUGUAGGGACUUCCUCAGUCCUUCGGCUUCCUGUCGCAUAACAUCUGAUCGAUGUCUUUCAACUUGAAGUUGAGACUCAAGAAGCCGAACUGAUUCAGGCAGCGAGUUCGAAGAGCUGGUGCCAGCAGUAGUAGCCAGUAACUCGAACAUUACAUCAAGACAUGACUUUGGGGUUGUCUCAGUGUCUUCAAUAUAGUUUUUAUCAGCUUUCUUGGAGACCAACAGGGAUGUCUCACUAUCUUGAACCUUAUCUGCAUUACUUCCUGUACCAUUGCAUAACGGGGGUGCUCUUCUCCAUUAUUUUAUCCGCAUUCUAAAAGAGAAACAAACAAACACGUCACAGGUUUACAAUGUAGUAUAUGAAACUCAUUUUGGUAAACCAGUUCAAUAGUAAGGUGCACAGGAUAACAACAUGAAACAAACAUAUAUCUAUGUAGUAUGGUCACUAUAUGGUCUAUAUCAUUCUAGUUUAUAUUGCCAAAUCAAGAUAGAUAUCGUUCGAAUCAUAUCUACUUAAGACAAAAUAGCUUAGACAGAAUAUAAGUGUGGGAAACUACACAGCAAUAACAACACUUUUAAGGUGCAUGGCAUGAUAAUAUAACUGUUUAUUCAAUUGAAACUGAAAUCAACAUAGAGCAAGUUACAAUAGCAAACACAUUAAAGAAACAUGUUUAAAACGUACCUGUUGCGCCAUUGGAGUUUCAAUUGCAUCCUUCAAAUUUGAAAUUAGUUGGUUUGAGUAAAUACAGUGAUGCAAGAGCAAAGUAGUAUGAACCAUAGCUACGGAACCUGACCUGAGAACAAUUCUUCUUCUGCUUUAAGCGUUGACUUGGGGUUCAGAGUGGUGGUCCUCGUGCUUUGGGCACUGCAGUUGCCUUACUAACUGCUCGUGUUUGGGUGCUCUGUGGUGGAGACGGUGCUGUGUCAACGGGAAUUGGGUUACUAUCUGCUGGGGUUGGGGUUAGAAGGGGUGUAGCUGGUUCUCUAUCCAACUGGGUAGGGGUACAAUCUGCGUGAGUCUAGGUUAUGUGUGGUGGGGCUGGUUCUUGGGAAAGUACAACCGUGGUUCUAUCACCAUCGACAGGUAGCACGAUCUUUUCUGAAGACUGUGUUUUUACUCCCACAGAUACUGCCAUCACCCCCUCCAAUUGAAAUGGCUGAUAAACAAGAAAAGUAAUUGAAUGUACAGACAUUGUAAGAUAGACAGGUGCAAUGGAUAGUAGGGAAGAAAACAGGGCAUGAAAUAAUUCACAUUUAUGUUGUCUAACCAAACAGAAUAGCAGGACAUAAUUCCACAUAUAUGAUGGCUAAUUAAACAUGAUAGCAUGACACAAUUUCACAUGUAUGAUGGCUAACUAAACAGGAUAGAAUGACAUACUUCAAAAUAUGAUGACUAUGUAAACAGAUGACAUGAUAUAACUAUACAAUGUGUCUAUUAAAGUGGUUGGCAUGCCAUAAAUCACAAACAUGCCGUCGAUGGAAACAUGAUGGCAUGAUAUAAUUCACGGAUAGAAUGACAUAAUUCAAAUAUGAUGACUAUGUGAAGUGUGAACAGGAUGAGAUGAUAUAAUGUCACAUCCCUAGCUUCAGGCAUUGCUCUAGGUUAGCUUCAUGUGUGCAUCAUGUCUAUAUUUUUGAAACUUGAAUUGAGGAAUAUUGGAAGCCUCAAAACCCUAAAUAAAAGAGGGGCAAAAACCCUAGAAAUCUCAUUCAUUGCUCCAAAAGGCUCUUCUUAAAUGUUUGAUAAUUUUUGGUAAGGGUUCUGGUCCCAACCAAAAUAUUGAACAUUUUUAAGGAUUUAUUUUUGGGACUUUGAAUUUAAAUCAUUAGCUAUUUGAAUUUGAAUUAUAUUCAUAUAAUUAGAAUAUAAUUUCAAAUACCCCUGAAAUAUUUUAUGAGCUUUUGGAAAAGUCCAUCUAGCCAAAUAAAAUUUAUUCAGAGGAGUUUUUGGCAUUGUUUGAAUUUGUUUAAAAUUCAAAACAGUGGCAAAACGAAAUUAAAUAAAACAAAACAGAAGGAAAAAAUAAAAGAGAGAGAGAGAAGGACUUACCUGGCCUCACCCGCGCAGCCCACCAGCCGGCCCAGUUCCCCCCCCCCUGGCCGGCCCAGCCCGCCAGCGCCCUCCCUGUCGUCUUCCUCCUCGGGACAGUAGGACAGAGGCGCGUGGACGGAGCGCGCGCGCACGCGCCGAGCCACCUCCUGCUUGCCGCCCCGCCCCGGAUCGGCUAAGGAUGCCACGCACCCCCUCAGGCCUCUCUCAACUCCCUCCCGUGCUCAUCCCCUUCUCCUGCCCUCCCUCUCGCUCCGCACCUCGGACCCGAGCGGAGCCGCCGCCACCGACGCCGAUUGCCGCAGCCACCGUGCUCCCCACGCCUCACCGACGCCCCAGGGAGCUCCGCCUCGACCCCCUCCUUCCUCCCCACCGACCCACGGCCCUCCGGAAGCCCUGCAACGCCGUCACCAUCGCCGUUCCGUCGCCGGCCACCGAAGCUCCCCUCCGUUGAUUCGCCGGACCCCGUGCCUCCCCUGCCUCGCCAGCAGCACCAGAAGAACCGCGGUGAGCCCUCGACCCGAUUCCCCCUCUCCCCGUGCCCCACCUCCCUCUCUAGCUAGCCCCACCACUUUGCCCGAGAAUCUCUCGCCGCCGGCCAUGGCGUGGCCGUGGCCACAGCCACCCCAGCUCGUAUCCGAGCCCACUAACGUGCUCACCGUGAUCUCAGGAGUCCGUAGCACGCCCCAGCUCCUCCUGCCGUGCUCCCUAACCCCGACCCCGAGAUUGCCCGAACUCCGGCAGCCGCAAAGGAGCUCGCCGCCGGCAGCUCCGGCCACCCCAGCUGCUGUCACUUGCCUCUUUAGAUGCGCCUUUCUCCCAGGAACCCGUAGGAGCAAACCGCACGUCAAAUGGUGCUCCGUAGCGAGCGCACGGUGCACCUCCGCUGUCGGCCGUGGUCGUCGCCAGCGACACUCCGGCGACUGCCGACGUGGCACGCCUAAUUAGCACUAAUGACCUUGUUAAACUAACCCCGUGACACUGACAGUGGGCCCCGUAGCGGGUCAAAGCCCGGGUCAACGCGGGAUUAGCCUCUGAGUCACUGACGUGUGGACCCCACACGUCAGGUUUGACCUGGACCGCCCGUUGACCUGCUGAGGUCAGCAUGAGGUCAUGCUGACACCAUAAUUCAUUUUCUGGAAUUAUUUUUAAUUCUAAAUAUUCAGGAAAUUCCAGAAAAUUGUAUAAACUUCUAAAAUUCAUAGAAAAUUAACCGUAACUCCAAAUUAAAUAAUUUAUAUAUGUAAAAUUAUCAGAAAAAUUCAAGGAAUCCAUCUGUACCAUUUUCAUGCAUGUUAGAACAACUUAUCACUACUAUUUAGGGCAAAUGAAGUGAAUGGCAUUUGAAUAAUCACAUAUGGAGUUUGAAUUUGAAUUUUAUAUUCAAACCAACUUCAUUUAAUCUGUUGCUAGUUGCAUCAGCCCAAAACACAUUCAUUUUGCCAUGUCAUGAUCAUGCAUCAUAUUGUGCAUUGCAUUGAUUGUGUUCCUUUCUGUGUUGCCGGUAUUUGUCCCCUCUCGAUAGACGUGAUACCGAUGAUGUGAUCGUUGACACUGAUGAAGACUCAAUGUUAUCUUCAGAAGUGCCAGGCAAGCAAAACCCCCUUGUUCAUUCCGAUACAAUCCUACUCUCUCGCUCCUGCUCUCUUUUACUGCAUUAGGACAACACCGAUUCAUCUGUUACUUGCUGCGGUAGCUGAACCCCUUUGUCCUUUGCAUGACCUGUCAUUGCCACAGUAAAUAGAUGAAACCCACUAGCAUGAGUAGGAGUUGUUUGAGCCCUGAUGUGCCUACUCAUUCAUGUUUGUUUGUCAUGCCUGCUAUUGCUUAGAGUUGAGUCAGGUCUGAUUCAUCGGGGAUGAAUCAGAGGCGUGUGAACAUGUCCUACUGUGUGUGAGCUAAGUGUGUGAACACGAUUUGGUAAAGGUAGCGGUGAGAGGCCAUGUAGGAGUACAUGGUGGGUUGUCUCAUUGCAGCCGUCCUCAGGAACUGAGUUCUGUGUUUGUGAUCCAUGAUUCAGCUACUACCACGCAUUGGGCCCGAAACCAAUGGACCCUCUCGGCUUCUUGACCACCCUUGUCCUCUGUCCAGGAGUUGCAAGUAGUUUCUGGUGUUUGUAGUAUGCCGGAGGCCGUGCGCAGCGCUGACCGUAGGGGUGGGCUGUGAUGCGGUAGGCACGUGGCCGGGUAAACCGGGCGCCCGUUUGGUGUCACGGAACCCUGUACACAUCGUUUGGGGCUGUGAGCGAAACUCCGGCCGGAUCUCCUCAUGGAUGGAACCCGAAUAGGCGAUAAACCUGGACUAGAGACUUGAGUGCUUAGGUAGGCCGUGGCCGACACCCACGUUGGGCUUCCGCUUGAAGGUUGCCGAGUACAUGUCGUGUAAACGGCGGUAAGUGGUGAAAGCGUGUGUGAAGAAGUACACCCCUGCAGGGUUAACAUCAUCUAUUCGAAUAGCCGUGUCCGCGGUAAAGGACUGCUGGGUUGCUUAUAUCAGUUCAUAGACAAGUGAAAGUGGAUACUCUAAAAUACGCAAGAUAAGCGUGAGUGCUAUGGAUGGCGUUCUCGUAGGGAGACGGGAGCGGAUCCAUAGUGGUGUAUUGAUAUGGUGAAUAUGUGGACUCGUGUGCGCCACCUCAAAAGAGUUACAUUGCAGUCGUAGUUCAGGAUAGCCACCGAGUCAAAGCUGGCUUGCUGCAGUUAAACCCCACCAUCCCCUUUGUUGAUAAUGAUGCAUAUGUAGAUAGUUCUGAUGUAAGUCUUGCUGGGUACAUUUGUACUCACGUUUGCCUAUUUUAUGUUUUUGCAGAGAGACUUCAGUCUCACUAGUAUUUCCGCGUGGUCUUCGACGUUUAGCUUGAUACCUCAGCUACGAUCUUGUGCCCUCGGCAGGAUCUGAUAGAUAGUCAGGCUUCUCAGCCUUUUUCAUUUAUAGAUGUCUGUACUCAGACAUGAUAGCUUCCGCGUGUGCUUUGACUUGUAUGCUCUGAGUGUUGGGUCAUGAGACCCAUGUUUGUAAUAUCUCGCUCCUCGGAGCCUAUUGAAUAAACUACUUGAGUCGUAGAGUCAUUUUGUGAUGCCAUGUUGUAUUGCACAUAUCGAGCAUAUUGUGUGUAUGUUAUUGAAAUGCUUGGUAUGUGUGGGAUCUGACCAUCUAGUUGUUUAUCUUUAGUAGCCUCUCUUACCAGGAAAUGUCUCCUAGUGUUUCCACUGAGCCAUGGUAGCUUGCUACUGCUCCGGAACACUUAGGCUGGCCGGCAUGUGUCCUUCUUCGUUCCUGUGUCUGUCCCUUCGGGGAAAUGUCACGCGAUGAAUACCGGAGCCCUGUUAGCCUGCUACAGCCCGGUUCACCGGAGUCCUGCUAGCCCAGUGCUACAGCCUGGAUUCACUCGCUGAUGACCGACACGUUCGAUGCUGGGUCAUGGAUGCCUGUCCCUGUAAGUUUGUGCCACUUUGGGUUUACGACUAGCCAUGUCAGCCCGGGCUCCUUAUCAUAUGGAUGCUAGCGACACUGUCAUAUACGUGUGCCAAAAGGCGCAAACGGUCCCGGGCAAAGGUAAGGCGACACCCGUGGGAAUACCGUGCGUGAGGCCGCAAAGUGAUAUGAGGUGUUACAUGCUAGAUCGAUGUGGCAUUGAGUCAAGGUAGUGACAGCGUUGGUAUCAGAGCUUGACUGCCUAUAGGAUUACCAAGCCAAACUAGUCGAAGUUGAGUCUAGAAAUUCUUUAGUUAUAUAAGGGAAUUGAUUGUGGGAUGGAACGUAAGGCUCUUUUUACUCCUUAUACCUCAUGGCCUUCUGAUCUGAGUCAUCAUCUUCUCUUCUACGGGGAUUAAGAACUAGGCUAUCUCUUCUUUCUAUUAGGAUCACGUGUUACUAAUCAGUGGACUUAUAAGAUUGUUGGAUUUAAGUCUCAGUUCAGUUCCUACUACUUCCGUAUGUUAAUUGUUGAUCUCGAAACCUUGAUAUUGUGCUUCUGAGUGGUUAUGCCACCAUUUUUGUGAAUGUCUCAAGUCUUUUCUGAGCAUUUACAGCCGUUAUGCUGUCCGAGUCAUCCCAGGUUUCUAAAUAGUCUGAAGCAUUUGCAAAAUCCCUUCCUUCCGUUCCGAUGUUCCUUUGGGCCAGAUUAACCACACUAAUCGGUGAGUUGAGGUACUUUGUUACCUCGGCGUAUAUGUUGGAGAUAUUAUUAUGACCCUGGGUGUCUUAGGGGAUCAUCUAGUAAUUAGCCAUGAUUGUGUUCCCAGUGUGAUGAUUCUGGCCAUCAGUCUCGAAAGCAUCCCGUGAUGCUACUUAGUAGUAGGUAUUCUACUCCUGGGUUCUGAACCCGAGAUUCACUCUACCUACUUCAUGUUGAUAGUAAUUGCUAGUGCCUUUAGGAUAUUAGUAACCUUUGCGAUAGUCCUUGAAGUCCGUGGUAUCUUCUUCUUCCAAAUACCAUGAACUACUUAUGGCAGAUGUUUAUUGGAUCAAAAAAAAUCACAAUUAGAGUACUCUUGAGGAGUUCUCCAUUCAUAAAUCGUGACUCUGCCAGUUCUACCUUUCUGCAUGGGUUAUCCGGAAGAAAUAUGUUGAACUUGGUUCGACAUACUAAUCUAUGCAUCCACAACUCAGAAAGUUAUAUGUUCCUUUGAGUUGUUCUCUUUAGUUGCAUUCUAACCCUCGUCUAUCAAUUGAUAGUCAAGAGUAUGCGUGCGUUCGUUCAUCGAUGCCUAUGACUCUUGUGGUCUGUCAAGCCAUUCUAUUCCGGAAUGACUAGGAGAAACAAACUCCAGUACCUCUUCCAUAUCUAGGAUUGGGUCAAAGUAGUUGUAUUCCGCAGAUCAAAUGCCAAUCCAGCUUUUGGUUCUGCUCUACCUUGGAGUAUUACAUAUUUUAUAUCGAGAUUGUUAUAGGAAUUGCACACCAUCCCAUGAACUCUUGGUACAGUGAUACUUCUUGCCAUCACUGUUCAUUCCUCGGCCCUCGUGUUGAUGCAACCGGAAUACCGACAAAUGAAUUGUGAUGUGUGAAAUCAAUACUGCUAGCAACUCUGUUGCUUGGUAGUUAAAGGAUAAUAAUUUCAUUCUUAGUAUGUUGGUUUUCGAAUCAUCCUUCUAAGACUGAUCGUGCUACCUAGUCCUUAUUUCGGUGCACCCUUCGAUUGAUGAGUUAGGAUCUUGUCAAGUCCUCACUCAUUUGAUCAUAUCGUCUUGCCCUCAACAGCAAGAUUGUUCUCGAGCUUAGUAACAUACCGGUGGUUCGUGACUUUCCAAAUAUCUUCUUGGAGGUGUUACCGGGUUGUCACCUGACCGCUAUGUUGAGUUCGUGGUCAAGUUGGUUUCUUGUGAACCACCUUCUCUCCAAGAAUCGGUGUUAGAUAUCCCUGAGCUAGUUGGUUAAGCUAGACAACAACUUGGAGAGUUGGAAGAUAAAAUCUUGUCUGACUUAGUUCGUUCCAAAGGGAUAUUCUUGUGUAGUGUGUGUUGAAGAAAGAUGAUAUCUUCAUCGAUUGGUCCUUGUGAUCAGUUGCUGGACCUAUUGUCUUAUCAAUCCUUUGAUUUGAGUGUGGGCUAUCGUCAAAUCAAAUCAGUACCAACGAUGCUCGUAAUGUUGUCUUAUUCAUGGUUGAUCCCUCGAGCAUACACCAUUAUAUCUUUUAGGUCUGACCAAUGCUAUCACUUGUUCACUUAACUAUGGAAUUCCUUUUAAAAGGAAACCCAGAUGAAUUGUUGUUGUGCCCAUUGACAACAUCCUUGUCUUCUCCAUAAUUUUGCCGAACAUUAAGCUAGUGUUGGAAACUUUUGAAAGCAUUUGUUCAUGCUAGCUCAUGAAGCAUAUGUUUGGAUGAAGGUAGUGACUUCCUUUCAUUCAUGUGCAUCUGAUGCAAGUUGCCGCCGUGGAUUCGAGAAAGUCAAUGUUGCUUUCUUUGGAAUCAUUCCAAAUCAGUCAUGCACACGUGCGAAGAAUGCUGUGGUUUGAAGACUUGCAACCUUCAAUCUAUAUGUAUCCCUAGCACACCAAGCCACUGAUUGAUUUGUUCAAGGAGAAGGAGUUCCUUCAUAAGAGCUAAUCCGGACUUAUGAAAGAACUUCGAUACCCUCGUUGAUGGUUCCCCCUCCUGAACUCGGUAGUGUUUUAUUAUAAGACUACCACGUGGUCAUGCUUGUCUGGGACAACGUGUUCACAUGUUUGUAGCAGAACCAGCUCAUGUUUUGGAGCUUGCUAUCGUAGUUCAUCUCCCGAGAAUCCCGCAACGUCAUCUCGUCGAUUUGUGUUGCAAACUUUCAUUUUUCUUCCUAAGACUCGAUGAGCCUAGAAUAUCCUAACACCAACCAGAGCUGAAUCUCAGGCAGAUAUGAUGGUUUGGAACAUUUCCCAAGAACUAUAAUAUUGGUCUCGCGAUAACCGAUAAAGUGGAUGUCAUGGCCAACACACCCAGCCGGAAGACCUAUUAUUGUAGUAUCUUGAUUGAAGAAGUUGGCCACCUCCCCAUAGGGAUUUCGUAGGAUUUACUCCCUAGUUGCCCCUAUGGAUUUCUGUGUUCCGAAGUCCGACCUUUUUACUUGAUGUUCUAGAUAUCAAACCAUAUCUAUGAAUGGGAUACGCUAGCACAUCAAGGAGAACAUUAGAAGCGGAGUGCUAAAUGUCUCUCGGUCGAUCAUCCAGAUUUUGUUCCUUGGCUUCGCUAAGGUGUAAUCUGAGAAGGUGUUAUCUUCCUUUGCAUCUGCAUCAUCCAUCAUCAUUCAUCGUGGUAGCAAGUUGUGUUGCCAGGAUCCUUGACACGGAUGUUGGUAAAACCUUGAUGAUUAUGGAAUUGCUCAAGUUCUUGAGAGCACGCACAAGCCCUACGUCUUAUCAUCGGCACUAGCUGGGAUUGCCCCAGAUUUCCUCGGUUAUGCUAUAAUCACUCCAACAGUGAAUUCACCCUCUAUUGUUGGGUUCUUCCCCAGUUACCAGAAUCAUUCCCAGCAUUUGCAUUUUGUUCCCAGCUUGCACCGCCAAUGUGCCAUCCUACCAUGGGUCUCUUCCAUUUCCGGUGAUAAGCAAAAUUCAUCCAUUACGUUGUCUUCAACAAGGUAAUCCACAUCAUCCAAGUUUGAGUAUGCCAUUCUACCGAACCCCUCUAAAUGAUCGAUUAUGAUUUGCCUUAAGCUGGUAUAAAGAGUUUCAAUGAUCUUUGAAUCAAAGGUAAUUCUUUUUGCCACUUCAGGGGAUAUAUCUACGAGUCACCAUCCCUAAGAUGCCUCGUUGUGGUAUCAUGGCAAUCCAACUCCUCGCUACCUUGACAACCGAUCACCACAUUCUUAAGUCUGGAAUUGUUGUCUACCUAGUGAACCUCGUCAUCUGCUCCACUCCAUCCCUCUAGAGGUGUGCUUCGUCUCUCAGUUCAAGAGAUGUUGCUAUGCCUCAUUCCGAGAGUUAAUCCUGAGUUGUUCGACCUUCGAGAAGAUCGAUUCUUCCGGAGUUGUCCUUUUCCUCUUGCUGUCAUGCUAGCUGGAGUUCUCAGAGCAAGACGACGGGACAAAGAUGGUGAACAAAUCAACAUUCAGUUGAAGUGCAACCUGGAUCGUGAAGAUUAUACUAGUUGCGUUUACCUUUCACCUUACCCUACGCGUGAAUCUCGAGACGAGAUUCUUGUUUAGUGGGGGUGAGUUGUCACAUCCCUAGCUUCAGGCAUUGCUCUAGGUUAGCUUCAUGUGUGCAUCAUGUCUAUAUUUUUGAAACUUGAAUUGAGGAAUAUUGGAAGCCUCAAAACCCUAAAUAAAAGAGGGGCAAAACCCCUAGAAAUCUCAUUCAUUGCUCCAAAAGGCUCUUCUUAAAUGUUUGAUAAUUUUUGGUAAGGGUUCUGGUCCCAACCAAAAUAUUGAACAUUUUUAAGGAUUUAUUUUUGGGACUUUGAAUUUAAAUCAUUAGCUAUUUGAAUUUGAAUUAUAUUCAUAUAAUUAGAAUAUAAUUUCAAAUACCCCUGAAAUAUUUUAUGAGCUUUUGGAAAAGUCCAUCUAGCCAAAUAAAAUUUAUUCAGAGGAGUUUUUGGCAUUGUUUGAAUUUGUUUAAAAUUCAAAACAGUGGCAAAACGAAAUUAAAUAAAACAAAACAGAAGGAAAAAAUAAAAGAGAGAGAGAGAAGGACUUACCUGGCCUCACCCGCGCAGCCCACCAGCCGGCCCAGUUCCCCCCCCCUGGCCGGCCCAGCCCGCCAGCGCCCUCCCUGUCGUCUUCCUCCUCGGGACAGUAGGACAGAGGCGCGUGGCCGGAGCGCGCGCGCACGCGCCGAGCCACCUCCUGCUUGCCGCCCCGCCCCGGAUCGGCUAAGGAUGCCACGCACCCCCUCAGGCCUCUCUCAACUCCCUCCCGUGCUCAUCCCCUUCUCCUGCCCUCCCUCUCGCUCCGCACCUCGGACCCGAGCGGAGCCGCCGCCACCGACGCCGAUUGCCGCAGCCACCGUGCUCCCCACGCCUCACCGACGCCCCAGGGAGCUCCGCCUCGACCCCCUCCUUCCUCCCCACCGACCCACGGCCCUCCGGAAGCCCUGCAACGCCGUCACCAUCGCCGUUCCGUCGUCGGCCACCGAAGCUCCCCUCCGUCGAUUCGCCGGACCCCGUGCCUCCCCUGCCUCGCCAGCAGCACCAGAAGAACCGCGGUGAGCCCUCGACCCGAUUCCCCCUCUCCCCGUGCCCCACCUCCCUCUCUAGCUAGCCCCACCACUUUGCCCGAGAAUCUCUCGCCGCCGGCCAUGGCGUGGCCGUGGCCACAGCCACCCCAGCUCGUAUCCGAGCCCACUGACGUGCUCACCGUGAUCUCAGGAGUCCGUAGCACGCCCCAGCUCCUCCUGCCGUGCUCCCUAACCCCGACCCUGAGAUUGCCCGAACUCCGGCAGCCGCAAAGGAGCUCGCCGCCGGCAGCUCCGGCCACCCCAGCUGCUGUCACUUGCCUCUUUAGAUGCGCCUUUCUCCCAGGAACCCGUAGGAGCAAACCGCACGUCAAAUGGUGCUCCGUAGCGAGCGCACGGUGCACCUCCGCUGUCGGCCGUGGUCGUCGCCGGCGACACUCCGGCGACUGCCGACGUGGCACGCCUAAUUAGCACUAAUGACCUUGUUAAACUAACCCCGUGACACUGACAGUGGGCCCCGUAGCGGGUCAAAGCCCGGGUCAACGCGGGAUUAGCCUCUGAGUCACUGACGUGUGGACCCCACACGUCAGGUUUGACCUGGACCGCCCGUUGACCUGCUGAGGUCAGCAUGAGGUCAUGCUGACGCCAUAAUUCAUUUUCUGGAAUUAUUUUUAAUUCUAAAUAUUCAGGAAAUUCCAGAAAAUUGUAUAAACUUCUAAAAUUCAUAGAAAAUUAACCGUAACUCCAAAUUAAAUAAUUUAUAUAUGUAAAAUUAUCAGAAAAAUUCAAGGAAUCCAUCUGUACCAUUUUCAUGCAUGUUAGAACAACUUAUCACUACUAUUUAGGGCAAAUGAAGUGAAUGGCAUUUGAAUAAUCACAUAUGGAGUUUGAAUUUGAAUUUUAUAUUCAAACCAACUUCAUUUAAUCUGUUGCUAGUUGCAUCAGCCCAAAACACAUUCAUUUUGCCAUGUCAUGAUCAUGCAUCAUAUUGUGCAUUGCAUUGAUUGUGUUCCUUUCUGUGUUGCCGGUAUUUGUCCCCUCUCGAUAGACGUGAUACCGAUGAUGUGAUCGUUGACACUGAUGAAGACUCAAUGUUAUCUUCAGAAGUGCCAGGCAAGCAAAACCCCCUUGUUCAUUCCGAUACAAUCCUACUCUCUCGCUCCUGCUCUCUUUUACUGCAUUAGGACAACACCGAUUCAUCUGUUACUUGCUGCGGUAGCUGAACCCCUUUGUCCUUUGCAUGACCUGUCAUUGCCACAGUAAAUAGAUGAAACCCACUAGCAUGAGUAGGAGUUGUUUGAGCCCUGAUGUGCCUACUCAUUCAUGUUUGUUUGUCAUGCCUGCUAUUGCUUAGAGUUGAGUCAGGUCUGAUUCAUCGGGGAUGAAUCAGAGGCGUGUGAACAUGUCCUACUGUGUGUGAGCUAAGUGUGUGAACACGAUUUGGUAAAGGUAGCGGUGAGAGGCCAUGUAGGAGUACAUGGUGGGUUGUCUCAUUGCAGCCGUCCUCAGGAACUGAGUUCUGUGUUUGUGAUCCAUGAUUCAGCUACUACCACGCAUUGGGCCCGAAACCAAUGGACCCUCUCGGCUUCUUGACCACCCUUGUCCUCUGUCCAGGAGUUGCAAGUAGUUUCUGGUGUUUGUAGUAUGCCGGAGGCCGUGCGCAGCGCUGACCGUAGGGGUGGGCUGUGAUGCGGUAGGCACGUGGCCGGGUAAACCGGGCGCCCGUUUGGUGUCACGGAACCCUGUACACAUCGUUUGGGGCUGUGAGCGAAACUCCGGCCGGAUCUCCUCAUGGAUGGAACCCGAAUAGGCGAUAAACCUGGACUAGAGACUUGAGUGUUUAGGUAGGCCGUGGCCGACACCCACGUUGGGCUUCCGCUUGAAGGUUGCCGAGUACAUGUCGUGUAAACGGCGGUAAGUGGUGAAAGCGUGUGUGAAGAAGUACACCCCUGCAGGGUUAACAUCAUCUAUUCGAAUAGCCGUGUCCGCGGUAAAGGACUGCUGGGUUGCUUAUAUCAGUUCAUAGACAAGUGAAAGUGGAUACUCUAAAAUACGCAAGAUAAGCGUGAGUGCUAUGGAUGGCGUUCUCGUAGGGAGACGGGAGCGGAUCCAUAGUGGUGUAUUGAUAUGGUGAAUAUGUGGACUCGUGUGCGCCACCUCAAAAGAGUUACAUUGCAGUCGUAGUUCAGGAUAGCCACCGAGUCAAAGCUGGCUUGCUGCAGUUAAACCCCACCAUCCCCUUUGUUGAUAAUGAUGCAUAUGUAGAUAGUUCUGAUGUAAGUCUUGCUGGGUACAUUUGUACUCACGUUUGCCUAUUUUAUGUUUUUGCAGAGAGACUUCAGUCUCACUAGUAUUUCCGCGUGGUCUUCGACGUUUAGCUUGAUACCUCAGCUACGAUCUUGUGCCCUCGGCAGGAUCUGAUAGAUAGUCAGGCUUCUCAGCCUUUUUCAUUUAUAGAUGUCUGUACUCAGACAUGAUAGCUUCCGCGUGUGCUUUGACUUGUAUGCUCUGAGUGUUGGGUCAUGAGACCCAUGUUUGUAAUAUCUCGCUCCUCGGAGCCUAUUGAAUAAACUACUUGAGUCGUAGAGUCAUUUUGUGAUGCCAUGUUGUAUUGCACAUAUCGAGCAUAUUGUGUGUAUGUUAUUGAAAUGCUUGGUAUGUGUGGGAUCUGACCAUCUAGUUGUUUAUCUUUAGUAGCCUCUCUUACCGGGAAAUGUCUCCUAGUGUUUCCACUGAGCCAUGGUAGCUUGCUACUGCUCCAGAACACUUAGGCUGGCCGGCAUGUGUCCUUCUUCGUUCCUAUGUCUGUCCCUUCGGGGAAAUGUCACGCGAUGAAUACCGGAGCCCUGUUAGCCUGCUACAGCCCGGUUCACCGGAGUCCUGCUAGCCCAGUGCUACAGCCUGGAUUCACUCGCUGAUGACCGACACGUUCGAUGCUGGGUCAUGGAUGCCUGUCCCUGUAAGUUUGUGCCACUUUGGGUUUACGACUAGCCAUGUCAGCCCGGGCUCCUUAUCAUAUGGAUGCUAGCGACACUGUCAUAUACGUGUGCCAAAAGGCGCAAACGGUCCCGGGCAAAGGUAAGGCGACACCCGUGGGAAUACCGUGCGUGAGGCCGCAAAGUGAUAUGAGGUGUUACAUGCUAGAUCGAUGUGGCAUUGAGUCAAGGCAGUGACAUAUAACUAUAUUAUGUCUUUAGAAAAUGGGUUGGCAUGCCAUAAUUCAGAUACAUGCUGUCUAUGUAGACAUCAUGGCAUGAUAUAAUUCAAAUAUAUGAUUUAUAUACUAAGGAAGUGAGCAGAGGGCAAUCACAUAUAUGAUGUGUCAACUAAGGAGAUGGCAUUCAAUAUCGUGUAUAUGAUGUAAAAACUAAGCAUUGCAAUACAACAUAUGCAUGAUAUGAGUAAUAUAACCCUGCCAAGUUUGAGCAUACACCUCAGGGGGAUAAUAGGACUGGUCAUCUUCCGCUGAAUCCUCCUCUGAAGAGCUAUCUGUAACCAGCAAGAUAUCUGCUUCACCAGGUAGCAUUGUCUGCUCUAAAGACCUUGUUUUCACUCCAUAUUUCUCCAUCACCAAUUCAAAUGGCUGAUGCACAAGAAGAGUAGUUGAAUAUGCAAACAUUGUCGACAAAAGCAAUGAGAAAUACAAAAAAAGGACGGCAUGAUAUAAUUAACAUAUAUGAUGCUUGGCUAAAUAGCAUGGCAUUGCAUAAUUCACAUAUAUAAUGCCUUGCAACAAGAUAACAUUGCAUAAUUCACAUAUAUAAUGUCUUGCAACAAGAUGUCAUUGCAUAAUUCACAUAUAUGGUAAUUAGACACUAAACAGGUGGCAUUCACAGAAAGCAUGUCUAAACUAAGCAAAUGACAUAGCAAUGCAAGAUACCAUACGCACGAUAUGAGCAACAUAACCCUGCCAAGUUAGAGCAUGCACCUCGGGGGGGGGGGGGAUAGGACUGGUCAUCUGUCUCUGAAUCCUCCUCUCAGGAGCUAUCUGUAACCAGCAAGACAUGCGCUACGUCAGAUAGCAUUGUCUGCUCUGAAGACCUUGUUUCCACUCCAGAUUUUUCCAUGACUGUGCCGAAUUGCUGAUGCACAGGAAGAGUAAUUGAAUGUACUAAAAUUGUUGACAAAUUUAACAUGUAAUAAAAAAUGAUGUCAUGAUAUAAUUCACAUAUAAGAUGACUGGCUAACCAGGGUGGCAUUACAAAAUUCACAUAUAUGAUGCCUGGCUAAACAAGAUGGUAUUGCAUGAUUCACAUAUACGAUAAAGAAACUAAACAAAUGGCAUUGACACAAAGCAUGUCUAAACUAAGCAGAUGACAUCUUUGAUGUAUACAGUAAGCAAUGCAACGCACCAUAUGCAUGAUUUUACCAACAUCAACAUGCCAAGUUAGAGUGAAGACCUCAUGGGGUAAAUAGGAGUGGUCUUCUGCUUCUGAAUCCCCCUCAGAACAGUUAUCUUCCUCUUGAUUACAAUCCGAAAUGGGUGGAGGGGGGCUGCCUUAGCGCCCACCAUGGAGCGACGUCUGCAUGAAAUUUUAUUGCCAUGCAAGGCUCGUCUCUUUUGUCAGAUUUCGGGUUCCGGCAGACCCUUGAGGUUCGAACACUGGGGUGCGCACGGAGAUUUCGCCUCCUACCUACCUGCACCCCUCCGCCUCGCUAAGAUCUAAGCUAUGGGAAGAACAACACAAGAGACACAGGGUUUAUACUGGUUCGGGCCACCGUUGUGGUGUAAUACCCUACUCCAGUGUGUGGUGUGGUGGAUUGCCUCUUGGGCUGAUGAUGAUGAACAAUACAAGGAAGAACAGCCUCGCGAGGGUCUGUUCUUGGCUGGGGCGAUGAACUGCUAGGAGGAGUUCAGUCACCCUUCUCUCUCUCUCUCUCUCUCUCUCUCUCUCUCUUCUCGAUUGUUUAUCUCGAUCUCCCUAAACCUCUCUGCUCUCUCCAACCCUGUGGGUGGCUGGUCCUAUUUAUAGAGGCCCUGGUCCUCUUCCCAAAUAUCGAGCGGGAAGGGAGCCAACAAUGGCGGGCUAAUUUGAAGGGGGACAGCUAGUACCAGCUAUCCUGACAAAAGUAGUCUUCGCCUGCACAAAGCUCUGGUAGUGACGCCGUCUUGGGCUCCAUGAUGACCUCCGUCUUGCAGUCCUCCUGGCCUUGGUCUUAUUGCCCCGAAAUGGCAACCCUUGCCUGAUGCCUCGGUACUCCGCGGCUGCGCUUGCUCCCUUUGCACCAAAGAGAAAAGGAGGACACUGUGCGGGCUGGCGCCCGCCUGGCGCCCUUGGUCGUCAUGGCUUGCGUCAUGGGCACCUCAUGAGGUACCCCGCCUUGAUCUCUCCGCCUCCUCGCGAGCCAGCCUGAUGAGGCUGUGCCUGAGGAAGCUCCGCGUCGUCCGCCCCGCGAGGCUUGGCCCCUUGUGAGGGUCUUGGCUCUGUGUUGGUGAAGAUGGGCCGUGCUGGGCCCCCCUUUGAGCCACGCCGCAGGCCGCAGGCAGGCAAGUCUGGGGACCCCCGUUCCCAAAACGCCGACAGUAGCCCCCGGGCCCAAGGCGCACCCGGACUUGGCCGUGUAGCUAGGCGGAAGGGCAAGAGCGAAGCGCCGCGGGCCCUAACAGCCUGCGGCCUUGGGCGCCGGGUGGCAGUUGAUUGGACGUGAGCGCCUUAGCAACCGUGCGAGUUGAUAAAGGAGCGGCAUCCGCCUAGGCUUUGCUUUUUGCUUUCUCCGGUUGCUGCUCAAAUCCCCUUUCCUGCGCCUCUCCUUCCUUCCUCCAAAAUUUUCAGAUCUACUCUGACCGCGUGACCUAGGAAGCCAUGGCGCCUCGUCAGCCCCCGGCCGUAGCUUGAUACUCGUCUGCCCUGGACCCGCCGAACGUGUCGGAGGCGAGCCUCGCCCGGUUGCGCCGGAUGGCGGCGGCGUGGGGCAUUGACGGGGCGAAGGUGUUCAAGGCCGGCUUCACCACCCCUAAGGGUCAAGGGAGCACCUUCUAUCCGUUCUUCGUAAGUGCCAUUGCUGCUGGCCUGGUGCCUCCCUUCUCCGAGUUCUUCUUAUCUGUCCUCCGCCAUUAUAAGCUACAUGCUUUGCAUCUCCACCCCAACUCCGUCCUUCUCCUGGCAAUCUUCGCCUAUUACUGCGAGGCUCACGUAGGGGUGCAGCCCUCAGUGGCCUUGCUGCGCCACUACUUCUAACUCCGGACCUCUCGCGGUCCUGCUUCCGCGUGCCCGAGCUUCAUCGCAUACGGUGGCGCCAUUGCCAUUUCGAACCCCGGGAAAAGGAUUGAGGGCUUCAGGAGCAAGUGGGUCUUGGUGGAUGCUGGGCGCAUCCACCCUCGGCUGAUCUUGCCCACGGAGCAGCCCGCGAGCUCCAGCGAUUGGGGUCGAGCGGAGCUCGUGGACCCCUGCGUGAAGCUGGUGUUGGAGAAGAUGGACGCGGAUCUGAGGCCGGCCAACAUGGCGGCGGCGAAGCUGACCGGCACGUCGCUGCUGAGAGAAUUCCUGGAGCACCAGCUAGCUCCGCUUCGGCAGUACUCACUUCCGAUGUGGAGGCCCCAUCCGAGCCCUGCGGCCUUGGCCGAUGGAGAUCUGGCUGUGGUCCUCGAAUCUCUGGUCGGGGGCGAUGUGGCGAGGUUGGAGGGCGCUCCUACGCCCUUGUUCCUGCGCGACGACUGGGAGCAGGUAGUGGAGUCCAUGCCCGUCUUCAACGGGGAUGGGCCCGUGCCCAUAGAAACCCCCGAGGAACCGGUGGACGUGCCCUCCGACGACUCCAGCGAAGAGGAGGAAGGAGGGGAGCGGGAAAAAGGGCCUGACUCCGAGGCGACUGACGGAGAGUCGAGGGCUCCCCUCCUCCGGCGCAGGUCCCGCAUUCUCCGCCUCUCUCCGAGCGAUGACGACGAGGAUGAUGACGAGCAGGACGGCGGGAGCUUGCCCCCGAUCCUGAAGAAGGACAAGACCGGGCUGAUCUCCCGUGGGUCUGCCCCGGCCCCGAGGCGUACCGCAGACGCACCUUCCGCUUCCAAGCUUCCCGAGGUUGACCCUUCCAGCCGGCUUUCAGGCUUCAAAUUUGGCCGGAGGCCGCUUGAGCUCACUGGCGACGACCCGUAAGCAUUUGAUUCUUGUCUUUAUUUCUUGCUCUGCUUCUGAGGCUUGACGUCCGCAUCUCUUGGAUAGGCUGGCGCCCGCAGCAAAGAAGUCAAAGGGGGAUCACGAGGUUCCGUCCGUGGCAGUGCCUCUGCCUGCGGAGGAGGGUGACCGCGACGCACAGGCUUCUCCUGCCCGGUCGUCCUCACGAGGCCUGGCUGAGCCGGCUGGGGCGAGCUCAGCCCCCACGGCCCAAGUGACUCCCGAGGUGUCCUUGCCUACCGCUGCCACUACAGCCGUUGGGGCGCAGCAGACUCCGCCUCAGGAUGCUGUGGCCGCGCUGCCGCCUUCUCCUCCUAUUCCACCGGCUGCUGUUUCUCCGACUCCUUCUGCCGUUCUGGAUCACGCUGUUGCUGAGCUGGACCUACUGCAGCAGGGUCUUCUUGGCGCUGACCCUCGCUUGGUGGCUGGGCGCCUGGAGCUGGCUUCAGGAUGGGUUCGCUCCGACACCUCGAUUCGGGCGGCGCUGGUCCAGGCCUCGACGGCUUGCGACGAGGAGAAGCAGGCCGUCCUUGAGGCGAAGGCUGCUCGUGACGCAGCCCUGGGGGAGGUGGUCGACAUCCGUGGUCACUGCAAGGCGCUGGAGGACGAGCUGCAAGGCCUGCGGGACCAGCUCGCGAAAGAGGUCCGCCUUCGCCAAGAGCAGGAAGAAGGCGUGAAGGCUCGCGAGGCAGCCGUCAAGGAGAGGGAGGUCAAGCUCAGGAAGCGCCGUGACUGCCUAGGCGCGCUGGAGCAGGAGUUGGGGGCCAGGAAGGCCGAGCUGGACGACAAGGCCCUGGUUCUUGCCGAGGACCGCGUGGCCUUCACGGAGAUGGAGGCGAAGGCUCGCUCCUCGCUGAGGACGCUUUACGACAGCGGCCUGGAGAGCCCGCUGGCUGGCGCCGAGGACGGCCUCGCCAAGCUGCUUCCUUCCUGGUUCGCACUCUUGAAGAUGUCGCCCUUGGCCUUGGCCCCACGGCCGAGGCCGAGGCGCAUGUCCUGUCUUCUGCAGCACUGACGCGGGUCCUCACCCACAUCUACCUUCGCGAUCCCGGCGUCGACCUCGACAGCCUGCUAGAGCCAAUAAGCGGCGAGCGUGCCGCUGCCGAGGGCGUGAAGGGUCGCGCGGAGGCUCUGCUGGGGAAGUUCCGGGCCUUCAGCACCAAGCCGAAGCAAGGCGCUGCCGACCCCACUGCUCCAUGAGGCGAACCCACUCCGCGCUGCUCCACCACCGACAAGUGACUCCGUUGUGUCUCCUGUCCUGCCUUUAAUUCAUGCACAUGUAUCAUGCCUCGGGGAGGCGUUUAAACUUGCAUUUGGCAUUGAGAUAACAGUGUGGACUGUAAUAUUUGCUUUUGAAUUCCUUCAAAUUUGCGCUUUUCCUUCCUACUUGCUUAUGUUCUACGCCGGCAGAGCCCGGCCCCGCGCAUGCCUCACCCAGCGUUGGUCCCGACCGGAAACCAGGACAGGGCCAAGGAGUGAGGGGCUACGUGACAAGCUAGGCUCCUGAGUCGCGAUGCUCAGGAGUCCCCCUUGGCGCAAGAACAACAAGUAGGAAGGUGUGAUGUGGGUGGAUCUACCGUUCUACGUCUGUAGAGCCCGGCCGCGCGCAUACCUCAACCGCCGUUAGCCUUUCGGAACUAAGGAGUGAGGGGCUAUGUGACCAGUUAGGCUCCUGAGUCGCGAUGCUCAGGAGUCCCCCUUAACGCUCAAACGGCCUUUGUACCUUGGCUCCGCUCGGGGAGAGACGCACGACGAACCAGGCCCCAGGGGGGGGGGGNNNNNNNNNNNNNNNNNNNNNNNNNNNNNNNNNNNNNNNNNNNNNNNNNNNNNNNNNNNNNNNNNNNNNNNNNNNNNNNNNNNNNNNNNNNNNNNNNNNNNNNNNNNNNNNNNNNNNNNNNNNNNNNNNNNNNNNNNNNNNNNNNNNNNNNNNNNNNNNNNNNNNNNNNNNNNNNNNNNNNNNNNNNNNNNNNNNNNNNNNNNNNNNNNNNNNNNNNNNNNNNNNNNGGGGGGGGGGGUUGCUGGGCGGCGUGCGUCUGGGCGUGACCCAGGCGCAGCCCCCGUGCCCAGCCCCCUCGCGCGGCACUCCCGAGGGGAGGCAUUACAAUGAGGCUAGACACUGAGCUCUAGGCUCCCUGAGGUUGAUGCGGUCCGGGGGCCACCCUCAGUUGUUCAUCACCAGCGCGGAGCAUAGCGCUUCCGUAUGUGUACGGGCAUAGCCGCUCCUCGGUAGUGUCGUCAGCCAGCGCGGAGCAUGGUGCUUCCACUAGUACGUGGGAGGGGGCCCCCCUCCGGGAGGAGCCCCCCGGGGCGUGUACAGCCCCGCCCUGACACGCGGCUGGCACGGUAGGGCCUGGCGAGGUGUAUCUGGGCACCUGUGAGCCAGCGCGGGACUCACGGGGCCCUACCUCUAGGCGGGUUGCGCCUGGCACUGGGCCUUAUCUUGUGAUGUGUCCCUGCAAAUUUGGUUAGAUGCCGGCACUCUACGUCCUCGGGUCCCGGCCCUCGAGCUGGUCUCAGCCGUCGCUGGUAUGCCAGGUCGCGAUGCCGUGGACAAGGCCAGAGGGUGAGGGCUGGAGAGCCAGUAAGAGCCCUGAGUCGCGAUGCUCAGGUACCCCCCCUUUAACGUGCAAGUGGUCGGCAUGGAGAAGAAGAGGUGCCGUGGACCGGCAUCAAAUAAUCAAGCAUGGUGGAUCGAACGCAUAACCAAAAAUAAACGCAAAUGGGAUACCUGCCGCUGGGUCUGGACCGAGCGACUUGGGGAUCAUCCAGCCCGAGGGGCGCCCCCAACAAGGUAAGCUAACAACAUGAAAUAAAAGGGAUACACGCCGCAGGGACGGACCAACACGGCCUGGGAAUAAUGCAGCCCUGGGGAGCGCUCCCAGCUGGAAGUGAAACUUGAAAGAUGUCACCUGAUGACGUUGAGGACGAAGGGGUGUUGGUGUAGCAGACUCAGUGGGCUGCGGAAGCCGAUCCUCAUGAGCCCCCAGGCCCAGGGGCCUCGGGAGGCUCUGGAGGCGCUGGCGGCUCCUCGCGAACCAUCUCCAUCUCCGCCAGGGCUGCGGAACGCCUGGCCUCUUGUGCCUCCGUGAUGCCCCUCAUGAGGCGCUGGUACGUGGCAGCGGCGUUCGGCAAGCCAUAAGGCAUGCGAACGUAGCUGUGGGGUGGACCUCCGCAGCGCCUCACUCGCGAGGGCCAGAGGCGCUCCAGAGAGGUGACUCGGUUGAGCCCUGGUAUGUCGAUGCAGACGCGCAGCCCACCAUCCUCGCCUGGAUGGGGAGCCACUGCUGGUAGGCGGCGGCCGCCUUUCAUGACUCUUGACUCCUGUAGCUCCUGAAUGGCCUUGCUGACGAACUCCUGAGGGUCUGGCUCUCCUUGCCUUGCUCCUUCUUGAGGGAAACAUGCUUCGAAACACGCUUCCAUGUGGUGCCCAAGUGCCUCCCUCGUGACCCUAGCUAGGACGGUGGCCCUCUAGGGGAGAGCCCCCGAGCCCUGCCUGAGGAGGGCGCUGGGCGCGCUUUCCUAUGCGAUGGAAGGAGGUUCCCCCUGGGCAGGCAUGGGCCUAGAGGGGCCUGCCUCCUGAGGGGCCGGGCCGGACGAUGUCUUCUUCUUCUUGGGGGCGGCCUCGGGAAGCCUCCUGCUUCCGCGAUCCGGGUCUUCCAGUGACGCGGCCUGAAAGGCUCGUUCCAGGGAACACACCGCGUCCUUCUCUUCACAGGGCACCGUGAUGACUCUGCAACUUCCCGGCAUCUUGAGGACGUUGUAGCCGUGGUGAGUUACGGCCAUGAAUUUGGCCAGCACUGGGUACCCAAGGAUGGCGUUGUACGGCAGACGAAUGUGAGCGACGUCGAAGUCGAUGAGCUCAGUGCGGUAGUUGUCGCGUGCCCCGAAGGUGACAGGGAGGCGGACCUGCCCAAUCGAUACCGUGGAGCCGUCGGUGAUUCCGGAGAAAGGCUUGGUUGGCUGAAGCUGGCUGUAGGGCACUUGGAGAUUGUUGAAUGUUUCCACGGACAGGACGUUGAGCCCUGCCCCGCCAUCGAUGAGGGUCCUGGUGACCAACACGUUGCUGAUGAUUGGGGAACAAAGCAUCGGGAGGACUCCGACUGUAGCCGCACACUUGAGCUGAUCUGCUGAGCUGAACAUGAUGGCGCACGCCGACCACCUGAGAGGGCGCGUGGCUUCGAGCCUGGGGAGGACUGCAUUCACUUCACCGGCGAACUGCUUGAAGAUGCGUUGAGAGGCUGGGGCUUGAGCCCCGCCCAGGAUGCAGGCAAUCGCGCGCGGCUCCUGGAAGCCCCCAGCCCCCUCGUCCUGGUGGCGGUCCUCGUUUCUCCUUGGCUGCGGCGGCAGCGGAGAGAGGCCUGCGUUGCCUUGCGGGCGAUCCUCGCGAGGCUGAUCCCUCCAGUCUCCCUCGCGAGGCGGGUCUUGCCAGCGAUCCUCGCGAGGUUGGUCGCGCCACCCUUGGCGCGGGCCACGGUCUUCCCAGUGUCAUGCGUUCCUUCCUCCUCCUCGACCGUAGCCCCGGUCACCACGGUCGGGGCGACAGCCGAUCCUUCCUUCUCGCACGGCUCGGAGCUCUUGACAUUCGUUGGUGUUUUGGGUGUGGAGGUCGUGGUACACACAGUACCGACUGCCCUUGGGAGGUUCGGGCUGAUCUCUGCCCUGCUUGGUGUCUGGUUCUGCCGCGAGCACGGCAGCCCCCUUGCAUUUCACAUCCUUGGCCUUGGGCUUCUUCUCUUCUGGGUUUGCGGCCGGCAGCUCGAGGAGGGAGAGACGCCCUUCCUCAGCCCUGGCGCACUUGGUUGCCAAGUUGAACAGCUCCAAGGAAGUGCACAUGUCUUCAUGCAUCGCCAGCUCCUCCUUCAUCUUGACAUCACGCACGCCGUCAGAGAAGGCUGAGAUGAUGUCCUCCUCAGUCACCUUGGGAAUCUUGAGGCGUGCGUUGUUGAAGCGCUGGAUGUACGUCUGCAGGGUCUCCCCGGGUUGUUGCUUGAUGCGGCGCAUGUCGCUCACGGCGGGUGGCCGGUCGUGAGUACCUUGGAAGUUGGCGAUGAAGCGGGUGCGCAUCUCGUCCCAGGAGGAGAUCGUGCCUGGAGCCAGGUUCAGGAGCCAGGUGCGGGCCCCGUCCUCGAGCGCCAUGGGAAACCAGUUCAUCAUGACCUUCUCGUUUCUGUUGGCAGCUUCGAUGCCUAGCUCGUAGAGCUGGAGGAACUCCGCAGGGUCAGCCGUGCCAUCGUAACAAGGAGGCAGGUCUAGCUUGAACUUGCCGGGCCACGCGAUGCUGCGUAGCUCGGUGGUGAAGGCACGGUAGUCUGCUGUGGCCACGGAGGCCUUGGGUGACGGAGAGCUUGGUCUUUCAUGUCCCCACGCGCUGCAGCUGGGAGCAGCGCGGGGUCUUGAUGUGCGGGAGUAGGAGCAUGGUCGCGACGUGCUGGAGCAGGGAGCGCCCGGGCAGCUUCUUGCGGGCAAGGGACUUCUUGGCAGCUCUGCUCUUGCCGCGCUUGCACCUGACGGAGCGGGUUCCGCCCAGGGACCAUGCGCCUUGGAGCCAUGGCGCCUUCCUGAGGAGGAGGCGGCCGGGGUGCCGCCGGAGCUUCGUCGCCCGCGCGGGGCGGGGUGCGGUGCAGCGGAACGGACGACGCAGGAGAGCCCCCUGCGGUGCGGACGAGCUCGGCGAUGCGGUCGAGCCAUUCUUCGUAGACGUCGUCGACGGGACGGUAGCGCAGGAGCUCGUUUGCCGCGAUGAGCGCAGCUCGAGCCUCCAUGGGUGCGCGGAGCGCACGGGACGAAGAACCAGCCGGGGUGAGCGAGGGAGUUGCGGUGCGGCCGUCUUGCCGCAUGGACGGAUGCUGAGACGAUGCUUGCUGCUCGUCUCCCGCCGGGCCGGUGGCGGCGUUGACGGCAGGUGACGGGGAACGGCGAGGACGCCCGCCGACAGGAGCCUUCUAGGCGAUGCGGGAAGCGAGAGCGGCCCGGCGCUCGGCGCGGGCCCGACGAGCGUCAGACAUGGGCGCGAUGGUCGGAGGAGAACGGGGUGGUGGAAGACGAAUUCCGGCGCACCCCUACCUGGCGCGCCAAAUGUCGGAUUUCAGGUUCCAGCGGACCCUUGAGGUUCGAACACUGGGGUGCGCACGGAGAUUUCGCCUCCUACCUACCUGCACCCCUCCGCCUCGCUAAGAUCUAAGCUAUGGGAAGAACAACACAAGAGACACAUGGUUUAUACUGGUUCGGGCCACCGUUGUGGUGUAAUACCCUACUCCAGUGUGUGGUGUGGUGGAUUGCCUCUUGGGCUGAUGAUGAUGAACAAUACAAGGAAGAGCAGCCUCGCGAGGGUCUGUUCUUGGCUGGGGCGAUGAACUGCUGGGAGGAGUUCAGUCACCCUUCUCUCUCUCUCUCUCGCUCUUCUCGAUUGUUUAUCUCGAUCUCCCUAAACCUCUCUGCUCUCUCCAAUCCUAUGGGUGGCUGGUCCUAUUUAUAGAGGCCCUGGUCCUCUUCCCAAAUAUCGAGCGGGAAGGGAGCCAAUAAUGGCGGGCUAAUUUGAAGGGGGACAACUAGUACCAGCUAUCCUGACAAAAGUAGUCUUCGCCUGCACAAAGCUCUGGUGGUGACGCCAUCUUGGGCUCCAUGAGGAUCUCCGUCUUGCAGUCCUCCUGGCCUUGGUCUUGUUGCACCGAAAUGGCAACCCUUGCCUGAUGCCUCGGUACUCCGCGGCUGCGCUUGCUCCCUUUGCACCAAAGAGGAAAGGAGGACACUGCGCGGGCUGGCGCCCGCCUGGCGCCCUUGGUCGUCAUGGCUUGCGUCACGGGCACCUCAUGAGGUACCCCGCCUUGAUCUCUCCGCCUCCUCGCGAGCCAGCCUGAUGAGGCCGUGCCUGAGGAAGCUCCGCGUCGUCCGCCCUGCGAGGCUUGGCCCCUCGCGAGGGUCUUGGGUCUGUGUUGGUGAAGAUGGGCCGUGCUGGGCCCCCCUUUGAGCCACGCCGCAGGCCGCAGGCAGGCAAGUCUGGGGACCCCCAUUCCCAGAACGCCGACAUCUUUUACUCUACAUGUCUAGUUCCAUUGUGUACACUAACUGACAUGCAUAGGAAUAAAACAUAGUGAGAUUAUGUAAGGAGUGCAUGCACAAAUCCAGAGUGAUGGUAGCAAACUGUGGAUAGACCCAAAGCAAAUGAUAGAAGGCAGAUAAUAGCUUUAGUUAAAAAAUAUAGAUAAUGGCUCCUUUAAUGUUUGUUUACACCCAACAUGAAACUCAUAGUAGACACCCGAGAUUAACCAGAUAGUAGACAGAUAGUACCGAUUGCUGCCCCAAUAUGUACCCCACAACCAUUUAAAAACUCAAGUUUCAACAUAAGUUUGGACCUAAGUCGGAGUCUAAUAGGUGAACACGACGAUAAAGUAGCAUGUCAUCAUAUUAAGAAAUGCAACGUAAGCAGACACAGAAGAGUGCGACCUCUCUUGCGGACCCAUGUAGUCCUCAAGGUCAUCUGCUCAGUUGAUGAUGGUAAUGCAGUUGUCGUGGCUGCCGGCAGCGAGGAAGAAGAUCUGAGGCGGCAAAAGACAGUCUGGAGAGCGGAUCCCUAUUGUGGUGAACCCUUCCGUCAUUGGAGCAGCUAAGCUGGGGUGGAACACAGCACCGCAGGAGUAGGACAAACCACGCAAGGUUUUCUUUGACACAUAUCUAUAACAGAAGUAAUUGUGUAAGGGCUUGUUUGAAUUUGAGGAUUCUAACAAUGGAGGGAUAGGAAAUAGACAUGAAUAGGAUAGGAAUGCACAUGCAAAAUAGAGAAUUUAAAAACACAUGAUUUCUGCCAAUCUGGGUGUUUGGUUCACAAGAAUUGGAAGAUCACAUGAUGCAAAGAAGUAUGGUGAGAUUAAGUCAAACCACAAGAAGUGUACAACCUCUUUGGCGAAGCCAUGUCGAUCUCAGCGUGAUUGGGUUGGCCGGUGAGGAUGCUCGACUGACUUGGCUGUCGGAGGAGGGGAAGAAGAUCUUAGGCGUCUGGAGAUGGAGCCCGAGGUACUGCUCCGCUGUGAUGGAGGGUUUUGUCGUUGGAGCAGCUCCGGUGAGUUGUACGACGCUGAGGCUGAAGCAGGACAAGAGAGACAAUGUUAACCUAAGUGGAAUUCUAAUAGAAUCUCCAAUAGAUGACGUAAAAUACAUAACCACAAAGUGCUAGAUGUAUACAUCAGCCGCUCAUCUCUGAACUUAACUAUCGAAACUGAACUUAACUGCCGAAACUGAAUUUUACCGUCAAAACUGAACGCACUAGAGGUGAGGCUACACGUCAGUCGAGUGACUUUUUCAUCUCUGGUUAGUCGAUUUUGCAGCCGUUGGAUACAAAAUCAAGGGCCUGCAGUUCAUCUUCAACCUCCACCGCCUGAGCCGCCAGCCAUCAAUGGCCAAACAGUCGCCCCCCGCCGCCCACGGCCGGCGGUGCGCCGCCCCGCCCGCCCUGAAAACACUCCCCACUGCCGGUCCACCGCCGCCCCGGCCAUCCCUGUAGGUCCCCCCCCAUGCCAAGCUUUUUCUCCGGCAAUCCCCACGCCACCGCCCCACCACCGCCGGUGACCACCGCCCCCACCCUGGACCCUAAGAUAGAUAGUGGGGUACCUCUCUAGCGAGCCCCUCUCCCCGCUGCGGCUGGUUCUUCCUUAACUCCAGCGAGCCCCCCACCCCCUGAAAAUCCACUGACCCAAAAGUCGAUUCAGUCGACUGAAGUGUAGCUAAAUCAGAGCAGCAUCACAAGCAAGAGCAAGAGCGAGAGCAGCAGCGCGAGCAAGAGUAGACCAGGCAGGGGACCGAGAGCAAGAGUAGAGCAGCAGCGCGAGUGAGAGCUAAAGCAGCAGUAGCUCCUACUGAUGUGGACAUCGCCGCCGAGGGAGUGACAUCGUGGAGGAAGUGGCUAGCGACGCCGCCGUGGAUGGAGCCGCACCGUGUCAGCUCGGGACUGAGCACCGGCAGCACCGUGAGAUCGAAUCAAGAAGAAAAUGCGGCGAUUAGUGUUGGGGACACACAUAACAGGUAGGCCAACGAAGGGUCAAAAUAUAUUAAAGCAUGGGGUCCACACAUCAGGUGGGUCCAGAUAAAUUUCAUACAGACAUACUAUCCACUCGGAUGACCAUCAAGUCACUCGGACGACAACAACCACUCGACCAACUCAUUCCACUCGGAGCACCUGAUCUCACUUGGAUAUGCGAAGACCAGCAGUCGACAAGGCACUCGAAGCAUCAUCUUAGUAGUAGGCUGAGUUAUGGCAUUAACGCACCCACUUUGUAACAUAGGAGGUGAGGGGGUGACGCACUCUAUAUAAGCCACCCUCACCACUAGACUAGGGGGCUCUUUCCUCUCUUUUCUUCCACCUCUCUUUCUCUUUUGGUCAUUAGUCUCAGGACUACGGGGAUCCGUUCUCUCACACACUGUAAUCUCUGAAUACAUACUCAGAUAAAACAAAGCUUCUCCAGAGCACGAGACGUAGGGUUGUUAUCUCCAUCGUGAGAGGCCCGAACUCGCUAAAACCACCGUGUCACCCAUUUACAUCUUGAUAGAUCAUGCUCCAUUAUCCUAUACUUUAUUAUUGUCGGAAUCGUUUCCACGACAGUUGGCGCCAUCCGUGGGACAUGGCGUCUAUUGAGCCAUGAUGCAAAUGGUUAUUUCUUGAAUCUUUGGCAGCGAAUCAACGACCAUUGGCAGAGAAAUUGGCCGCUGGAUGUGUGGCCAUUGCGCCAUUAGCACAAACAAGAUGACCAGGGAAGUAUCCAUUCGAUCUAAUCUUUUUACAAUAAAUCGUCUAACAAUGAGUUAUCUUUUGCUUCCAUAGGAUCAGAUACAUCCAUGGAUGACCGAUCAUGAAGCAGAGAAGCAGAGAAAAGGACAAAACGUUCCCCAUAUUUCUUACCUUCUCACAUGAUUGUCACCAUUGGCAACCGCCACAAACGCCCUCCGGCCUCAUCUACGACGCCGUCGGUGACCUCGUCGACAGCGAGCUCGUACAAAAGCCCUCUGGCGCGGUCCGUCGCAUCGUCUCCGGCCACGUCUACGACGCCCUCGGCGAGCUCGUACAAACGCCCUCCGGCGCGGUCUGCGGCGUCGUCUCCAGCCUCAUUGACGGCGAGCUCAUACAAACGCCCUCCGGCGCGGUCCGCCGCGUCGUCUCCGGCCAUGUCUACAACGCAGUCGUCGAGCCCGCGAACACGACCACCGGCGCGGUCUGCCUCGUCAUCGUUUCCGGUUUGGUCUACGACGCCGUCGUCGAGCUCUCGAACAUGGCCACCCGCGCGGUCCACCCCAUCGCCAUCUCCAGCCUCAUCUACCGCGUCGUCGUCGGAAUCCCAUGCACGGCCACGGGCCACCUCCUCCCGCCGGCGUCGAUCGCUCGGCAACUUGUCUCACGUUUGUCACGCGUGCAUGCAGGUUCCUCGUCUCACAUAUCCCACUUGCCACUUGCAUGCACAUUAAGAACCAGGAAAGGAAAUUGCUUUGAUUGCCAAAUCAAUGUCAAUUAGGAAAAUUGCCAUUACAUGCAGCAACACAUAUCCCACUUGCAUGCGCUUUAAGAACGGAAGGACGUGGACCUCAUUACUCUGCGAGGAGUUAAUUGGCUGCCCUAGUCAAUCCAUCACUUGAUGAAGAUCUCUAACGUAAAUUAUGGCCAGAAUGAAGCUCGCUGAUAGGCGGAUCACUCGGAGGAACUAUAUGCUCAAGUGGGUUGUUUACUCCGACAGACCUGCCGACUCGGGCGAACCCAGGUUCACUCAGGACCAGACUGGAGCGCACCCAGCGCGGUGCAAGAACUGAAGAUGGGCACUCCUCGUCACCCGACUGCUCGACACGGCGCACACACGCGGCGGCUCCUCCCCCGGCAUCAGCCGCUCGGUAGUCAGCUCCCGCGGCGGUAGAGUAGCCGGAAGCUAGAGGCUGACCGCACCCCGGACGUGCAGCUGCUCUUCCUGCCUAUUGGAUCACCAGCACAGAUCAUUUACUCGGCCUCCUGCGCGUCGUCACUCGACUCCGUCCGCGCACCGUCGCUCAGCCAGAGGCGUCUUCAUCGCCACUCGGUUGGACACGCCAGCAUCACUCGGCCGCCUGCGCAUCGUUACUCCGCCGUGCGGCAUCACUCUGCAGAAUGCGCCUACAUCACUCAGACGCCUCGCGCGUCACCACUCCAUGGGACGCGUCUACUUUAUGGGCACCGCUAGGCGCCGGCGCACCGGCCGAAACUUUCGGCCGGUCCAGCCAUAGCCGCUCGAUGCGAGCCGCGUGGCGGUUGGAUCUGGAGCCAAAAAAAUAAAAAUCGCCCCAGCUUCUUCUUCCUCGGGCCCGUGGCGCAUCUCCGGCGAGAUUCCCUGCGGCUCGCAGCACGGCGCAUCUCCGGCGAGAUCCCCCGCGGCUCGCAGCACCGCGCAGCUCCGGCAAAGGCCCCCACGGCUCAUCUCCGGCGAGGCCCAGCUCCAGCAAGGCCCCCGCGGCGCAUCUCCGCGUGAGGCCCAGCUCCAGCAACGCCCCCGCGGCGCAUCUCCGGCGAGGCCCCCCGCGGCUCGCGGAGCCUCACGUCGCCGGCCGCUACCCCUGCUUGCCGCCGGCGAAGCAAACACGACCCACCUUCACCGCCGCCGGUGAAGCAAAAAAAAUGCCGGUUCCAGCAAAAUCGAAAGACGGUGGUAGCAUUUUUUAGGCUGGUUCAGCAAAAGUCAAAAAAAGAAACUUGGGGUGGUAGCGAAAACUUCUGAUGCUUCCAACAAGACUCUGGUAGUAGCAAAUGGUGUCUCCGGUAGUAGCAAAAAUCCGAGACGGUUGCAGCAAAGAAAAGCCGUCGCCGCCGUCCAACACCGCCGUGGGUGGAUGUAGCAAAAAUGGUCUUCGGUUCCAGCAAAAUGAAAAUACGGUUGUAGCAAAAAUUAUCUUCGGUUCCAGCAAAUCAAAGUAUGGUUGUAACAAAAAUCGACUGAAAGAAAACAUGCGAUGUCAUGGAGAUGGAUGUAGCAAAAAAACCACAAAACAACGGUAGUAACAAAAACUCAAAACAAAAUGUAGCAAAAUGGUUCGCCGGUUCCAGCAAAAAUCACCACGGGAGCAGAUUUUGGGGUGAGUGGGUGGUAGCAAAAACAUGGACCAGUUCCAGCAAAAAAGAAACAUGGUUGUAGCAAAAAUCUUGCUGUGGCGGCCAUGAAGAGGAGCAGGAGCACAAAUCAGCUGCGGGCGGCCAUGGCAACGAGCGCUAGUUGCAGCACCGUCACGGUUGCAGCCCCGCUCAGCUCCGGCCACCAAAAAGACGAACGCCGUGGCAUCUACACCGCACCGGUCGCCGGUGCUUCGCCACCAAAAUUUCGCAUCUCCGUGUUGGGUCGCCUCUGUGCAGCAGCAAGAAGCGGAAGUGGAUGGGGAAAUGCAGAAUGAGUGGUGGAGAAUGGAAGAGGCAACGCGAGGAAAGGGAUAACGCUGCGGUCAAAGCGGUGUGUGGACCCGGCCAGCACGUGGACGUGCGGCUGCGAAGGGAACACGAGCGUCCGCGCAUCAGUCGACGCGCAUGUGACCGGCCCAACGCUUGGGCCGGCGCGCCGGCCACAAACACUUCCCCUACUUUAUUUGGACGCCCCGCGCCUUCUCACUCCAUGAGACACAUCUACUUCACUCGGACGCCCCGAGCGUCGCCACUCCACAGAAACAUCUACUUCAUUCGGACGCCCCGCGCAUCGCUCUCCGCGGGACGCGUCUACUUUACUCAGCCGCUCCGCGCAUUGCCAUUGAUUGGUCACCUCAUCACCACUCGGUCGCCCUGCGCGUCGCCAUCGGUUGGUCCUCAUAACCACUCGACCGCCCCGUGCGUCGCCACUCGGUUGGUCACCUCAUUACCACUCGGCCGCCCCGCGCAUCGCCUUCGGUUGGUCACCACAUAACCACUCGGCCGCUCUGAGCGUCGCCACUCGGUUGGUCACCUCAUAACCAUUCGGCCGCUCCGUGCGUCGUCAUCGGUUGGUCACCUCAUCACCACCCGGCCGCCCCGCGUGUCGCCAUUGGUUGGUCACCUCAUCACCAUUCAGCCACCCCGCGCGUGUCGGUACCCCGAUACCAAGUCACAUCGAUCUAGCCGGUAACACCUCAUAUCACUUUGCGGCCUCACGCACGGUAUUCCCACGGCUAUUGCCUUACCCUGGCCCGGGACCGUUUGCGCCUUUUGGCUCACGUAUAUGAUUGUGUCGCUAGCAUCCAUAUGACAGAGAACCCGGGCCGACAUGGCUAGUCGUGAACCCAAAGCGGCACUAACCUAUGGGGACAGGCAUACAUGAUUCACAUCGAGCAUGUCAGUCAGCAGCGUGUGAAUCCGGGCUGUAGCACUGGGCUAACAGGACUCCGAGGAACCUGGGCUGUAGCAGGCUAGGCAGGACUCCGGAUGUCACCGCGUGACAUUUCCCCAAAGGGACAGACACAUGAACGAAGUGAAACAAAUGCCGGCCAGUCAAGUGUCCUGAGCAGUAGUGCUGGGCUAGCAGGACUCCGGUGAACUGGGCUGUAGCGGACUACUAUGGCUCAAGGAAGCACUAGGCUACAUUUCCCCAUAAGAGAGGCUGCCAAGGAUAAACAACUAGAUUGUCGGAUCCCACACAUAGCAAUACACGUCACACGUACGCAUACCAUGCAAGUAUGUGCUGUACAACAUGGCAUCACAACAUAACGCAACUCAUAUAGAUAAAGGCCCAGAAGAGCCACAUAGCAUUAAAUACAAACAGGGGUCACAUGACCCAUCAUUCAGAGCAUACAAGCAACGGAAGCCUUACAUGUCUGAGUACAGACAACUACAAAAGAAAAAGGCUAAGAGGCCUGACUAUCUACAUGUCCCUCCCAAGGGUACAAGAUCGUAGCUGAGGUAACAAGCUACUCGUCGAAGUCCAAGCGGUACUACUAGUGAGACAGAAGUCUCCGCUGCAAAAACAUAAAUAAAGCAACGUGAGUACAAAGGUACUCAGCAAGACUUACAUCAGAUCCUAUCAUACAUGCAUUAGUAUCAAGGAGGCAAUGUGGGGUUCAGUUGCAGCAAACCAGCUUUGACUCAGUGGCUAACCUGUACUACGACUGCUGGUAACUCUUUGAAGGUGGCGCACACGAGUCCACUAAUCACCACGUCAAUACUGUACUAUGGAUUCAUUCCCGUCUCCCUACAGGAGGCCAUCCAUAGCACUCACACUUGUCUUGAGCAUUUUAGGGUAUCCACGUUAAGUUGUCUAUGUACCACGUAAGCAUCCAAGAAGUCCAUAACCGAGGACACGACUAUUCGAAUAGAUCAUGAUAACCCUGCAGGGGUGUACUUCUUCACACACGCUCUCACCACUUAUCACCAUGUACAUGUCAUGUAUCUCGGCAACCUUCAAGCGGAAGCCUGGCGAGGGUGUCGGCCACGACCUGACUAACCACACAAGACUCUAGUCCAGGUUUAUCGCCUAUUUGGGUUCCAUCCGCAAGGAGAUCCGGCCGGGGUGUCGCUCACGGCCCCAAACGAUGUGUUCAGGGUUCCCAAGCCCACCUCGCCGGAUGGAUCUACGCUUGGUACACCGUGCCACUUGUGUCUAGUCUGUCCCAAGCCCACAUGGUCGGGUGCCACUUGGUAGACUACUAACAGUACCUACAAACACCAGAAACUAUUUGCGAGUCCUGGACAGAGAUCAAGUUGGUUAAUAAGUCGAGAGAGCUUGGAGCGCCCGGAGCCCAAUGUGUGGUAGUAGCUAGUCAUUGGACAACAUACACAGAACUCAGUUCUUAGGGACAGUUCCAGUGAGACAACCCACCAUGUACUCCUACAUGGCCUCUCACCACUACCUUUACCAAAUCAUGUUCACACGCUUAACUCUCAGCACCAGAACAUAUCGUACCACUCCAAUUCAUUCCCGAUGAAUCAGACCUGACACAACUCUAAGCAAUAACAGGCAUGGCAUGGCAGGAACACAACAUGGCUCAAUCAACUCCUACACAUGCUAGUGGGUUUUAACUAUUUACUGUGGCAAUGACAGGUCAUGCAGAGGAAUGGGUUCAACUACCGCAGCAUAAAGUAGCAGUUGAAUCGUUGUUGUCCUAAUGCAAUAAAAGAGAGCAGAAGCGAGAGAGUUGGAUCAUAUCGGAAUGAACAAGGGGGUUUGCUUGCCUGGUAGAUCAACAGGGGGCACUGGUCCUUUGACAAGUACUCUAGAUCGGUCUUCGGAGCAGGACCUAUCGAGAAGGAACGGUGUCGACAAUCAAACACAAGCAUAUGCAACAAUAUGAUGCAUGAUCAUGGCAUGAGUAUGUGAUGUUUGUUUGAGUUAAUGCAUCUAGCAUUCAUUUGCAUGAAAUCCAUUUGAACCAAAGUUUCAAAUGCAACUUCAAAAUAAGCCUUUAUAAAUGCCAUUCAUGUGUUUCCUCAUAUAUAGCAUGUAUAAGUUGGUUUUUCAUGCAUGAAAAUGGUACAGAUGGAUAGAUUGAAUUUUUCUGAUAAUUUAUCAUAUAUAAUUUGUUUCAUUUGGAGUUACGGUUGAAUUACUAUGAAUUUUUGAAGUUUAUACUAAUUUCUGGAAUUUUCUAGGUUAUUUUAAAUCUAGAAAAUGUUAACUGCAUCAGCAUGACGAUAGCGCGACCUCAACAGGUCAACAGCGCCAGCCAGGUCAAACCUGACGGCUGGGACCCGCACGUCAGUGUAACAGCGUCAGCAGCAGAGGCUGACCUGUGGGGCCCGGGCAUUAGCUUAAUUUAAACAGGGAAUAACCCUGUGGCUAAUUAAGGGGUGGGGCCCGUCUGUCAAUGACACAGGUGUCUGCAAAACACGUGAUUAACCUAAUCUAAUGACGCCAGGUCAACGAACAGCGUUUAGCCGCCGGUGACGAAAUCCCUCGGCGAUGGCUCGCCGGAGUUGCUCGGGACGGCGCUACGGGCGUCGGCUGGACGCGCGAAGACCACCAGAGGGUAGCCCACGCUCUCCCGCAUCCAGAGGAGCAGGUGGGUGGCUGUGGGGGCACCGGAGUUCGCCGGAACGGAGCUCGCGGUAGUGGUCGGAGUUCGGGCGUCGAACGAGUCGACGGUGCAGAGCAUGGCAGGAGCUGCGGUUAGGCGCGUCGGACUCGUGGGGGUGCGGGGAGUGCGUUAGGCACUAGCGGUGACCAAAAGGUCACCGGAGUGACGCCGACGUCGAGCUCGUGCGGCGGAGCGGCUCGGCUCCGGUAGAGGAGGCGGCUAGAGGAUGCGUACAAGCGCGGGGAGCAGGGGAGAAGAUGGCGGAGCUCACAGCGGGGUCGGAGACGGUCUCAACGAGCUCGGGAAGGCGGAGAUGGCGGCAAAUCGGCACGUGUGGCUUCCGGCGAUUGAGGAGGAAGAAGACGAGGCAGCCGGCGAUGCAGGCCGUGCCGGCGCUCGGGGCCAGGGUGGGGCGGAGCGUCGGACGAUGGCGGAGGCCGUGGAUAGCGCGGGGAGGCGAGGGGAGCACGGUGGCCGUGGCAAACGGCAUCGGCGGCGACGAGCUCUGCUCGGGCUACGCGGGAGAGACAACAGAGGAGGGGAAAGGUCGGGAGAGAGUGAGAGGUGUUCAGGGGGGUGCGUGUCGCCCUCGGGUGCCUCCGGCGGCGAGCAGGGAAGCAGGAGGUGGCCGGCGUGUGCUCGCGCGCGGCGACCACGCGCCCUUCGUCCUCCUGGCAAGAGGAGGAAGAUGACAGGGGAGGUGGGGAUGGGCCGGGCUGGCUAGUUGGGCUGCACAGUGCCAGGCCGCAGGUAAGGUCCAGGUAGGUUUUUCCAUUUCUUUUCUAUUUUCUGACAUUUGUUUUGAUUUAACAACAAUACUAACUAUUUUAUUUUCUUAUGCCAACUUUUGUAGGAGCUAGUGGUAUUACUUGAGAGCUCCUCAACAACUAGCAUAAGUUUUGGACAUAUAUUAUAUGUAUAUCAUAUAUAUAUCCAAUGCAAAUAAUUACUGGAUUAAUUCCAAAAGGCCAAAAUAAAUAUUUAUGAGCUCCUGAAAAUAUUUGUUUGAAUUUUACUUCUGACCAAUAUUUUCAGAGAGCAACAUGAAAAUUUUCUUGGACCUUUUUGGAGCAAUUUUUAUCUGGGUCAUUUCCAGAAAUGAAUUCUGAGGGUUUCACAAAUCCCCAUUUCAAAUUUCAAUGAAAUUUAAACAUGAUGCACAAAUGACUAGCUGGUCUAGGUCAUACCAGAACUAGGGAUGUGACAACUCGCCCCCACUUAGAAAAAUCUCGUCCCGAGAUUCAGGAGUUGGCGGAAAGAAAGUGGGGUACUCCAGUCGAAGACGAUCUUCACGCUCCCAAGUAGCUUCUCUCUCGGAAUGAUGAGACCACCAAACCUUGAGAAACUUGAUGUUAUGACGUCGUUGACAUGCUCGGCUUGAUCAAGGAUGCAAACAGGGUACUCUCGAUAAGUGAGGUUAUCUUGGAGAUCAAGCGUUUCGUGGUCCACUCCGCGGAUGGGAUCCGAGAAGCAACGCCUGAGUUGGGAGACAUGGAAGACAUCAUGAACUCGAGAAAGAUGUGGUGGUAGUUCCAACUGGUAGGCAACCUCUCCUCGUUAAGCGAGAAUGAGAAAGGGACCAAUAUAACAAGGAGCCAACUUGCCCUUGAUACCGAAACGAUGGGUACCCUUCAAAGGGGUAACCCGAAGGUAAGCUUUGUCGCCAACUUCAUAAGCCACUUCCUUAUGACGACGGUCAUACUGGCUCUUUUGACGAGAUUGGGCUGUUUUCAAAUUCUCACGAAUGAUGCGAACUUACUCUUCUGCCUCCUGGAUCAUAUCCGGUCCAAAGAAUUGUCUUUCACCGGUUUCUGACCAGUUCAAAGGUGUUCGACAUCUUCGUCCAUACAGAACCUCAAAAGGAGCUUUCUUGAGGCUGGAUUGGUAGCUGUUGUUAUUAGAAAACUUGACGAAGGGAAGACACUUCUCCCAAUCCAUACCGAAUGAGAUAACACAAGCUCUAAGCAUGUCUUCGAGAAUUUGGUUGACCCUUUCCACCUGACCACUUUAUUGAGGGUGGAAAGCGUUACUGAAGGAAAGAUGGGUGCCCAUGGCAGUUUGGAAACUCUCCCAGAAAUGAGAGGUGAAAAGACUACCACGGUCUGAAUUGAUCUCUAGUGGAACACCAUGAAGUGACACUAUUUGAGAAAUAUAUAAGUUAGCAAGCUGACUAGCAGUGAUGCUCUCUCGAACAGGUAGGAAGUGAGCCACUUUGGAAAGACGAUCAAUGACUACGAAGAUAGUGUUAUUCCCUCUCUUGGUCCUGGGAAGGCCGGUGAUGAAGUCCAUACCAACUUUGUCCCAUUUCCACUCAGGAAUAGCUAAAGGUUGAAGGGUGCCAGCAGGCCUUUGAUGUUCUGCCUUAACGCGAUGACAAACUUCGCAGUUAGCAAUAAACUAAGCAAUUUCUCUCUUCAUCCUAGUCCACCAGAACCUCUGGCAUAGGUCCUGAUACAUCUUAGUACUACCGGGAUGAAUCGUGAGAGGAUAUUCAUGGGUCUCCUUAAGAAUCAGUUGUCGCAGAUGUUGAUUCUUGGGAACCACCAAACGAUUCUCAAAGAAAACAACACCUCGAUCAUCUAAGGAGAAAAUGCCACCAACUCCCUUGUCAAUGUUUCUCUUGAUCCAGGAAAUUCCCGUAUCCUGCUUCUGAGCAGAGAUGAUUUGAUCCACAAGAGUAGGUUUCGCCACCAAGGUAGAAAGGAAUCCAUGAGGAGCAAUGUGAAGGUUAAGCUUACAGAAUUCCUCAUGGAGAAGUGGUUGGCCCUGCUGCAACAUAAGAUUGUUGCAAUAGGACUUACGACUUAGCGCAUCAGCCAUGACAUUGCCCUUGCCUGGGGUGUAGGUAAUCCCUAAGUCGUAAUCUGAGAUCAACUCCAACCAACGUCUUUGCCUAAGGUUCAAAUCUAGUUGGGUGAAGAUAUACUUGAGACUCUGGUGAUCGGUGUAAAUCUCGCAACGCUUACCAAGAAGGUAAUGUCGCCAGGUCUUAAGUGCAUAGACUACGGCUGCAAGCUCUAGAUCAUGCGUAGGAUAAUUCUCCUCAUGUGGAUGCAACUGUCGAGAUGCGUAGGCAAUCACAUGGCGAUCUUGCAUAAGAAUGCAACCUAGUCCUUGUCGUGAGGCAUCACAAUAGAUAACAAAGUCCUUAGUGAAAUCCAGUGGCACAAGUAUGGGAGCAGAGGUCAGGCGUCUUUUCAGUUCCUGAAAACUAUGCUCACACUGUGGGGGCCACUCAAACUUUUUAUCUUUCUUGAGAAGUUCCGUGAGAGGUUUGGCCACUUUGGAGAAGUUCUCAACGAAGCGGCGACAAUAGCUGGCUAGGCCAAGGAAACUCCUAACUUGCUUAACUGUUUCAGGCGGAGUCCAAUCAAGAACGGCCUGAACUCUCUUGGGAUUGACAGCAAUGCCCUUACCAGAUAUCACGUGGCCAAGAUAGGUCACUUCUGGAAACCAAAAUUCACACUUGGAGAACUUGUCAUAAAGGCGGUGCUCUCUGAGUUUCUCUAACACAAGUCUAAGAUGUUCGGCAUGUUCUUCCUCGUUCUUCGAGUAAAUAAGGAUAUCAUCGAGGUAAACCACGACGAACUUAUCUAAGUACUCCAUGAAGAUCGAGUUCAUCAAGCGGGAGAAUGUGGCUGGAGCAUUAGUUAGACCAAAGGACAUGAGAGUGUACUCAUACUGGCCAUAACGAGUGACAAAAGCCGUCUUAGGAAUGUCCCCAUUUCUGAUCUUGAUUUGGUGGUAGCCUAACCUCAAAUCCAUCUUGGAAAAGACUGAGGAUCCAGCGAGCUGAUCAUAUAGGUCGUUGAUCCUGGGGAGCGGAUACUUGUUUUUUAUCGUGACCAAAUUAACGGGACGAUAAUCUACAACCAUCCGGUCCGUACCAUCCUUCUUCUUAACGAAGAGAACGGGGCAAGACCAAGGAGAAGAACUAGGACAGAUGAAACCCUUUUGCAAGGACUCAUCAAGUUGUUUCUUAAGCUCAGCUAGUUCUAAGGGUGCCAUCUUGUAAGGUCUCUUAGAGAUUGGAGCGGUUCCUGGGAUAAGAUCUAUGACAAAUUCUACAUCUCUGUCAAGUGGAACACCUGGCAGUUCUUCUGGAAAGACAUCCGGAAAGUCAUGGACUACCGGGAUAUCCUCAAGGUCUGGAAGAGGGCUGGCAUUAAGGGAAUAAAGCUGACACUUUGCAAUUCUGGUGGAGACAGUGACUAUCUUGCCAGAUGGGUGUGUAAGCUGAACAGACCUGGUGUAACAAUCAAUCUUGGCAUAAUGAGCUUUCAUCCAGUCCAUACCCAAGAUGAUGUUAAUAUCUGAAGACUUAAGAGAUAUCAAGGAAGCUAGGAAUACAAGUAUGUCAACAUGUAUUUCAUUGCCAUAACUUAUCCUAGAAGUUUGCCAUUUGGAUCCAGGAGUUUGAAUGAGUAGUGGGGAGGGCAUAUCACAAAAUGACAUGUCGUGCAAGUGGGCAUAACUUUCGGAAAUGAAGGAGUGAGAUGCUUCGGUAUCGAAUAGAACCGAAGCUGGAUGACAAUUGACAAGGAGUGUACCAAGAAUGACAUCUAGAUCAUCAUGAGCGUCUUUAGCUGAGACGUGAUGCACACGUCCAAGUUCAGUGGGAGCUGACUCGGCACUGAUCAUCUGGUGUGAUGGCUUACUACCACGGCCGACAGACUUCUCGGGCUGGGGUGGAGCAACACGGGUCUGAGUGCAAAUACGGGCAAUGUGGCCUGGCUCUCCGCACUUGUAACAAAUCUUGGAGGUAGGACAUGGACCCGCAUUGACAAGUGGUCUACCAAUAGGCAUGGGUGUAGCAUAUGGCUGAACUGGGUGAGGCGCCACAUAAGAUGGCGUCGGUGUGUAGCCGGGUGGAAGAGCAGAGUUCGGAACCCAAAUCCGGCGCUUCUGAGAACUAGAACCGGAGUAAGAACCCAAAUCACAGGUGUGCUUACGAGACUCCUCGUAAGUGAGUUGAGCUGUCUCUGCAUUAAUGGCCUUGUUCACAAGAGCCUGGAAUGUAUCACAAUGGUGCAAGUGGAGAUCACGACACAACUUGGGGUUGAGACCCUUCCGGAACCUAGCCUGCUUCUUGGCAUUUGUGCACACCUCUUCUGUAGCAUAGCGGGCAAGGUUCUCAAAUUCCCUACUGUAAGCAUCAACAGCCAUCUUACUCUGGGUGAAACUACAGAACUCUUCUCUCUUGCGGUCAACGAGGGCUUCAGGAAUGUGAUGCUCGCGAAAAGCCUCAGUGAAAUCUCUCUAGGUAGGAAUCUGACCAGCUGGAAGCAUAGCCUCAUAGUUUUGUCACCAAAGACUAGCAGGACCUUCCAGGUGAUAUGCAGCAUAGGUGACCUUGUCACCUUCAGCUAUGUUCGCAGAACGCAGCUUAAUGGUGAUACUACGGAUCCAGUCAUCUGCAUCGAGUGGUUCAAUGGAAUGAUGGAAGGUAGGUGGUUUCAGACCAAUGAAAUCAUAGAUGGUCGCUGACUCCUUGCACUGGGGUGCGGUGUUCUCCUCGAUACGUGCUAACAAGCUGUUGGUCUCACGCUUGUUCAUCUCAACCUCUAACAUGAACUUUGCCAACGAAGACUGAUCGGGAGGAUCCUCAUCCCUACCAUUUCCGUGGUUCCAGCUACAAGCAACAGAACUUCGAUUAACCGGCAACAUCCUGAAGAACGAAACCAAGGAAAACAAGGAUGGAUUCAGCACCAACUAUAGGAUGUAGAAGGUAGCACAAGAAUUUAGUAUCUCUCAAACUCCUAGGACAAUUCCGGCAGCAUAACGGCAGUAAAAUGCUCAAAAUGAGACAUCCUGCAAAUGAUGGGGUAGCACCAUACUCAACAUCAUCACUCAAGGUUCUGAGAUAUUACUGAACAUGCUACACUGGAGGUACUCGAACUGGGAUAUGACUCAGAUCAACCCAUCCUAAGAGACUACAGAGUAGUAACUCGUGAUCCUGAUAGACAGAAGAGGAAUCCUAGUUCCUUAACCCCAUAGGAAGGAUAGGAUGACUCAGAUCAGAAGGGCAUGAGGUAUAAGGAGUAAAAAGAGCCUUACAUUCCCUUCCACAAUCAAUUCCCCUAUAUAGCUAAAGAAUUUCUAGACUCAACUUCGACCAGGUUGGCUUGGUAAUUCUACAGGCAGCCAGGCUCUGAUACCAAAGCUGUCGGGACCCCGAUUCCAAGUCACAUCGAUCUAGCCGGUAACACCUCAUAUCACUUUGCGGCCUCACGCACGGUAUUCCCACGGGUGUCGCCUUACCCUGACCCGGGACCGUUUGCGCCUUUUGGCUCACGUAUAUGAUUGUGUCGCUAGCAUCCAUAUGACAGAGAACCCAAACCGACAUGGCUAGUCGUGAACCCAAAGCGACACUAACCUAUGGGGACAGGCAUACAUGAUUCACAUCGAGCAUGUCGGUCAGCAGCGUGUGAAUCUGGGCUGUAGCACUGGGCUAACAGGACUUCGGGGAACCUGGGCUGUAGCAGGCUAGGCAGGACUCCGGAUGUCACCACGUGACAUUUCCCCGAAGGGACAGACACAGGAACAAAGUGAAACACAUGCCGGCCGGUCAAGUGUCCUGAGCAGUAGUGCUGGGCUAGCAGGACUCCGGUGAACCGGGCUGUAGCGGACUACUAUGGCUCAAGGAAGCACUAGGCUACAUUUCCCCAUAAGAGAGGCUGCCAAGGAUAAACAACUAGAUUGUCGGAUCCCACACAUAGCAAUACACGUCACACGUACGCAUCACAUGCAAGUAUGUGCUAUACAACAUGGCAUCACAACAUAACGCAACUCAUAUAAAUAAAGGCCCAGAAGAUCCACAUAGCAUUAAAUACAAACAGGGGUCACAUGACCCAUCAUUCAGAGCAUACAAGCAACGGAAGCCUUACAUGUCUGAGUACAGACAACUACAAAAGAAAAAGGCUAAGAGGCCUGGCUAUCUACAAGUCCCUCCCAAGGGUACAAGAUCGUAGCUGAGGUAACAAGCUACUCGUCGAAGUCCAAGCGGUACUACUAGUGAGACAGAAGUCUCCGCUGCAAAAACAUAAAUAAAGCAACGUGAGUACAAAGGUACUCAGCAAGACUUACAUCAGAUCCUAUCAUACAUGCAUUAGUAUCAAGGAGGCAAUGUGGGGUUCAGUUGCAGCAAACCAGCUUUGACUCAGUGGCUAACCUGUACUACGACUGCUGGUAACUCUUUGAAGGUGGCGCACACGAGUCCACUAAUCACCACGUCAAUACUCUACCAUGGAUUCAUUCCCGUCUCCCUACGGGAGGCCAUCCAUAGCACUCACACUUGUCUUGAGCAUUUUAGGGUAUCCACGUUAAGUUGUCUAUGUACCAUGUAAGCAUCCAAGAAGUCCAUAACCGAGGACACGACCAUUCGAAUAGAUCAUGAGAACCCUGCAGGGGUGUACUUCUUCACACACGCUCUCACCACUUAUCACCAUGUACACGUCAUGUAUCUCGGCAACCUUCAAGCGGAAGGCUGGCGAGGGUGUCGGCCACGACCUGACUAACCACACAAGACUCUAGUCCAGGUUUAUCGCCUAUUCGGGUUCCAUCCGCAAGGAGAUCCGGCCGGGGUGUCGCUCACGGCCCCAAAUGAUGUGUGCAGGGUUCCCAAGCCCACCUCGCCGGAUGGAUCUACGCUUGGUACACCGUGCCACUUGUGCCUAGUCUGUCCCAAGCCCACCUGGCCGGGUGCCACUUGGUAGACUACUAACAGUACCUACAAACACCAGAAACUAUUUGCGACUCCUGGACAGGGAUCAAGUUGGUUAAUAAGUCGAGAGAGCUUGGAGCGCCUAGAGCCCAAUGUGUGGUAGUAGCUAGUCAUUGGACAACAUACACAGAACUCAGUUCUUAGGGACGGUUCCAGUGAGACAACCCACCAUGUACUCCUACAUGGCCUCUCACCGCUACCUUUACCAAAUCAUGUUCACACGCUUAACUCUCAGCACCAGAACAUAUCGUACCACUCCAAUUCAGUCCCGAUGAAUCAGACCUAACACAACUCUAAGCAAUAGCAGGCAUGGCAUGGCAGGAACACAACAUGGCUCAAUCAACUCCUACACAUGCUAGUGGGUUUUAACUAUUUACUGUGGCAAUGAUAGGUCAUGCAGAGGAAUGGGUUCAACUACUGCAUCAUAAAGUAGCAGUUGAAUCAUUGUUGUCCUAAUGCAAUAAAAGAGAGCAGAAGCGAGAGAGUGGGAUCAUAUCGGAAUGAACAAGGGGGUUUGCUUGCCUGGUAGAUCAACAGGGGGGCACUGCUCCUCUGAUAGGUACUCUGGAUCGGUCUCCGGAGCAGGACCUAUCGAGAAGGAACGGUGUCGACAAUCAAACACAAGCAUAUGCAACAAUAUGAUGCAUGAUCAUGGCAUGAGUAUGUGAUGUUUGUUUGAGUUACUGCAUCUAGCAUUCAUUUGCAUGAAAUCCAUUUGAACCAAAGUUUCAAAUGCAACUCCAAAAUAAGCCUUUAUAAAUGCCAUUCAUGUGUUUCCUCAUAUACAGCAUGUAUAAGUUGGUUUGUCAUGCAUGAAAAUGGUACAGAUGGAUAGAUUGAAUUUUUCUAAUAAUUUUUCAUAUAUAAUUUGUUUCAUUUGGAUUUACGGUUGAAUUACUAUGAAUUUUUGAAGUUUAUACUAAUUUCUAGAAUUUUCUGGGUUAUUUUAAAUCCAAAAAUUGUUAACUGCAUCAGCAUGAUGACAACGCGGCGUCAGCAGGUCAACAGCGCCAGCCAGGUCAAACCUGACGGCUAGGACCCGCACGUCAGUGUAACAGCGUCAGCAGGAGAGGCUGACCUGUGGGGCCCGGGCAUUAGCUUAAUUUAAACAGGGAAUAACCCUGUGGCUAAUUAAGGGGUGGGGUCCGUUUGUCAACGACACAGGUGUCUGCAAAACACGUGAUUAACCUAAUCUAAUGACGCCAGGUCAACGAACGGCGUUUAGCUGUCGGUGACGAAAUCCUGCGGCGGUGGCUCGCCGGAGUUGCUCGGGACGGCGCUACGGGCGUCGGCUAGACGCGCGAAGACCACCAGAGGGUAGCCCGCGCUCUCCCGCAUCCAGAGGAGCUGGUGGGUGGCUGCGGGGGCACUGGAGCUCGCCGGAACGGAGCUCGCGGCGGUGGCCGGAGUUUGGGCGUCGAACGAGUUGACGGUGCAGAGCAUGGCAGGAGCCGCGGUUAGGCGCGUCAGACUCGUGGGGGUGCGGGGAGUGUGUUAGGCACCAGCGGUGACCAAAAGGUCACCGGGGUGACGCCGGCGUCGAGCUCGUGUGGCGGAGCGGCUUGGCUCUGGUAGAGGAGGCGGCUAGAGGAUGCGUACAAGCGCGGGGAGCAGAGGAGAAGAUGGAGGAGCUCACAGCGGGGUUGGAGACGGUCUCAGCGAGCUCGGGGAGGCGGAGACGACGGCAAAUCGGCGCGUGUGGCUUCCAGCGACCGAGGAGGAAGAAGACGAGGCAGCCAGCGAUGCAGGCCGUCCCAGCGCUUGGGGCCAGGGUGGGGCGGAGCGUCGGACGAUGCCGGAGGCCGUGGACAGCGCGGGGAGGCGAGGGGAGCAUGGUGGCCGUGGCAAACGGCGUCGGCGGCGACGAGCUCCGCUCGGGGUGCGCGGGAGAGAGAGCAGAGGAGGGGGGAAAGGUCAGGAGAGAGUGAGAGGUGUUCAGGGGGGGUGCGUGUCGCCCUCGGGUGCCUCCAGCGGCGAGCAGGGAAGCAGGAGGUGGCCGGCGUGUGCUUGCGCGCGGCGACCACGCGCCCUUCGUCCUCCUGGCCAGAGGAGGAAGACGACAGGGGAGGUGGGGAUGGGCUGGGCUAGCUAGUUAGGCUGCACAGUGCCAGGCCGCAGGUAAGGUCCAGGUAGGUUUUUCCAUUUCUUUUCUUUUCUAUUUUCUGAUAUUUUUUUGAUUUAACAACAAUACUAACUAUUUUAUUUUCUUAUGCCAACUUUUUUAGGAGCUAGUGGUAUUAUUCCAGAGCUCCUCAACAACUAGCAUAAGUUUUGGACAUAUAUUAUAUGUAUAUCAUAUAUAUAUAUCCAAUGCAAAUAAUUACUGGAUUAAUUCCAAAAGGCUAAAAUAAAUAUUUAUGAGCUCCUGAAAAUAUUUGUUUGAAUUUUACUUCUGACCAAUAUUUUCAGAGAGCAACAUGAACAUUUUCUUGGGCCUUUUUGGAGCAAUUUUUAUCUGGGUCAUUUCUAGAAAUGAAUUCUGAGGGUUUCACAAAUCCCCAUUUCAAAUUUCAAUGAAAUUUAAACAUGAUGCACAAAUGACUAGCUGGUCUAGGUCAUACCAGAACUAGGGAUGUGACAGCGCGUCGCCAUUCGGUUGGUCACCUCAUCACCACUCGGCCGCCCCGCGCGUCGCGAUUGGUUGGUCACCUUAUCACCACUCGGCGACCCCGCGCGUCACCAUCGGUUGGUCACCUCAUAACCACUGGGCCGCCUCGCGCGUCGUCAUCGGUUGGCCACCUCAUAACCACUCGGCCGCCCCGCACGCCGUCAUCGGUUGGUCACCUCAUAACCACUCGGCCGCUCCACGCGUCGCCACUCGGUUNNNNNNNNNNNNNNNNNNNNNNNNNNNNNNNNNNNNNNNNNNNNNNNNNNNNNNNNNNNNNNNNNNNNNNNNNNNNNNNNNNNNNNNNNNNNNNNNNNNNNNNNNNNNNNNNNNNNNNNNNNNNNNNNNNNNNNNNNNNNNNNNNNNNNNNNNNNNNNNNNNNNNNNNNNNNNNNNNNNNNNNNNNNNNNNNNNNNNNNNNNNNNNNNNNNNNNNNNNNNNNNNNNNNNNNNNNNNNNNNNNNNNNNNNNNNNNNNNNNNNNNNNNNNNNNNNNNNNNNNNNNNNNNNNNNNNNNNNNNNNNNNNNNNNNNNNNNNNNNNNNNNNNNNNNNNNNNNNNNNNNNNNNNNNNUCAUCACCACUCGACCGCCCCGCGUGUCUCCAUCGGUUGGUCACCUCAGCACCACUCGUCCGCCUCGCGCGUCGUCAUCAGUUGGUCACCUCAUCACCACUCGGCCGCCCGGCGCGUCGUCACUCGAUUGGUCACCUCAUCACCACUCGGCCGCUCCGCGCAUCGCCACGCGGUUGGUCACCUCAUAACCAUUCGGCCACUCUCGCGCCUUCACACAGCUAAGUCAAUUUAUAUUUUAUUAUUUCCAUCUUCCUGAGUAUCCCGUAAUUCACACGUCACGUUCACUCGGAGGCCACGCCAGCGAGUGUACCUCUACGCUCGGCUGCUUAUUUUCACAUACUUGCUUAGUACUGGUUAUGUGACUCCCGAGUCCAACUUCCAUUUUUUCGCGUACGUCAUUCACGAACACCAUGUGUCAUUCUUCAUUUCGAGUUUGCAUCGUUCCUCCGGGGCUGCAACUCAGUCGAAACACUACACUUCCAUUUUAUUUGAGCCAGUAUUCCAAUGAGUUCAGUCAAAUCCAUUGGUUCGACAAGUUUGAACGGAUCCUUCGCUCUUUCAGACUCUUGCUGGUCAACCAGCAAGCCCCUUGCACUCCCAGCGGGUGUUUAUGGGUGUUAUUCACACAAAUCAUUUCAGCACACAUCAAAUUUCCUCGAUAAAUUAUUUCGUUGGCUUGUGCCAUUUUUUACACAAGUUACACGAUCACUCGACGACUCUAUGCACCAACUUCAUCGCUGCUCGGACUCGGUCACCGUACCGGUCCUAGCGCACCACAACACCGACCUUGUCGCUCUGUUGACUUCAAACACAUCCGACCAACCCCUCUAUGGAAUCCUCUUCAUCGUAUCAGUGAUAUAGACCUCGUUAGGCAUGAGACAUAUAAGUCCCUUUUAUAAUUAAACUUCACAAUUCACUCCUUUGCGAGUUUGUCUCUUUCGAGCAUCACUCGGAAGCUUCUCCUCAUCUUUACCUGAGUCCGACAAGAUGAAUUGCAAAUCAUCCAUUCAAAACUAUAUUUCUUGUAUUCCGACAUGUUCGUUGUCGAAGCCUGUAGUAUGCUCGGGGGCUACGCCUCACUCGGGGGUUGCAUCUAAUUUGGAAUGACACUCUCCUGAGUAGUCGAGUACUUCAUCACCAGUCAGAUCCUUCACUUCAACAAGUGCAUUCGAUCUGCCACUUUGACAAGUUUUAUAAUCACCCAGACGCUCUGCACGCCACCUUCAUUCCUACUUAGACUCGGUUGUCACGCCGGUCUUGUUGCGUCGCAACCACACUACACCGACCUCGUCGCUACAUUAGCUUUGAAAGCACCUGGCUAACUUCUUCGAAGACCAUUUCAACCACUUGGCUGGACACCCAAUAAUUCACUCGGCUGCCCCGCACGUCAUCACUUGGCCAUGCCGCGCGUCGUCACUCGGCCAUCCCGCACGUCACCACUCGGUUGUGCACGUCUUCACCACUCAGCCGCUCCGCGCAUCGCCUCUCGGUUGUGCAUGCCUUCACCACACGACCGCCCCGUGCGUCACCACUCUGGUGUGCACGUCUUCACCACUCGGCCACUCCGCGCGUCGCCUCUGGGUUGUGCAUGCCUUCACCACAUGGCCGCCCCGCGCGUCACCACUCGGUUGUGCACGUCUUCACCACUCGGUCGCCCCGCACGUCGUCACUCUGUUGUACACAUCCUUGCCCCUCGGUCGCCCCACACAUCNNNNNNNNNNNNNNNNNNNNNNNNNNNNNNNNNNNNNNNNNNNNNNNNNNNNNNNNNNNNNNNNNNNNNNNNNNNNNNNNNNNNNNNNNNNNNNNNNNNNNNNNNNNNNNNNNNNNNNNNNNNNNNNNNNNNNNNNNNNNNNNNNNNNNNNNNNNNNNNNNNNNNNNNNNNNNNNNNNNNNNNNNNNNNNNNNNNNNNNNNNNNNNNNNNNNNNNNNNNNNNNNNNNNNNNNNNNNNNNNNNNNNNNNNNNNNNNNNNNNNNNNNNNNNNNNNNNNNNNNNNNNNNNNNNNNNNNNNNNNNNNNNNNNNNNNNNNNNNNNNNNNNNNNNNNNGCCACUCGGUUGUGCACAUCUUCACCACUCGGCCGCCCCGCGCAUUGCCACUUAGUUAUGCAUGUCUUCAUCACUCGACCACCUCGCACAUCAUGACUCGGCCGCCCCGCACGUCGCCACUCAGUUGGGCACGUCUUCACCACUCGGCCGCUCCACGCGUCGCCACUCGGUUGUGCACUUCUUCACCACUCGGCCGCCCCACGCGUCACCACUCAGUUGUACACAUCAUCGCUCCUUAGCCGCCUCGCGCGUCACCAUUAGUUGGACAUGUCUUUACCUCUACACCCCCAGCACAGGAAUGACUAAGUUACUCAUAUGAUCAAACCUCAUAUCACACUCUGUAGCAAGCUUACCUCUUUCGAGCAUCACUCAGGGGCUACACAUAGCCGUUGGCCAUGCUGCCCUCAGGGGUUACGCCCAUUCGAUCAACCCAUUGAUCACAUCAGGAAUAUCUUUCUGACCAUACAUGCUCGUUCUUCCGAAAAUAUAUAAGGGUAGUACUGUCCACUCGGAAGAUCGCCCAAAUCAUUGCCUAAAGUCGUCUUCAGGACUGCAAAAGGGUGAAAACAACGCUCCUCUAUGGAUACACUUGGCCCUAUCCUAGGCUCCAAGGCGUCAGUUUCACAAACUUGGACUCAGAGAUGGCAUGUGCUGGUGUUCCCCCGAGAUAAUGAGUGGCCUCUCUCUGGAGAGUCAGCCCACACACUAGCCUCGUCACAUGGGUUUCAUGGCAUGUGCAUGUCAGACCACUAGUCUAUCUCCUCCGGAAGACAUACAAGUGCCACCAAGUUUUUCCUUGCAGUCAACAUACCCCGAACAGUCGGGAAGCAUGUCCACUCGGAUAAAUACCCCUUUCAUGCAAAAGGGUGAAAAUGAAGCUCCUCUACGGAUACAAUGUACUCUUACAAAUACCCCUCUCAUGCAAAAUCUAAUGAUCAAUAUAAGAAGUACUACUGGAAUGAUUACUCCCUGGAGUGUCCAGCUUUUUUCUACAAUCGGCAGUUUCAAAGCCGAAUUCAUUCACCGUGCCAAGAGCACGAAGAUUCAGCUGCUUGACCGAGUUCCAUGCUGAAUUUAUUCUGUGCCGAGUGCACGAAGAUUAUUCCGACUGAUUCAGCUCUAGGCUGAGCUUAUUUACCAUGUCAAGCGUCUGAAGAUGCAUCCGAUUGACUCAAUUUUAGACUAAAAGAUAUUUACCAUGUCGACUGCUGAUGUCUACUACACAACCUUCUUCUUGUAGACGUUGUUGAGCCUCCAAGUGCAGAGGUUUGUAGGACAGUAGCAAAUUUCCCUCAAGUGGAUGACCUAAGGUUUAUCAUUCCGUAGGAGGCGUAGGAUGAAGAUGGUCUCUCUCAAGCAACCCUGCAACCAAAUAACAAAGAGUCUCUUGUGUCCCCAACACACCCAAUACAAUGGUAAAUUGUAUAGGUGCACUAGUUCGGCGAAGAGAUAGUGAAACAAGUGGUAUAUGGAUAGUAGAUAAAGGUAUUUGUAAUCUGAAAUAAUAAAAACAGCAAGGUAGCAAGUGAUAAAAGUGAGCAUAAACGGUAUUGCAAUGAUAGAAAACAAGGCCUAGGGUUCAUACUUUCGCUAGUGUAAGUUCCCUCAACAAUACUAACAUAAUUGGAUCACAUAACUAUCCCUCAACAUGCAACAAAGAGUCACUCCAAAGUGACUAAUAGCGGAGAACGAACGAAGAGAUUAUGGUAGGGUACGAAACCACCUCAAAGUUAUUCUUUCCAAUCAAUCCGUUGGGCUAUUCCUAUAAGUGUCACAAACAGCCCUAGAGUUCGUACUAGAAUAACACCUUAAGACACAAAUCAACCAAAACCCUAAUGUCACCUAGAUACUCCAAUGCCACCUCAAGUAUCCGUGGGUAUGAUUAUACGAUAUGCGUCACACAAUCUCAGAUUCAUCUAUUCAACCAACACAAAGGACCUCAAAGAGUGCCCCAAAGUUUCUACCAAAGAAUCAUGACGAAAACGUGUGCCAACCCCUAUGCAUAGGUUCAUGGGCGGAACCCGUAAGUUGAUCACCAAAACAUACAUCAAGUGGAUCAAUAGAAUACCCCAUUGUCACCACGGGUAUCCCACGCAAGACAUACAUCAAGUGUUCUCAAAUCUUUAAAGACUCAAUACGAUAAGAUAACUCCAAAGGGGAAACUCAAUUCAUUACAAGAGAGUAGAGGGGGAGGAGAAACAUAAGAUCCAACUAUAAUAGCAAAGCUCGCGAUACGUCAAGAUCGUGCCAAAUCAAGAACACGAGAGAGAGAUCAAACACAUAGCUACUGGUACAUACGCUCAGCCCCGAGGGUGAACUACUCCCUCCUUAUCAUGGAGAGCGCCGGGCUGAUGAAGAUGGCCACCGGUGAGGGAUCCGCCCUCAGGCAGGGUGCCGGAACAGGGUCCUGAUUGACUUUUGGUGGCUACAGAGGCUUCUGGCGGCGGAACUCCCGAUCUAAUCUCUGUUCUCGAAGUUUUAGGGUACGACGAUAUAUAUGGGUGCAGGAAGUACGUCGGAGGUGAUGGGGUUAUGUACCUAGGGUAGGGUCAUGGACCUGUUCCAAGUAACUUACCCUAGGACGUCCCUAGAAGAGGUCGCCUUCCAGUCGACCAACGAGGAUUCACUCGACUGGCCUGAAGGACUCGACCACGAAGACUCACUCGACCACCAGGAGGUCAAGAGGCACUCUGCAUUGCAACGGCCUGUAAUUAAGUAGACUUUAUGAUAGUAAAGGCACUUUAUGUGGGGCGUUACCAGUAACGCCCCAGACUUAACUCACCUUAAACCCUCUCCUACGUGGGCUGGCUGGGGUCCUGGCACACUCUAUAUAAGCCACCCCCCUCCACAGGCAGAAGGGUUCGGCACCUUGUAAUCCAUACAUUCAUAAUCCACUCGACCGCCUCCGGGCUCCGAGACGUAGGGCUGUUACUUCUUCCGAGAAGGGCCUGAACUCGUACAUCCUUUGUGCUUACAACCUCUCCAUAGCUAGGACCUUGCCUCUCCAUACCUACCCCCACUCUACUGUCAGGCUUAGAACCACGACAGUUGGCGCCCACCGUGGGGCAGGUGUUUUAGCGAUUUUGUGGAGAAGUUGCGAUUCUUCUGAGUAUUUUCAUCAUGGUGUCUGCUGGAGUUUUGAUCGAGGGUCAAGAGAUCCGUCUCGGCACUCUCACCUUCAUCGCCGACGACUCCGCAUGGCUCCAGGAGGCUCCACUCGACGUAGAUGCGCUCCCCGUCCGCGGUGCGACGCAUUUUCGCGCAUGUGUCCGCGGCGUUCUGCUGCGGCAACCAUCGACCCAGUAUCGGUCGGAUCUUCCAUCUUCCACCCUCCCGGUCUCCCGCCAGCGCAAGCGCUCAGGCCGGUCGAGGCUUCUGCGAUGGGUGAGUCACGCGGUGGCUCGCCAGUCGGCCACUACGCAAGUUGCGGCAAUCGAGCCCAACGAAUCUCUCUACGGCUUGUUCGAUCAGUCGACUGGCUCCGGAGAGACUGCAUCCGAGUGCGGAAGCAGCGAUCCAGCGGCGGAAAUCUUGAUGGUUGACAGGCCCCACAGUCCUCCUGGCUUCGCCCGUGGUGGUGGAGCAGGCGACGGCGGCGACCCUACAUGAGGCUACGAAGAGUACCAGCCCGAGCCACUCGACUCUCUGCAAAGAGAAGAGCUUCGCCGCAGGAACGAGGAUCCCUUCCGUGUUCCCAUCGCAGGAGAAACCCCCGAGGCUCGUGCCUUGGAGGAGGCGCGUCUGGCCAAUUUGGCCGAGCGCACUCGACUGGAGAACCUUCAGCGAGCACUCGACGAGCGCGCGCGGCAACGAGUUCCCGACACCAGUCGACGUCAACUCUUCCCGCCGACUCAGGUAUAUCGAACCCCGAUUCAGAAUUUAGCAGCUGCGACCCGUAUAGCAGAGUCCAUUCAGCCUUCGCAGUCAGAGGCUGGCAGAGGUUUGCUGCAGAUCAGGGAUCUGCUCCGGGCAGCAGGAGAUCAGAAUUCCGCCGUGUCUCAGUCGCGCAACAGAAUUCACAGUCGAUCUGUCACUGUGAAUACGGUUCAGUCGGCUCACAGCCCCAGAUCGCCUCCGCGGCGCGAAGGGCGUGAGAAUCGGCGAGAUCAAUAUAGCGACAGACUCGACCGAGAUGAUAGGCGUCGAGUGCCCUAUUCCCCUCCGAGGGGUGGGUCUUACGCUCCUCGGCAGCCAGAUGAUAGGCGUCAGUACAGUACAGGGCGUAGGGUUCCAGCUGACCCCAGAGAGCCAGGCUUCGACGCGCGAUCCAUUAUCGUGCAAGGGUUGGUCGACCGGAACAGAGCCCAUCGUGGUGCACUCGACAGAGAAGUGCCCACGAGCAGUCGAGUACAUGUUUCUGGUCCUGAAUGUUUCAGCAGAGCUAUCAGAGCCGCUGUUAUCCCCCCAAUUUCAGGCUGGCAACGGGAGUCAGCAAGUUCACUGGUGAGUCUAAGCCUGAAACUUGGCUUGAAGACUACCGAGUGGCAGUUCAGAUCGGUGGUGGGAACGACGAGGUGGCCAUGAAGCAUUUGCACCUCAUGUUGGAAGGUUCUGCCAGGGCAUGGUUGACUCAAUUGCCUCCUAGCAGCAUUUACACUUGGGAAGAUCUGUCCCGAGUGUUCGUCAGAACGUUCGAAGGGACUUGCAAGCGACCAGCGGGAUUGACAGAGUUGCAAGUCUGCGUGCAGAAAACCAAUGAGACUCUCAGAGAGUAUAUUCAGAGGUGGAUCACUUUGCACCACACUGUGGAAAAUGUCUCUGACCAUCAGGCAGUAUGCGCCUUCAAAGAUGGUGUCAAGAACAGAGAACUGAGUUUGAAAUUUGGUCGAACCGGUGACAUGACCUUGAGUCGGAUGAUGGAGAUUGCUACCAAGUACGCCAACGGCGAAGAAGAAGACCGACUCCGAAGCGGCAAGCACAAGCCGAGUCAGUCGGAAAAAGGAAAUUCCAGUCGGAAACAGAAGCGGAAGGCUGAACCGGCAGCUCCUGGAGAGGCUUUGGCCGUGACUCAAGGAAAGUUUAAGGGGAAACCAAAAGGAUCCUGGAACCCCAAGAAGGUGAAGGAUAAAGAAGGGAACGACGUGAUGGAUAUGCCGUGUCAUAUUCACACGAAGAAAGAUGAAGAAGGGAAUAUCAUUUACCAAAAGCACACCACUCGCCAAUGUCGACUCCUGAUCCAGCAGUUUCAGGGAAAACAGUCUAAGGACAAGGAGAAGGAGUCGGACAAAGCCGAAGACAGAGAGGACAGUGAGGGAGGAUAUCCGCAUAUCAACUCCACUCUGAUGAUCUUCGCAGAUGUGGAAAGCAGAAGUCGACUGAAAGUGAUUAACCGAGAGGUUAACAUGGUUGCCCCAGCAAAGGCAAAUUAUCUGAAGUGGUCUCAAACACCCAUCACAUUCGACCAAUCUGAUCACCCGACUCAUAUUGCCACCCCUGGGAGGCAAGCUUUGGUGGUCGAUCUAGUUGUCGAAGGCACUCGACUGACAAAGGUGCUGAUGGACGGUGGAAGUGGGCUGAAUCUGUUAUAUGCAGACACGUUGAAAGGUAUGGGCAUUCCGAUGUCCCGACUGAGCACUAGUAACAUGAGCUUCCAUGGAGUUAUACCAGGGAAGAAGGCCGAGUCACUCGGCCAAAUAGCUUUGGACGUAGUGUUUGGCGAUUCAAAGCAUUUUCGCAAAGAAAAGUUGACGUUUGAGGUCGUGGAUUUUCAAAGUGCAUAUCAUGCCAUUUUGGGGAGGCCAGCCUAUGCACGGUUCAUGGCUCGACCAUGUUACGUGUACCUCAAAUUGAAGAUGCCCGGUCCCAAAGGUGUGAUCACUGUCACCGGUGAUAGGAAAAAGGCAGAGGAGUGCUUUCAGAAGGGCUCCAAAAUUGCCGAUUCCCAAGUGACAGCGGUCGAAUUCGAAGAAUACAAGCAAAACGCAGAUCCGAGUGACUUGCUGCGAUCCAAGAAGCCCGCCACAGAAUCUGCAUUCCAGUCGUCCGGUGAGACGAAGCCUGUUCACAUUCACCCGACCGACCCCGAAGCAGCUCCGACCCGCAUCUCCACAACACUCGACCCAAAAUAGGAAGAAGCGCUCAUCCAGUUCCUCCGUGAGAACUGGGACAUUUUUGCAUGGAAGCCCGCUGACAUGCCAGGUGUUCCCAGGGGACUGGCUGAGCACCGCCUAAGAGUCGACAAGUCUGCAAAGCCAGUCAAAGAACAUCUUCGACGGUCCGCCGUCCAGAAGAGAAAGGCCAUUGGUGAAGAAGUGGCUCGACUGUUGGCGGCAGGAUUUAUCCGAGAGAUAUUCCACUCCGAGUGGCUCGCUAAUGUCGUCAUGGUUCCUAAGAAGGACAAGUCGCUCCGAAUGUGCAUUGAUUUCAAGCACAUCAACCGGGCCUGCCCGAAAGAUCACUUUCCUCUCCCUCGCAUAGAUCAAAUUGUUGACUCGACCGCGGGAUGCGAGAGGUUGUCUUUUUUAGAUGCUUACUCCGGAUACCACCAGAUCCGUCUGUAUGGGCCCGAUGAAGUAAAAACAGCUUUCAUCACUCCGUUCGGGUGCUUCUGCUAUAUCACCAUGCCAUUCGGCCUCAAGAAUGCCGGAGCCACAUUUAUGCGAAUGAUCCAGAAGUGUCUACUCACUCAAAUCAGUCGGAAUGUGGAAGCUUAUAUGGAUGAUAUUGUUGUCAAGUCACGAAAAGGUUCCGACCUGCUCGCUGACCUCGCCGAAACAUUUGCCAACCUCAGAAGGUAUGAUAUCAAGCUCAAUCCAUCAAAGUGCACAUUUGGAGUUCCUGGUGGCAAGUUACUGGGUUUUCUCGUUUCCGAACGGGGAAUCGACGCCAACCCAGAAAAGAUUGGCACUAUUCUCCGAAUGAAACGCCCUGUGCGAGUGCACGAUGUCCAGAAGCUUACUGGAUGCUUGGCCGCAUUAAGUCGAUUCAUCUCACGACUCGGUGAAAAGGCAUUGCCUCUUUACCGACUGAUGAAGAAGGCUAACAAGUUCGAGUGGACUCCAGAAGCUGAUGCAGCGUUUGCCGAGCUAAAAGCUCUGCUCUCCACCCAGCCGGUGCUCGCUGCUCCAAUCAGCAAAGAGCCUCUGUUGCUCUACAUCGCAGCCACAGGACAAGUCGUCAGUACUGUGCUAACGGUCGAGCGGGAAGAAGAAGGAAAAGCUCUCAAAGUUCAGCGCCCAGUGUAUUAUUUGUCUGAAGUCUUGACUCCAUCCAAGCAGAGAUAUCCUCAUUAUCAGAAGCUUGUGUAUGGAAUAUACAUGACCACAAAGAAGGUUGCUCAUUAUUUCUCUGACCAUUCAAUCACAGUCGUCAGCGACGCUCCACUAUCAGAGAUUUUGCACAACAGAGAUGCAACUGGUCGAGUGGCCAAAUGGGCGAUUGAACUUCUUCCCCUUGAUAUCAAGUUUGAGGCAAAGAAAGCCAUUAAGUCCCAGGCAAUAGCAGAUUUCCUCGCUGAGUGGAUCGAACAGCAGCAGCCGACUGAAGUUCACUCGGAGCAUUGGACCAUGUUUUUCGAUGGUUCUAAGAUGUUGAAUGGUUCCGGUGCUGGGGUUGUCCUGGUUUCCCCCAGAGGAGAUAAGCUCAGAUAUGUGCUCCAGAUUCACUUUGAUUCCUCCAACAAUGAGGCAGAAUAUGAGGCCCUCCUAUAUGGGUUGCGCAUGGCCAUUUCACUCGGCGUCCGUCGCCUAAUGGUCUAUGGCGACUCGGAUUUAGUGGUCAAUCAGGUGAUGAAAGAAUGGGACGUGAGAAGCCCAGCCAUGACUGGAUACUGCAGUGCAGUGAGGAAGCUGGAGAAAAAGUUCGAGGGGUUGGAGCUCCAUCAUAUACCCCGACUGAAAAAUCAAGCAGCUGAUGAUCUAGCAAAGAUAGGUUCCAAGAGAGAAGCCAUUCCGAGUGGUGUGUUCUUGGAGCAUAUACAUACUCCGUCAGUCAAAGAAGAUCCUUUCACCGAAGAAACUCCGCAGCCCAAGAGUCCCACAGAUCCGACUGAAGUUGAAGUCCCAGCGGUGGUCGACUUGAUCAUGGAGGUUUUGGUAGUCAUUCCCGACUGGACGAUUCCGUAUGUCGCAUAUAUCUUGAGGAAAGAGCUUCCGGAGGAUGAGGAAGAGGCUCGACAGAUCGUCCGUCGAUCUAAGGCCUUUACCGUCAUCAAAGGACAAUUAUACAGAGAGAGCACGACUGGAGUCGGACAGAAGUGCAUAACACCAGAAGAAGGUCGACUCAUCCUCAAUGAUAUUCACUCGGGGACCUGUGGUCAUCAUGCGUCCUCCCGGACCAUCGUGGCCAAAGCAUACCGAGCCGGAUUUUACUGGCCCAAGGCGAAUGAGAUGGCAAAGGAGAUAGUGGAUAAGUGCGAGGGAUGUCAGUUCUACUCGAAUAUAUCGCACAAGCCUGCGUCAGCUUUGAAGACCAUCCCACUCGUCUGGCCUUUUGCAGUUUGGGGGCUGGACAUGAUCGGUCCUUUGAGAACAGGACGAAGUGGCUUCACGCAUGUACUGGUGGCAGUCGACAAGUUCACCAAGUGGAUCGAAGCUAAACCAAUCAAGAGCCUCGACACCGGUACUGCUGUUAGCUUCAUCAGGGAACUAAUAUUCAGAUAUGGAGUCCCGCACAGCAUCAUUACGGAUAAUGGGUCGAACUUUGACUCAGAGGAAUUCAGAACCUUCUGCAACUCCCAGGGCACACGGGUCGACUACGCAUCAGUCGCCCAUCCGCAGUCGAAUGGACAAGCAGAGCGAGCUAAUGGACUGAUUCUCAAGGGACUGAAGCCGCGACUGAUGCGUGAUCUCAAACACGCGGCUGGAGCUUGGGUCGACGAACUUCCAUCUGUACUCUGGGGACUGCGGACCACGCCCAAUCGGUCGACCGGAAGAACUCCAUUCUUCUUGGUCUAUGGAGCCGAAGCAGUCUUGCUGAGUGAUCUUCUCCACAAUGCUCCUCGAGUCGAAAUCUACAACGAAGCAGAAGCUGAACAAGCGCGGCAGGACGCAGUCGACCUUUUAGAGGAAGAAAGGGAGAUGGCUCUGAUCCGGUCGACCAUCUACCAACAAGAUCUGCGCCGUUUCCACGCCCGAAAUGUGAGAGGUCGAGCCUUCCAGGAAGGGGAUUUGGUUCUCCGAGUGGAUCAGCACAAACCACACAAGCUUGCUCCUUCUUGGGAAGGCCCCUUCAUCGUCACCAAGGUUCUCCACAACGGGGCGUACCGUCUUUACAACGUCGAGCAUAAUAUCGACGAGCCCCGAGCUUGGAACGCGGAGCUACUCCGCCCAUUUUACACUUAAGUUUUAUCACUCGGAUGAGUUGCAAUAAAAUACUUCUGUAGUUCAUGGGUUUAGAAAUAAUUGUGUCAUCACUUUUUAUUUUUGCCCACAUAAAAACUCCCCCUCAGUGGGUGACUUAGCCGCGAAUCCGUUUCGCCUAAGUUUGUAAAAAUCCUACCGAGUGGUGAGCCAGACUCCCACUCGGAGGCUUAGCUGCGAAUCCGUUUCGCCUAAGUUAUCAAAAUCCUACCGAGUGGUAAGCCAGGCUUCCACUCGGGGGCUUAGCUGCAGUCCAAGCACUCGCCUAAGUUAUAAAAAUCCUACCGAGUGAAGAGCAAUCCUCUCACUCGGGGGCUUAGCUGCAGCUUCGUGCUCGCCUAAGUUAUAAAAAUCCUACCGAGUGAAGAGCAACCCUCUCACUCGGGGGCUUAGCUGCAGUCCAAGGACUCGCCUAAGUUUUACAAAAUCCUACCGAGUGGUAAGCCAGCCUUCCACUCGGGGGCUUAGCUGCAGCUUCGUGCUCGCCUAAGUUAUCAAAAUCCUACCGAGUGAAGAGCAAUCCUCUCACUCGGAGGCUUAGCUGCAGCUUCGUGCUCGCCUAAGUUUAUCAAAAUCCUACCGAGUGGUAAGCCAGCCUUCCACUCGGNNNNNNNNNNGGUCAAGGUUUGGCUCCAGUCGGCUGGUUUCUUCUUCAAAGUUUUGACAAAAUUCUGCAAGGGUGAUCACUAAGUCAAGGGGAUAGUCGAAUGGAAGAAGCCACAGUUGGAAAUAUUUGCCAAACAUGGAGGUUUACCUUCAAGCAUAAGAAACAGCUUCUUGGCAAGGCCACUCAGGAAGGCCUCCAGUUCAGCUUUCUUCUCAGUCAAUUUGCUGACUUGGUCGGUCAAGGCAGCUUUGUCAGUUCUCAGUCGACUGACUUCCUUGUUGGCAAUCCCAAGAGCAGUUUUUAGAUUGGUAUUAUCUUGUUCGAGCUUGGUGACUGAAGCUAACUUCUCGUCAGCAAGCUUGAUCUUCUCAGCUAGCUCAAGGUCUUUCUUCUGCUGGGCCUCCCUUACCUUACCUGCAAGUUACAGCGAGAUCAGAUGCCGAAACAAGCAAGGGGAAAAGCAGUCGGCAGGGUCUCACCAAACAUACCUUCGGUCUCCUCCUUUGCCUUUGUCAGCUUCUCCUGAACCAGCUUCAAGCUCAGCUCGACUUGAGUAUGUUUUUGUUCCAGCUCUGAGUAGCGAGCCACAAGAUCAUAGGAGUUCUGCGAAGAACCAAUCGACUAAACGUCAAAUGUAACUCACUUCCGAGUGAAAAAGGGAAAAACACACGUUUCUAAGACUACAGCCGAAUACAAGCAUUCGGCCGUAGUCUCGGGGACUACACCCAGUGGGUGCACUCAGCGUGCCCCCACUAAUCCUGUCGAAGACAAAGUCGACCAGUCGACCUCAAAAAAAAAACAGUGUGCGAGACGCAUUCUCUAAGACUGUGAUCAACUGCAAGCAGUCGACCACAGUCUCGGGGACUACACCCAGUGGGUGCACUCAGCGUGCCCCCACUGGUUUGCGAAAUCCAGUCGACCAGUCGACUGACAGAAAGAUUGACAUCAUAAAGCCUAAAGCCGACUGCCAGCAGUCGACCUUAGCCUUGGGGACUACACCCAGUGGGUGCACUCAGCGUGCCCCCACCGGUUUGCGAAAUCCAGUCGACCAGUCGACUGACAGAAAGAUUGACAUCAUAAAGCCUAAGGCCGACUGCCAGCAGUCGACCUUAGCCUUGGGGACUACACCCAGCGGGUGCACUCAGCGUGCCCCCGCUAACACGGAGUUUAUUCGACACACCCAGUGGGUGACUAAUAUAAAUUCCGGAAAAGAAAAGUUUUUGGUAGCAUAUCCAACAGAACAAACAGCGGUCGACUGACCUGGACAUUGCUUUGGAGGGCAGAACUGGCGUCAUAAGCUGCCUGGCUCGCGUCCCGGAUGGUCUUCAGCUGCUCCAUCAUGAGUCCCACCUGGCGUAUCGCCUCCUUCGCUGUGCCAGCUUGGUCCUCUGGGACGUGGUGCGUCAUGAAGAGGGAAGGCUGCGGAGCACUCGUCAGGGGAGUCGCGAAGGUCACCGUGUGUCGAGUGGUGUUCUCUUCCUCCACAGUCAGAAUUUCAGGCGCUGACACAUCCUGAGGCACCUUACUGGCGGACGCUUUCCGACCCCUCCUGUGCUUCAGCGGCUCUUCAUCCUCAUCAUCAUCAGGAAGAUCGAUAACAGUGUUGGGUGGAGCUGCGGAGAAGGGUCAGGAUCAGAGAUCGCGAGUCAGUCGACUAAGAAUGGUAUUAAGAACACAGUACCUGGAUUCGAAGUUGCUGCAUCCUCCAUCUCGUGGUCAUCGGCCCGGGCCGAGGUCUCAGAAGUAGCAGCACUGCAACUCCAAAGGAUCAGUCGACUAACCUCAGCGUUGACCAGAGAUAAAAUUCGCACAAGAAUAAGAAAAUAUGAGCAACACAAUUACCCUGAUAUGGUGGGGAUGGACACCUUCAUCUUCGGCAGGAGCUUGGUCGGCUUCGAUGAGGCCGCCCUGGGCUGCUUCGGCGCCUUUUCAGUCGGCGCCGGAGAGGUGGUCCGAGGGCGCUUGGUCGACUGAGUGGCAGUCGCAACCCCCUUACCACGUUCGGUCGAAGGGUCGUGGACAAGCUUCGACCGCCUUUCUGAGCGCGGUGGAACGACCUCCUCCUCCUCUUCUUCCUCGUCCUCGAUGUCAUCUUCAUCACCUUCAUCAUCAUCGUCGUCGUCGUCAUUCCCUGCAGCAUCCGAGUCCCAUUCCUCCUCUUCCUGGCUCUCGCCCCCGCUCGCCUCGCCUUCCUCAGUCGGAGCUUGUGCCCCAUUGGGCAUCGAGUACAGCUCGGUGAAGGCCUAGCAGAUGCCCAAACAAGGAUCAGUCGACCAGUCGGCAGGGUUAGCAGAAAUGAAUACAACAAGGACACAAUGGAAAGCAGAGCAAGUGUACCUUGUUUGGGACGCUGUUGUGGUCGAGUGGAGGAAUCCUUCUGGCUCCGCGCGGGUUGUCCCUGUUUCCGGUAACGGCUACCAUCCAUCUUUCCAGAGUGACAUCGUCGACUUCUUCUGGAUGGACUCUAGUCUCGUCUUCGGGCCCACAGUACAACCACAUGCAGUGGCUCCGGAACUGGAGAGGCUGGAUGCGACGCUUGAGGAAAACCUCCAAGAGGUCCAUGCCUGUCACACCGUCCCGAACCAGCUGCACCACGCGCUCCAUCAACAUCUUCACGUCGGCUUUCUCCUCCGGAAUCAGCUUCAGAGGGGAGGGCUUGUUCACUCGGUCCAUGGUAAACGGAGGGAGUCCACUCGACUGCCCUGGCGUCGACUGGACCUGGCAGUAGAACCAAGUCGACUGCCAGCCUCUGACGGACUCGGGAAAGGACAUGGGCGGGAAGGUGCUAUUAUUCCUCACCUGAAUCCCCAGGCCCCCACACAUUUGGACGACUCGGGUCUUCUCGUGACCUGGGCUCGCCUUCUUCACGGUCUGAGAGCGACACGUGAAGAUACGUUUGAACAAGCCCCAGUGCGGUCGACAGCCCAAAAAACCCUCACACAUGGACACGAAUGCAGCAAGAUAGGCAAUGGAGUUUGGGGUAAAGUGGUGGAGCUGCGCUCCAAAGAAAUUCAAGAAGCCACGAAAGAAAAUGCUUGGCGGCAAGGAAAACCCGCGGUCAACAUGAGUGGCCAGAAGCACACACUCACCCUCUUCUGGUUGUGGCUGCCACUCCUUCCCCGACAACCUCGCAGCUCCGUGAGGGAUCAAGCCCUCGUUGGCCAUGUCGAGGAGGUCCUUCUCCGUGAUGGUCGACUGGAUCCAGUCUCCUUGGACCCAGCCUUUCGGCAGGCGGGAUCUGGACGAGGACCCUCUGCGGCUGGUGGAUCUCCCCUUCGCCUUCUCCGAUGCCGACGCCUUCUUGGCACGCUCCAGCGCCGCCGUCUUCUCCUUGGCCAUGGCCGCCGGUGAGAUGCACGAAGGGAAGUGGUGCGGGGGCGAGAGCGAGCACGCUGAGCAGGGAGGAAGGAAGCAGAGGGAGAGAGGGAGAAUGCUGAGGCGCAGCACAGAAUUCCUCGCCGGGCACAUUUAUAAGGUCCCUUCCGAGUGGCUGGCAUGUGGGCCCGGUCGAUCUAAUCAUAUCUGGGAGCAGUUAUGAGGACUGGAUACGUGGCGAAAAAGGCGGCGCGGAGAUCGAGGCGUCUAUGCCCCGUCCCAUCCGAACGCCGCGGUCUGCCCCGCUUCGCGCGCGCCCCCAAAUUUCGCACUCCGCGGAAUCCGCGAGCAACAAAUCAGUCUGUCAGACGCAAUGUUUCCGGCGAUCCGUCGCUCGGAGAUCGUCGAAGCUCGAAAGAUCACUCGACGCAAAAAUAGAAUGGAUCGAGUCGACCGAAGACAAAUUGCUCCCUGUCAACGAAGAGAUUCUUUGAUCCAGAACAGCGCACAACUAGAGCGCAAAGGUUAAUCGGAAACGACAUCAACUCCUUCUUCACUCGAAGCCUCAAUCCAUUCGGGGGCUAAUGAUGGGGUUAUGUACCUAGGGUAGGGUCAUGGACCUGUUCCAAGUAACUUACCCUAGGACGUCCCUAGAAGAGGUCGCCUUCCAGUCGACCAACGAGGAUUCACUCGACUGGCCUGAAGGACUCAACCACGAAGACUCACUCGACCACCAGGAGGUCAAGAGGCACUCUGCAUUGCAACGGCCUGCAAUUAAGUAGACUUUAUGAUAGUAAAGGCACUUUAUGUGGGGCGUUACCAGUAACGCCCCAGACUUAACUCACCUUAAACCCUCUCCUACGUGGGCUGGCUGGGGUCCUGGCACACUCUAUAUAAGCCACCCCCCUCCACAGGCAGAAGGGUUCGGCACCUUGUAAUCCAUACAUUCAUAAUCCACUCGACCGCCUCCGGGCUCCGAGACGUAGGGCUGUUACUUCUUCCGAGAAGGGCCUGAACUCGUACAUCCUUUGUGCUUACAACCUCUCCAUAGCUAGGACCUUGCCUCUCCAUACCUACCCCCACUCUACUGUCAGGCUUAGAACCACGACAGGAGGAGCCACGAGGGCCCCACGAGGCAGGGGGCGCGCCCUAGGGGGGUGGGCGCGUCCCCCACCCUCGUGGGCAGCCCGUGUCUCCCCUGACGUGCACUCCAAGUUCCCUAGGUUGCUUUCCUUCCAAAAAUAACUUCAUCGGUUGAUUUCGUUCCGCUUCGACUUUGUUUGAUAUUCCUUUUCUUCGAAACACUGAAAUAGGCAAAAACAACAAAUCUGGGCUGGGCGUCCGGUUAAUAGGUUAGUACCGAAAGUAAUAUAAAAGUGGAUAAUAAAGCCCAAUAUUGCCCAAAACAGUAGAUAAUAUAGCAUGGAGCAAUCAAAAAUUAUAGAUACGUUGGAGACGUAUCAACUGCGUGGAGGUUUACCAAGAGACUUAAACCCUCUACCGGACUCAUCUUGUCCAACAGAGGCUCUGGGACUACACCCAGUGGGUGCACUCAGCGUGCCCCCACUGGAGGAGAACUCAGCAAGAAACAUUUUGCUCGACGCAAGACCAUGUCUAGAUCACUCAAGUGGUACUCGACUUCCGAGUCAGAGAGGAACAAGUUCUAUCAGUACCAGCUAAGAAGAUUUUUGGUUCUCUCAGACCCUCACCGAUUGCCCGCAGUCGACGGCGGUCUCGGGGACUACACCUAGUGGGUGCACUCAGCGUGCCCCCACUGGAGUAAUCUCCACUCGGUACGGCCUGACUGGUCUGAGUGGAGAACAACAAACAAACAAGUUCUAAGACUCUCGCCGGCUACCAAAAAAUUGCUAUAAGGUGAGUUUAAGGCUCCUCCGUGGACCUGUUCUGAGCCUUCUUCUAGGACUCAUACAUGAAACUCAUAAGUUUGGAUCUAGAGCCGACUCGUAUUGACGUUCCUCUGGGAUAAGAACGGUAUCUCUCCGAGAGAGCAGUCCAUGCGUCGAUCCUGUUGCCUGGAUUUAAUGACUCACCCAUACUCUGAUCACGAGUUAACCUCUUCUGAGAGAUGAUCAAAUGUCACAAAGUUUCUCAUCGCGAGCACUUACCCCAGAUCAGUCGGGAAGCACAAUGCCAUAAUCCAUUGAGAUUUUUUUCAGACCUUGGUUGUCUGAAAGCACGAUGACGGGUACCGAGUAUUUCCGUAAUCACUCAGACCAAAUUGUGUCUUUCACAAACUCGUUCUACAAAAUGGCAACCGAUUCGGGGGCUAAUGUUGGGGACACACAUAACAGGUAGGCCAACAAAGGGUUGAAAUAUAUUAAAGCAUGGGGUCCACACAUUAGGUGGGUCCAGAUAAAUUUCAUAUAGACAUACUAUCCACUCGGAUGACCAUCAAGUCACUCGGACGACAACAACCACUUGACCAACUCAUUCCACUCAGAGCACCAAAUCUCACUCGGAUAUGCGAAGACCAGCAGUCAACAAGGCACUCGAAGCAUCAUCUUAGUAGUAGGCUGACUUAUGGCAUUAACGCCCCCACUUUGUAACAUAGGAGGUGAGGGGGUGGCGCACUCUAUAUAAGCCACCCCCACCACUAGACUAGGGGGCUCUUUCCUCUCUUUUCUUCCACCUCUCUUUCUCUUUUCGUCAUUAGACUCAAGACUACGGGGAUCCAUUCUCUCACACACUGCAAUCUCCGGAUACAUACUCAGAUAAAACAAAGCCUCUCCGGAGCACGAGACGUAGGGUUGUUAUCUCCACGUGAGAGGCCCGAACUCGCUAAAACCACCAUGUCACCCAUUUGCAUCUCGAUAGAUCAUGCUCCAUUAUCCUAUACCUUAUUAUUGUCGGAAUCGUUGCCACGACAAUUAGUGCACAACCUCUUUGGUGGCGCCGAUUAGGCCGCAACUUCAACCGAGGAAACGGUGAUGAUGAUGCUCUUCUGGUGGUGCAGGUGAAUACGACGGUGCGGGAAUGGAGGUGGCGCGAAAGACGAGGGGAACAUCGGGGCAGCUCCUUGGAGGUGGAGGACGGGGUAGCUGAACCGGUGGGAUGAUCAGAUCAACGACGGAUCCUCAUCCGGUACGGUGGAUGAGGGACGUCGAGGUGUUGCUGUGGACGACGUCGUCGGGGAAGAGGCUCCGGCUGGGUGGCGGACGGAGGAGGGUCUAGGGCUUCGCGGGUUUUGCCGGCCUCGGUGUACGAAUGGGUGGGCGGAUGGGAUGGGAGAAGGGAACCAUGGCUUAGGGACGCGCUUGUCUGAAAUGUGGGGUAAGUUACAAAAGUACCCCCACCGAUUUGAGGUGGUUCUUUCGGUUUAGGGGUAUCACGGGCAUUUCGUGUGUCGGGAUUUCAUAGGAGGUGGGAGUUUUCGCGCGCAUUGUAAUUUUGGAAUAGCAGGGCGCGGGUUGAGAUGGAGGGAGUUGUCAGAGCACAAUGAGACAAAGAUUUAUCUUAAAUAUUUCGGGGUAAUAAGGCGCGGGUUGAAGAGGCGGGAGUUUCGCAGCAUGAUAGACAGAGACGCUAGCUUGAAAUUUCGACAUAACAAGGCGCGGCUUGAAAUUUCAGGAGAACAAGCUUAACGUGUACCCAAAAGGAAAAAGACAAUUUAGACUAGUAUGAUAUACUAUGUACAAUGUGUUUAACACGCACAACACACACAGACACCAUUUAGACUAGUAAGGUACACGUGUAUUGCACGCAUGAGAUUUGGCAACCAAAUUAUGAAUAAAUACCACAUUAUAGCAUGUAAGCUUUGAGUCAUAUAUGCAUGAUGUAGAUGUUCGUUUAAUUCUUAUAGUUCAUUUCAUUCAAAAUCAUCUAGUUUUGAUAAGAAAGCUAAUCUAUUUUAAGAUUCAUGAAAUUGUGCAUUGUAAGGCAUAAAGUAAAAACAAAUCAUGUAGAAAAACAUUUGGGUAAUUCUGAUACGUAAUAUUCUAGAACAAAGAAGAAGUGCUUGUAUUUUGAGGUUUGUGCAUUAUGCUUAAGUUCAACCAUAGAGUCUUCUAGAUUGUACAUGUGGCAAAAUCAGGUGGAAUCUAGAUGAUAUCCAACGGCCAAUAGUGCUUAAAUUUGCCAGCUCUGCACCAUCGGAUUGGCAUCAUCCAACGACCAUCUUUCAAAGUUAAAGUUAUCCGCACACUAUAUAAAAAAUAUAAAAUAUAAUAUAUAUAGGGGUAUAGAUAUAGAUAUGUGAUGCGAAAGCCACCCAUCAUCUCCAAUUAGAAUAGUGUGUCCAUGCACGGAUGCAAUGUGGCCAAACAAUGUCUGCCAUCGAUAUCUCAAAUUCAAACUAGUCUGACCUUGUUCAAUGUGUAUACAUUACAACAUGCUCGUUUCCAAACCACACCGCGCAGAUCUCUGUUAUAUUCGUGCAUGCAUGGGUUUCAAACAUCAUGAUCUCUUAUUCAAAUAUUUGAAUUCAACUUUACAUUGAUUAUGACCUCACCUAGUCUUUUACACCCACACAUUGGUCUUCUCUUUAUAAUUGUACCACUAACUUUCUCUCGUGCAUGCAUGCACACACACUACCAGUCGGCAUUAUCCAUCGCACACAUGCAAUCUUUUUCUUCAGGUCGGUCUCCCAUGAAGGCACACACACACACCCCCUCUCCAUCAUAUCGGGCAUUCUUUAUCUCUCACGUGCAUGCACAACGAUCGAUGUUCCUCUAUGUGUGUGUGUAUAUAGCUAGGUCUUUCAUAGUUUUCCACAUAAACCGAUCAAUCUAUAUAUCUAGUGAGGUCUCACCCUCUUUCCCACGUCCACAUCGAUCAAUCUAUACCUCUCUAUAUAGGAUUACAUAUAUAGCUAAUACACCCACAUUAAUUAUAUAUCCAACACCCCCCUCUCGUCAUCCAUGCCUUCCGCUUCAUCUCUCAGACGCGCGCACAAUGGCGAAGACAGGGGGCAGCAAGGGCCCUGCCCCCCUAACAUCACUAUAUAUCGAGGCUAAUAUGAAUGUGAUCAUUAGACAAUUGCUGGUAAAAAUGGUUUAAGUUGAUGAAUUGGCCCUCCUCGUAAAGGAUUAGUAAUGCUUGGCCCCCUAGCUCAUGGGACAUUUUUCAUGGCUCCACCAUUGCGCGCAACAUCGCACGUUCUCGCCCCCUCUCUCUAAAUAUCGAUCUCGCAGUUGUGCACUACUUCAUAGUCUCCCUCCACUCGGCCCCUCACACCAUCUUCUAGCCCCCACCGGAUUUUGCCACAUGUACAAUCUAGCAGACUCCAUGGUUGAACUUAAGCAUAAUGCACAAAUCUCAAAACAUCAGUGGCUCUCCUUUGUUCUAGAAUCUUCCGUAUCAUAACUGCCCAAACUUUUUUUCUAGUUGAAUUUCCAUUAUUUGUUUUUACUUUAUGCUUUACAAUGCACAAUUCCAUGAAUCAUAAAAUAGAUUAAGGGCUUCUUUGAUUCAAAGGAUUCUCGAAGGAAUUUUGGAGGAUUCUAAUCCUUAGGAAUUUUUCCUAUCUUGGUUGUUUGAUUCGUAGGAUUGUAAACCAUAGGAAUUUUUCCAUAUGAUUCAUUUGCACUAGAUUUCAUAGGAAACAUCCCAUCCACUCAAACCUCUUUUAAAGAAUUCUGCGUUUUUUCUAUGCACAAUCAAACACUCGUACCAUCCUGUAGGAUUCAAGACGACAUUCCACUCUAAUACCAUGUUCUUCCUAUUCCCGCGUUUUGGAAAUCCUACGAAUCAAAGAGGCCCUAGGUUUUUUAUAAAAAAUAAUUGAUUUUGAAUGAGAUGAACUAUAAGAAUUAAACGAACGUCUACAUCAGGCAUAUAUGACUCAGAGCUUACAUGCUACAAUGUGGUAUUUAUUCAUAAUUUGGUUGCAAAAUCUGACGCGUGCAAUGCACGUGUACCUUACUAGUACUUCGAGUAUCUGCAAAACACAAUGGAAUGCUACACAAUGUCUCUCUUACAGUUCAUGAAGCCACGUGGCACAUGUGGAGGUGUUGUCGCGACAUCCUUGUGUGGAUUGAUCAUAGUGACAUGCUGCUGGUUCUAGAAGAAUGUACUCGUCCUCCCUGAGCCGCACUGGCAGUACAUGCACGAAGUGAAGAUGUGCACGCAUGCCACACACGCACUCAUUCCUUCGCACACACACGUGGGUACAUGGGCGGACGCAAUUUUGUACCAAGAUCCACCCCAUGUGAUAAUUUGACGUGUGUAAAGUCCUUCACUUCAUUGAUGGUUAAUUGAUACAUCGCAUGCAAAUUGAGUGGACGUGAGGGCGAAAGGAAGACAUUACUACUCCACUGCGCGCAUGUGAGUGGUUAAAUCAUGGGUUGCUAGUAGUACUUCCAUUGGUCUCCUUCGUAUUUUGUGCCAAUUUUUGACAGUAACAUAAUAUUUACGCAUCUGAGCAGUGUAGUCUACUUAAAAUUUAUGUUCCAAUAAACUCAUCGGGAGCCAUUUCGGGCCUCGAAACCAAAAACCAUCAAUUAAUCUUUACCUUGUUCCCAUCACAUUCGAAAGUACUAGUGCUACAAUUAAGUGCAAGCCUGAUCACACCUACCAGUACGUACCAAACCUGAACGUGUUCCCACUAUGUAGGUUUUAGUACUAGUGCUAGUACUUAGGUUAUAAAAAGUUGAACUACCUAACCGAAAAUUACUCUACCUUCCUCCUCAUAAGUCCUCCUUCUUCGUUUGUCCUUGCCAUGGUUUGUGUGCAGAGCUCUAGGUCGGGAACUACUCGUAACAAGGGAGCGGCAACCAAGGCUGCGAGAAAAAGAGAGGGCUCGCCGCCACGCAGAGACCUCGAAAGAUCUCUCACAGGCAGGCGAUGGCUCCCAGGAGCGCCCUAGACGCGGAGGCGAACAUGCCGAGCUGGCGGCACUGGAGUCGUUAUCCCUCGACGGCAUGCCCGAUCAGCUCAAUAAGCACCUCAAUAAGAAGAAGGAGUUCAUCCACGGCUUGGUGGAGGUGCUGAAGGAGAGCCUCGACGACAUGCCCACUGAGCUCAAUGAGCAGGGGGAGUUGACCGCCGGCUUGGUGAUGCUGCUAAAGAAGAGCAUUGCCUCGGAGAAGAAGGCGACCGGAGAAAUCCUGCAACUUCAGGAGGACAAGGCGAAGCUCUGCAUGAGCUUGACCUGCUGAAGGAGGAGAACACCGGCUGGAAGAAGCUACAUGAGAAUAGUAGUUCCUCGAUGAAGAUGUUGCAGGCCCUCAUCAUGGAACAGAAGGAGGAGUUGGCGAAGCUCCGCAUCGAGCACCCGACUGCUGUCAAGGUACGCAAUGCGGCCGUGGAACAGAUGAUGAAGGCUCGCGUCGAGAAAUCCCACGUCAUGGACAAAAUGAUGAAGAUGGCGGAGGAGACGCGCAAGGAGAUGGAGGUUGUGGAGGCGAUGAAGAAGCAGUUACGACUCCGCGGCCAGCAACCCUUCAUGUAGUGAGAGCAGCGCCCCAGACUUGUGUGUGCGUCUUCCUUCUUUAUUGGGGGUGAUAAUCCUCCUUCUUCUUUUGCUCCUGUGUUUCUUAUUUGCUUCGGGUGUUUGGCCGCAUGUGUCACCUUCUCUGCGAGGCAUGAAGAGAACAAUGCUAAAAAUAAGAUGACUAGCAAAUUAGAUCAUUCUUUAUCGCCAAUAGAACAAUGCCUCUUGCUAGUAAUAUAUAAUAAGAGUAGAGAGUAGAGGAUAUGGCACUGGGCUGCUGUGUUUCGUGCUCCUCCGUCGUACUCCAUUGGAAAACUUGAGUAUACCGCAUGGUUCUUUGUUCCUCCUCAGGUCGUUGGCACAUUCAUACGAGUAGUCAAAUCACAAGGCCCCGCCUUCCAGCAGUAAUGAGCCGUCAAAUCACAAAGGCCCUCGCCUCUCGUGAAAAGGACCAAGCUAGACUGCCCGCCCUCUAGCCUUUUAAAAAAUGUAUACAUUUGUACAGUAGUAGUAUCGAUGGAUUGCGCCAUGGAGCAAAACUAACACGAUGUAAUUAAAGAAAAAAGGUGGUACAUAUAGAGAGCGCUCGUCGCCAAAUUAUGCAUAUACUAUAUGACACUACCCACUAUGAAGGUACUAGUAACAUAGACUAGUAACUAGUCUAUGCUACUCUCCACUAUGACCAGCCAAAGUCGAGGCGCGGAUACCAACAGGCAGACGGAGCUCGUGUCGGGUUGGUGCCAUGUGCGGCCCGCACAUUAACCAAAACCUCACGCCUCAAUAUUAGCCUCCGCGUUUUAAACUUCUCAAUCUCAAGGCCAAGGAGCAACGUGAAACCUAUGAUAGAGCCAAUCGGAUGGUUGAGAACACUACAAUUUGUAGCUACAUACGCGUGUGUGAGAGAGGACGAGUGCAUGCGUGCACCUCUUCUUAGAGUAUAACUGUAUGUGGGUGGCAUCGACCUAGGGAGCAGUGAUGGUGCGUGCGAGAAGUCCUGAGAGAUAGGUGUAAUGCGUUUGGAAAAAAGACUAGUCUAUAGCUCGCCACGAGGCUAUUCCCGUCGAAGGCCAAGUGUAAGAUAUGUAUCCGAUGGUGCCAGUUUUUGCAUGUACACAACAGUAGAAAAAGAACUAGUACCAUGGCAUAUGCUACACCAUGGCCGAGAAAACGUGCCGACGUCACGCCAUCCAGGAAUAGUGCCGCACUUCGAAACUAGAACCGUCAAUAAAUUUUGAGCGCGUCUCGUCACAUUCCAAAUUACUACUACUACCACGCUAUAUUUAAUUGCAAACCUGUUCACACCAAUCACAACCUAAAUGGUUUCCCACUUAGGAGCGUAUUAGUAGUACUCGGUUAUAAAUACUACUAUGCUAAGAUGACUGCACAUUCCUCCUCAACUCCUCAUCCACAGAAAAUAAUCAAGUCAAUCAAGCCAUAGCCAACGUGAGUUCUAGGUCGAGAGAUUUCCACCAGGGAGAGGUGAGCAUGGAAGAGGAAGCACGAGAGAUGUCCCGCCUCGCCGUGAAAGCAGCCGACAUGUCUAGCCGCGCAGCAGUAGCAGCACAGAGGUCCCGCCGCGCUGCAGAAGCAACACGGAGGUCCUGCCGCGCCGUCGAUGUAGUAGACUGGUCCGGCCACGCCGUGGAAGCAGCAGAGAUGUCCCGCUGUGCCGCCGAAGUAGCAGGGAGGUCCUACCGCGCCGCAGCGGCCUGGGAAAAUUUCUCGAGGGCAGGCGAGGACUCUUGCAGGCACAUGCAUGCGAUAUUCCAUAGCCAGAUGGAUCAGAUCUCCGGCUAGGCGAGGAUGCAGGACGAGGCUACCGGUGUCAUCUGGCAACUAGGGGAGGGCAAUGCGAAGCUCCGGGGAAAGCGCGACCUACUGAGGGCGAAGAUCGCCGGAAGGGCGAAGCAGGAGGAGGAGACCGCUGCCUUGUUGCAGAGGAUGGGCGUCAUCAUCAAGAAACUUAUGGACGAGAAUGCCAUGCUCCGCAUCGAGCGCAACAGGAUGGUGGAGGAAUCCAUGGAUGCUGCCAAGAAGCAUAUUAAAGACAUGAAACUGAUGAAAGAGAUCAUCGCCCGCCGUGAGAACUAGUCUCCGUGACCUGCAACGCAUAAAGAAAGUAGAGAUCAGCGAGCCAGAUCGUUGUAUGCGUCUUCCUUCUUCUUUUGCCCUUGUGUAUUUCGGGUGUAGCCGCAUGUGGCUUUUUUAAUUAUCUUCCUAAUUAUGUAAGACAAUUAUUAUCCACUCUCAUCGUCCUUAUAUAUAUUCACCAGUCUUGCUAUAAGUCACAAUAGAUGCUAUAUAGGUCCGUCGGAUCUUACCUCAAGAUCCGUGCAAAUUUUUCUUUUCAGAUUUUAUUUUUUCUCUCUUAAAUCUCACUCGAGUGAAACAUUGCGACACCAUUAAACAGAGGCUUGGGCACCAUUAAUGGAGACCUUGGGAGAGAGGUGGACAACAGAUGGAGGUCAAAGGGCUCUCCUCCCGAUAAGCACACACAGGGGUCUGAUCACACGCCUCCCGUACUCAAAUAGCUACCCUGCACGGCGCCUCCUAGCUAAUAAAAAAGGGGACACGUGGCGGUACGUAAAUGGUAAAUAGAAUGCCCACGGUUUCAAUAGUACUCGUCUUUCCUAUUGUAAUGUGGCAACACUUGUUCCAAAAUGACUUUGUUGAUUGUUAAUGUGUGCGCCUAGGCAAAUCGGACAGCAAAAUUGUCGGAUCACGGGUUCCGGUAAAACCCUUAAGGUUCGAACUUUGGGGUGCGCACGAAGGUCUCCCCCUACCGAUCCACGUCCUAGAUCGGCUAAGAUCUUACGGACUAACUCGAUGAACUUGCAACACAGAGGACACAAGAUUUAUACUGGUUCGGGCCACCGUUGUGGUGUAAUACCCUACUGCAGUGCGGCGGUGGUGGAUUGCCUCUCGUGCCGAGGAUGAACAGUACAAGGGGAAGAACAGCCUCCUGAGGAGAGGUGUUCUUGUGCUUGGCGAACUUGUGUGUGUUCUGGUCUCUCUUGAUCUCUCUCCUAGCUAUGGUGGUGGCUAGUCCUAUUUAUAGUGGCCCUGGUCCUCUCCCCAAAUAUUGAGUGGGAAGGGAGCCAACAACGGCCAACUUGAAAGGGGACAACUAGUACAGCUUAUCCUGACAAAAGUGGUCUUCGCCUGCAAAAGGCUCUGGUGGUGACGCCGCCUUGGGCUCCAUGGUGACCUCCGUCUUGCCGUCCUGCUGGUCUUGGUCUUGUUGCACCGAUAUGGAAACCUUUGCUUGAUUCCUUGGUACUCCGCGCCUGCGCUUGCCCCCUUAGCACCAAAGAGGAAACAAGGACGCCGCGCUGGCGCCUGCCUGGCCUUGGUCGUCAUGGCUCACGUCACUAGAACCUCGCGAGGUUUGCCUAUCCUUGAACUCUCCGCCCCUCGUGAGCCAGCCUGGUGAGGCCGCUCCUAAGGAGGUCUUGUGUCGUCCGCCUAGCGAGGCAUGGACCCUAGCGAGGGUCUUGAAUGUCUUGUUGAUGAAGAUGGGCUGUACAUGCCUACUAGCAAAGCCACGCCAUGGGCCACAGGCAGGCAAGUCUGGGGACCCCCAUUCCCAUAACGCCGACAGUAGCCCCUAAGCCCAAGGCGCGCUCGGGCUUGGCUUCGAGGCAAAGCCAAAGGUCAAGUGCGGAGCGCUGCGGGCCCCAAUAGCAUGUGGCCUUGGUCGACGCGUGGUGGUUGAUUGGACGUGGGCGCCUCUGCUUCCCCACGCUGCCUUGAUAUCCGCCUGGCUGGAUGGCCACCGCGGUCUACACGAUUAUUCUUCCAUCGCUUGCGCCAUUCUCCUCCAAUUCCUCUGCUUCCCUCCAGACUCUGCUCCUAUUUCCAAUCUGACCUUAGCUCUGCUCGCCCCAUCGCCAUGGCGCUGACGCAAGCGAAUAAGGGGAAGAAGCCUCUGUCUUCGGCUAGUGUGCCCCCGGCCGCCGAGCCCGCAGUUGGCCGAUCGCUGGUGCUCAACGAUGAAGCUAUGGGCAAGGUGCGUCCCAUGCUCGCCUCCAGCUUUAAUGAAUGGGGAAAGAUGGUGGCUUGGCCUGCAUCUCGCGCUCGCAUCGAUCGGGCGACCACUGAGGUCCCCUUCUUCAUCGAUGCCCUUUGGGCCGGCUUGGUCCCUCCUUUCUCCGCCUUCUUCAACGUCGUGCUUGCGCAUUACCAGAUCCAUAUGCUGCACAUUGAUCCUCAAUCCGUGACCCUUCUUGCCGUCUUCGCCUUUGUUUGUGAGGCCAUGGUAGGCAUUGCUCCUUCCGUGGCUCUUCUCCGCCACUUCUUCUCGUUGCACCUGAUCGAUCCUCGGCAGAGCUCCGGAUGCCUGAGCUUUCAGGCCAUGGCGACAACGGCCGGUGACGGGAUCGACUUUGAACUUCCACCAUCCACGAGCGAGUUUCGGACACGGUGGGUGUUUGUUGAUGCCGGAGUGCUCAGCCCCCUACUCUCCUCUCUGUCAGGGCCUACCAUUCCUAACUCCGGUUGGUGCCACCGGAGGCUCGCCGAUCCGUGCCUUGGCCCCGUCUGGCUCAGGCUGAGGUGGCUCAAAGACCUUGGCAUGACUGCACCUAUGGUGGUGAAGGAGUUCGUCCGGCGCCGAAUCGCUCCGCUUCAGCGCCACUCCCGGCCGAUGUGGGCCUUGCUCAGUAGCCAGGACCACAUGAGACUUCAGGAGUCAGGGCUCCCUCUUGAGGCACGGCGGAUGAUGCUUGAGGUCCUGAUAGGCGUCCCGUUGCCAGAAGACUUGCCGAGGAGGAGUUACCUUUUGUAUCGCUGGUUGAACAAGAUGACAUUCACGGAGCGGAUGCCCUCCUUUGACAAGGCGAGGCCCCGUGAGAACCCAAUCAUCGUGGUCCCUCUCCUUGAAGCUAGUGUCGGUCUCGCCCCAAGUGUGGGCGCAGGGGGGCGAGCACCGCUGGGGGCCGAUAGUGAAGGUGCCGAGAUGCCAAUGCCGCCUAGGGCUCCCGAGGCGUCGACCUCGGGGACUCGUGACUCUUGCCCUGGGUCGGCAGUUGAAGGGGCGAAGCAGCCCGCGUCUCCCGAGGCCGGGGCCCCAGAGGCCUCGACAAGUCACUGCGAGGCCGGGCCGGAUAGCUCCCGUCAGCUUGGCGCUUCUGAGGCUGCCCCUCCGAGCACUUCUCCAGCUGCGCCUCGUGUUGGCCGCCAUGUCUAGUGCUUCGGUCGGCUUUGCGUGGACUUCAAAGAACUCCACUAGAGGAAGGAGUCCCCGAGCUGCGGCAGCGGCAUCUUUGGGCCGUUAAAACGGAGGAAGUACAUCGCCGUUGACGAGUAAGUACCUCAUCUUGGUGAUCUUCUGCGUGUUGCUUUUCUUCCUGACGAUUGUCUCCUUAGUACCCCUUCUGCCUAGGCCGCGAAAUCUCCUGAGAAGUAGCUCCCUCUCGCCCCGCUUCCCCCGCCAAACUCGAGCGCCACAGGCUCGUGCGCUGCCCACGGUGUGGGGUCAACCGUGGGAGUCGACCCGUCAUCAAGGUGUCUUGAGCUUGCGCCUUCGCCGUCUUUUCUUCACGGCCCUGCUCGGAGCACAACAAGCGUGCCAAGGGCUCCUCCCCUGGUCGUGGAUGGCGGCUGGUUGGCUUCGAUCCUGGGGCCUUCUUCAAGCAGCGGGGCUUCACUCGUUCGGGCCCCUCGUGAGGCCCGCCCCACUAAUGGGUGGAUGCCAGCCUCCAGCCCCCUGCCGAGAGGGGUCGAGCCACUUCAGGCCCCAUCUGCGGUCCCUGUGGUGGAGGAUGAAGUCAGUAGCAUGCUCGGGUCAGCGCGAGAAAGGAGCGUCGUUCGCCACGAGCUCUUUCAGGAGGCGAUGGGCGCGAUGAAUCGGCUUGGUGAAGAGCUCAUGGAUGUGGACGCGUGCCUCGAGGCCGAGGUUCUUCGGGUGCUGGAGGAGCGGCAUAAGCUGAAGGUGGCUAUCAACCUUGGGUGCCACCAGAGCGAGCUUGAUAAUGCGAAGGCCGAGGCUUCCCUUGCAGCCUCCCAUGAGCCCUGCUCUCGAGCUCUGGAAGAGGCUCGGGAAGCUGACCGCCGUCGCGAGGCCGCGGAGAAGGGCGCGCGGGAGCUCCAAGCAUGGAGCGCCGUCUUGGAUCAGCAGGUGGAGGCGCACAGGGCUGCCCUUGCAUCAUUGAGGGGGACGCCCGCUGAGGAGGAAGAGAUCCGAAAGCACUGGCACUGGAAGCCGUGGAGCGCAACCUCGAACUCAAACGGCUAGAGACGAGGGAGCGCCAGGUUGCUCAGGCGGAGGAUGACGUCCGCUCCCAUGAGGCCACGGCCCAGGAGGAGGUUGACCGCCGGGUGGCCGAGGCUCGUGCGGAUCUCGAGAGCAGGCACGACCUGAAGCUGAAGCUCAUGGAAGCCGGGGCCGCUGGUAGGACUGCUGCCCUCAAGUCCAGGUUGAUCAAGGUGGAGCGGCGCGAGGAGGCCGCCACAGCCACCCUGGCCUCGGUGCAGGCUGAGCUGGCUUCCGCCUGCGCCGAGCUGCUCUCUCCUCGACAGUGGGUCGCCAACGCCGAGUCCGUUGCGUGGCAGAACAAGGACGAAGUGCUUCAGCGGUGGACGUUGGAGCGUGUGCACGCCCCCAUACUUGAGGACCUCAGGAAUAGGGCCAACACCGCCCUGGGCCAUAUCUGUGAUGAGAAUGCUCCUCAUCCCCAUGCGAACGACUAGACCAGCCACCUCUGCUUCUUCGCCAACAUGGUGACACGCCUGCAGAACCGUUCCGAGAGGGCUCGCUAGCUUGUUGAAGAGAGGGGUCGCAGCCUGCUCGGGCGCGCGUUCUCCCGCGUCUUCAACCAUCUCUAGAACGCCGAUCCCAACUUCGAUUUUGAUGCCGCCAUUGCUCCCGUACCUGAAGCCAUCCGGGGUGACCUGGCGCGAUGGGUUGAAGACAACAUGGAUGCGCUGGUCAGGGCCUUCACUUCUGACAACGACGGGGUGGUAGUUGCGGUGCACGAAGGCAUCGUGGUCAAUGAUGGCGAUGGCGGCGCCGAGGGAGGUGCUGGUAAUGCCAAUGAUGAUGGAAGCGAUGCCAGUGACACGUUCGAGGGCGAUCCUGGGGGCGCGGCGAGCGACCUGUCCGAUUGAUUCUGUGCUUCUCACCUGUUUGCCCUACACGUAGAAGCUUGGGCGCGGCCCCGGAGGUUGCAAGAUCAUUUUGGGAGGGGGAUCCCCUCAUGUAAAUAUACUAUUGCCUCUACCCCUUUAGGUUGAAUUGAAUAUGCGUCUUCACGAACUCACGUAUGCUGGGGCAAGGUUGCUGUUGCGGUUUACCUUAACCUGGACGAGCCCAAAACCGGCUCAAGGGAUUGUGGGUUUCUGGGAAGCUCCUGAGGAAUUCGUCGACACACCCGAGGGGCCACAUGAUAAGCGAGCGCCAGCCGCGGUGCGACACGUGCGUGGCUCGUUUGCUUCAUGCCCAGCCCCGUUCGCGAGGGGCCCACGAGGGGGGAGCGACAGGCGUGAACUCCAAAAUAAGGCAAGAACCAGACUGCGAGAAAUAGCUCGAACGAGAAAAGGCAUCCCCCCACGCGCAUCAAGUGAAAAUUCAACUUCAACUUAAAUCCAAAUCCAGAAGGAAGGGUUACAGAAAAGAGAUCCAAAGCAAAUGGCCGCGUCCGACGCCUAGUCUAGUCUUCGACGUCUUCUCACCAGCGCGGAUCUAAGUGCUGCCACUGGGCGUGAGAGGGAGCCCCCGAGGGCGGCGCUCCUGAGACUCCGGGGCGUGUACAUCCCCACUCAUUAUUACGUGAGAGUGUCACGGGCGGCGAUCUUCACAAGCGUGAGCCUUACUUCAUAUCGCCUGACAAGGGCCCCGCCUUGCACCACCCCCUACUACCGCCGGGACGACCGGAAACCAGGACGGCCCAACGAGGGCAGAGGGGACGCCAGCGGCGCCCUCGGCGACCAUGGGUCCUCUGCCGGGGGAAGGAUCGCCGGCGCCACCUCGGCAGAGGGCCUACCUCCAGGUGCUGCCUUGCUCCGUGCGACGGGGGGAGGGGCCUUGGUCCUGGCCCCUCCCACGCAGCCCCCAGUGAGCCUCUUCUGGCGAGACAGAUACCACCACGCCGGAACCGUCGCCGGGUGCUGUGACCUGGCUCACUUGCGAUUCGUGGUUAGCGUAAGCCUGCCCCUGGGAGAUUAGUGGUACCCUGUAGCUGUUGUUGACGACGCGGUUGGCGGGGCUCUCAGGCGGCUCCUGGAAGGCCUCAGCUCCUAUUGUCUCUUCUUCCCAGCCCGGCUCGAGGAACGAGCCGGGGUCAUCUUCUGGCGCGUACUCCUGGUUCAUCAUGUAGGGCACAUAGGCCUCAGAGGCCUUUGCUCUGAAGGCCUCGCCGUAGUGCCCCAUGCUCCAUGUCGCCCGGCUCAAGACCUCGUCCUGAGGAUGGUGGGGUAGCGCCUCACCAGGGCCGUGUGCGGUGACACUUGUGCCCACGCCCAUCUGAGGUGGUGCGGGUGCGAGGGGCGCCCUCCGCCUGGAUCGUGCUGAUGUCGACGAAGCCCCCGGGUGCACUUAGGGGUACACGGGCGCGGCGAGGCCCGCCGUGGGAUCCUGCCGCUGCCUGGGGCUUGAGCUGGUAGCAGAAGGGCGGUGCUCCCAUGGCUGCUUCAUCCAGUAGCUCGGCGACGCGUUCCAGCAGUGCAUCCCGACCGCUCUCCAUCAGUCGGCACCGCAGCAGCUCCCGUGCCACCGUGAGCACGACCCGCAUGUUCACCUGCUCCCUCCUGGUGUGCGGCGCCGUCGCCGUGGCAUGGCUUGCGGACCUUGCAGCAGCUCGCGUCUGUCGGGGAGUAAGAGCAGAGGGUGAGUGACCACGCCGCCCACGCCCCAUGGUGUUUGGCGGUGCGCGUGCCGCCUGAGAUGCGGGGUCGUGGUCUUCCUGGGCUGGUAGCGCCAUCCGGGCUGGCCAGGAUACCCAGUGGUCGGCGUUGGUCCUCGAGUCACCUGACAUCGGAGCCGCGGGGCGCCGAAGGAUCACCUGACAUCGCAGUCGGUUGAUGGGAGGAGAGCCCCGGCGCACCCCUACCUGGUGCGCCAAAUGUCGGAUCACGGGUUCCGGUAAAACCCUUUUGGUUCGAACUCUGGGGUGCGCACGAAGAUCUCCCCCCUACCGAUCCACGUCCUAGCUCGACUAAGAUCUUACGGACUAACUCGACGAACUCGCAACACAAAGGACACAAGAUGUAACACCCAUGAUGUGGCUAUAUCUCCCACGUGUCGGAGCACGACUUAGAGGCAUAACCGCAUAGUAGGCAUGUCGCAAGAGGGGUAAUCUUUACACAUCCCAUGUACUGAAUGAGAGAGGGGUAAAGUGUUGGCUUACAAUCGCCACUUCACACAAUACAUAAAUAUAGCAUUACAACAUCCAGAAUACAAUCAAGGUCCGACUAUGGAACCAAAACAAAAGAAGACAACCCCUAAUGCUAGAUCCCUGAUCGCCCCAACUGGGCUCCACUACUGAUCAACAUGAGACGAAACAAAACAACGAUCAAGAUCUUUAUCGAGCUCCCACUUGAGCUGGGUUGUGUCACCUGCACUGGUAUCAUCGACACCUGCAAACUGUUUGGAAGUAACUGUGAGCCACGAGGACUCAGUAAUCUCACACCCGCGAGAUCAAGACUAUUUAAGCUUAUGGGUAGGAAAGGGUAGUGAGGUGGAGCUGCGGCAAGCACUAGCAUAUAUGGUGGCUAACUUACACCAAUGAGAGCGAGAAGAGAAGCAAAGCACGGUCGUGAACUAGAAGUGAUCAAGAAGUGAUCCUGAAACUAGUUAUGUUCAAACAUAACUCCAAAACCGUGUUCACUUCUCGGACCGCGCCGAGAAGAGACCAUGACGACUACACACGUGGUUGAUGCAUUUUAAUUAAGUUAAGUGUCAAGUUCUCUACAACCGGAUAUUAACAAAUUACCAUCUACCCAUAACCGCAGGCACGGCUUUCAAAAGUUCAAAACCCUGCAGGGGUGUCCCAACUUAGCCCAUCACAAGCUCUCAUGGUCAACGAAAGAUAUUCCUUCUCCCAGGAAGACCCAAUCAGACUCGGAAUCCCAGUUAGAAGACAUUUCGACAAUGGUAAAACAAGACCAGCAAGACCGCUCGAUGCGCCAACAUCCCGAUAGGAGCUGCACAUAUCUCGUUCUCAGGGCAACACCGGAUGAGCGCUCCGUACAACUAAAACCAACCCUCAAGUUUCCCGAGGUUGUGCUGCAAAGGACUCUAGUUCGGACCAACACUUAGACAAGCACUGGCCCGGGGGGCUUAAAAUAAAGAUGACCCUCGAGAGAGCGACUCCCAAGGGAAAAGUAGGUGGUGGUGAGGCAAAUGGUAAAACCAAGGUUGGGCCUUGCUGGAGGAGUUUUAUUCAAGGCGAACUGUCAAGGGGUCCCCAUAACACCCAACCGUGUAAGGAACGCAAAAUCAAGGAACAUAACACCUGUAUGACAGAAACUAGGGCGGCAAGAGUGGAACAAAACACCAGGCAUAAGGCCGAGCCUUCCACCCUUUACGAAGUAUAUAGAUGCAUUAAAUAAUAUAAGAGAUAUUGUGAUAUCCCAACAAUAACCAUGUUCCAACAUGGAACAAACUUCAACUUCACCUGCAACUAGCAACGCUACAAGAAGGGCUGAGCAAAGCGGUAACAUAGCCAAACAACGGUUUGCUAGAAAAGGUGGGUUAGAGGCUUGACAUGGUAAUAUGAGAGGCACGAUAUAGCAAGUGGUAGGUAUCGCGGCAUAGCAAUAGAGCGAGCAACUAGCAAGCAAAGAUAGAAGUGAUUUUGAGGGUAUGGUCAUCUUGCCUGAGAUCCCGCAAGGAAGAAGAACGAGUCCAUGAAGAAGACAAGCGGACGAAGUCGAACAAAUCCUCACAAACGCGACGUUAUCGGAACCAACCCAAAGGAGCAACACCGGAAAGAAGCACACAACAUAGUAAACAACCAUCACAUAAGCAUGGCAUGAUGCACAACCAAGUAUGAUGCAUGUCCGGUUUAAAGAGGCAUGGCAUGGCAAAGUGCACAAACAAUACUACAAAUUAAGUGGAGCUCAAUAUGCAACGAGUUCCAUAUUGCCGGACACCACAUUUGAUUAUUUAGUUCGAUCUCGUUUAUGUACCCAACAAUAUAAAAUGUUCUUAAACAUGGCAAGGGUUGGAGCAAAUGAAAACUACCUAUCUAGGCAAGUUUAACUGAGGCCGGAACAACAAACAACAAGUCCGGAAACUCGUCAUGAGCAUAUUUUUGGAUUAGGUACUGUUCUGCCCUAAACCAUAUUUUAGAGUUGUUAAACAUGCAAAGUAAAGCCACCAUGUUAAACUAGGCAUUUUCUACCCAUUUACAUAUAAAGUUUGUUAAGUUUGGAGCUACAGUUAUUUAGUUAUGAAAUAAAGCAUUUUAGCAUGGCAAUAGGCAAAAUAUAAGCAAACAUCAUUUGAAACAUGUUAAACAUGGAUGAAAGUUGCAAAUUAUUAAACUAGAUGAAAUUCUACGCAUCUUUCAUAUAUAAUGUUUUUACAUAUUAUGCACGGUUGUUGUGUUUCAAUAUGCAUGGAGUUUAGGGACUUUUAUGCAAAAUGGUAAACCUCUGGAUAAAUAGACACAUUGUCUGUUAAAAAAACAGAAGUUGGGCCGAAAGUGGCUGGCCCAACUGUGCACAGUCAAAAGGGAUGGGCAGAACUCACAUUGGGCCUGGCCCGGUCAGUGGGGAGGAGGCGCGCCAGUAAAAGGAGCGGCUAGGCCGGCGUGCGAGCUGGGCCUAGCGCGCCUGGCAGGCCACGCAACUGCCUAGGGCGGUGGAGGACAGGCUCAACGCGGCAACUGGUCUCCUCGUCCGAUGCAGGGGAAACAGGGCGAUGGCGCUGCUGGUCAGCGGCGAGGCGGGGAACUCCGGUGGGACGACGGGGAUGAAGCGGAUGGGCGGAUCCGGCCUUGGGGAGCCCAAUCUAGCCGGAGGAAGGGUCGAGCUCGGCCAACAGGAGCGGGACAUGGCGCUGGGACUUGGCGGGACGACGGCUUCCUGGGACUUGGGCGCCUCGAUGAAGAGGAGCAGCAGCGGACAGGCGCGGCUCCUGCCGAGGGACUUGGCGCGGCGACUGUAGGAAGCAGCGGGCGAGCAAGGAAGGUCGACGCAGACCUGCGCGGCUGGAUGAAGGUGGCGGGGCGCUGGGAGGAGCUCAUGUGGCUGGGCAAGGAGCACGAGCGCAUCCAUGGCGUGGCUUGGCGGACUGGGACGGGAGCAGACCGGGGAGGUCCGGCGGGCGGCGAAAUGUGUGGAUCAGGUCAGCCAUCGCUGGAUCCGGGUAGCGGCGGCUGUGGACUAAGCUCAACGGCGGCGCUGCUCCAAAUCCACAGUAGCGGCGGCGAGCUCCUCGAGAGGAAUGGGAGGGGGAGAGAGGUUAGAGAAGAAAGGAGCCUCGGGAAGGAGGAGGAAGGACAGGGAGGAGGCCGGUCCUGGUGGCUGGGUUCGCCUGCUGCGACGGCGCCAUGGAGGGAGGAGAGGGGAUCAGGUGCAGCUGUGCUGAAAACCAGGAGGUGGUCGGAGGCUGCUGGGGUUGGGGGAAGGAUCUCGAGAGAUUUGAGUGGGUGGCGGCGCAUGAUGUGAUGGAUGGGACAUCUCCUAAAAAUUAGGGUUUGGUCUGGUUAUAAAUAGGUAGGGGAACUAGAUGCUGGCAAUUUGGUCCCUCCGAUCAAAAUCAGACGUUUCGAAAAAAUAGACUAGGGAGUCCAAAUAAGAAAACGGUGAUGUUUUGUAGACGUUUGGGGAUGAUCCGGAUCCAACGGUGACGACUGCUCGGGUCGGGUCCGGGACAACUUUCGGGCACGCGCGCGAGGAGGGUCGCGGGAUGACGAGAGAGGUUAGGUAGGGCCUCGCGGUGAGAGGUAGUCCAGAAGGCAAUGGCUGAGAAGAGAGAAGAGAGAAGAGAGAAGAGAGAGAGAGGCCCGACGACUGUUUCCGGAGACCGAAAACGUUCGACGUUUGACCGACUAUAAUGUCGCUAUAGUUAUCUGUUGGGGCAUCAAACAGACUCCAAAUGCGAUGAAACUUGACAUGCGGUCUAUCUACACUAUAAUGAGACCACAAGCCAAUUUUCAUCCCAUUCCGAGAACAUUCUCCGACCACCUAUAAAAUAAUAUUUCGGACGUGUCGCGGGCGCGUGCAAGUGUGUCUGGGCUCAGAACGGACAACGGAAGGAACGGGGAGACCCGGGCGGAUGCAAGUUUCGAAAACAUGAUGAUGCACUGCGGAUGAUGACAUGGCAAGAUGCAACACGCAAGUGAAAGACAUGGCAACAACAACAACGAACAACAACAACGAACACCUGGCGCACCAGACUCGGGGUGUCACAACACUCCACCACUACGAGAGGAUCUUGUCCCGAGAUCUAAUAUGGCACCGGAGGGAAACGGAAGAGGAAGAGAAAAGGUAAAACUAAGUUGCUUCUUUGACAAAAGUGUGAAACCGAUGAACCUUGAGAGGUUGAAAACUUGAAAAAAAGAAAAAAAC